UGCUGAGAUCGGAAACGAAGUUCUUCACCCUGAAACGAUUGCCAAGACAAGCUUAGAAUUUCCAGCUUUGACAGUUUCCCAAGGAAUUCCAUAGCAGCAUCGUGCUCCAAUAGCCUGGUGUCAACUAGUUUCAACUUCAUGAGAUGCGGGAGCUCCUUGAUCCAUUCCGGCAACGUUUGCAGAUUGCCGUAGAGCUUGAGGCUCUGCAGGUUUUCUGGAGGGGAGGAUAUUGCAUCCAAGCAGCCACGCAAACCUGGGUAUCCUGCCGAACUCACAGACAGCGAUUCCAGCCUGCUGAGAUUGGAAAUGGCAGCGCGAAAAGCUGGGCCAUUCUUCCUGUUGAUGCCGGCAACUCCUAACUUGCGCAACCCCGUAAGCAUUUUAAUGUCCUGUAGAACGGCAUUUCCCCUUCCGACAUGCACUUCCCGCAAUGUGUGCAACUCUUUCAGUUUUCUUGUCCCCCUUGGCACCAUAGCGCCUCUUUCUGCAUAAACUCCUGUCAUGACAGCAGGGAAUUUCACGCAGCAAGCGAAAGUGUAUGCAUCACGCCUUGUAAGGGCCUUAUGGAGAGGGCCAUCAAUGUCCCAAAGAACAGGUGCGCAACAUGUUGCACAUUGACCCGCCCCCCAAAGACAUCUCCUGGUUAAACUGUACUUUUCCCCUAUCCCAUAAUCUAGUCCUUGACCAGCAUGGAUGUACUGUAGCUUCCGAAGCUUGAUGAUGGUUUUGGGCAGAGCCAUUAUGUAUGUACCUCUGACGUCUAGCACUUGGAGCUGUAUCAGGUUGCCCAAUGAAUCUGGCAGUAGAUCAAUGCCAAAACAUCCACGUAGAGAAAGGUAUUUGAGGUGAAUAAGCUUCCAAAUAUGAUCAAGAUGAUAAUAUUGUAGACACUUUAUAUCUUCUAAGUCGAGCACUCCUAGAAGUCUCAUCUUGUCAGAAAUGUAAAAUGGUCUGAAUGCUCCAAAUUCUCCAAACACGGUUAGUGAUCGUAAUCGUGACAGAUCAACUAUUCUCUCUAACUCACUCUGAUCUCCUUUCCAGUUGCUGCCUAUUGCAAGAUGACGAAUUGCGCCAUGGGUACUCAAGUCACAUCCUUCCUCCAGUCUAAAAACAAGGUUUUCCUCCAUUGACUUUGAGAUGGCAAUGUCACGGAUGAGAUCAUGGACUUUGCAAGAGUCAAUUGAUUUUCUACUGUGAACUGAUUGUUGAAAUGGUAAAAUCAUGCUUCUGCAUUUGAGUUCUGCGAAGUAAUUUUCAGCUAUUUCAUUGGCAGACUUGCCACGCCUCUCUUGUGAGUACCCUUCUGCUGUCCAUCGAUACACCAAACGCCUCUGGCUAAUGAUGUAGUCCUCAGGAAAAAUGGACAGAUAUAAGAAACAUGACUUGAGUUCAUAGGGUAAACCAUCAUAACUUGUCUGAAGGAUGGUUCUUAUCAUCCCAAGCUCUGGAUUCAUCUCUAACUCAGCACUGAUAUUUUCAUUCAACUUUCUCCACUCAGCUCUAGUCUUUGGCUGGCUUGCCAAGUAGCCACCUAUUGUAACUAUUGCAAGGGGAAGUCCACCACAUUUCUUUAGGAUUUUUUUCAUUUCUUCAACCAACUCGGGAUUCUUCUUAAUCAAAUCUGUUGCCUUCACAAGGGGAAGUCCACCACACUUCUUCAAGUUUUGGUUUGCUUCUUCAACAAACUCUGGAUUCUGCUUAACAAAAUCUGCAUCCUUCCCAAAUACCUGGUUUUAAUGCAAUUUAAGUAUUUUAGUAUUCCAAUCUAAAAAAAUAAAUAAUUGUGCAUUACUUGUUGAUAUGUUGUUUGCUAGUGAUAGGCGCACAAUUGGUUGUGCACAGUGAUAAGCACAUAGUGAAACAACAGUUUUCCUGUGAAACUUGGUGAUAUAUAAUAUUUUUGUAAGUUUGGCUGAAACUUGUCCAUUAUUCUUUUAUAAAAUAUUGCUGAAAAUUCUCACAACUUCACGAACUUUCUUGGGAGUUGUCUUUCAUAAAACUUGCCCAUUAUUCUUUUAAUUUUUUUUUCUGUGGUAGACCACCUUUGAUGAGGGCUGUUAGUUUCCUUUAAUCUAACAUAUAUGAAUAUGAUGAUCUGAGGUAUACGAGAUCGGUUUACAAUAGAGCUGAAGCUAUGUUUUAAGGAAAUUUCCUAAAUACUAGGGAACUACUAAGUUUCACCUGAGUGUUUUAUAUGGCUUCAACACCAGAAUUUGGUCCCACAGUUUUAUGCCAACACUUAUGCUUUAGGGGUGAUAUGUAUAUAAGUUAAGAAAUUUAAUAUACAUAUGACAUCAUGUUCUUUUCAUAGUAAUAUCUCAAAUUGUUAUUAUGCUAGAUUCAAUAUUUUUUAACCAUUGUAAAAAUCCCCAAGUUAUUAACAUUGCUACGAAGACCCAUAGACAUUUAAUACUUUUCUUUAGCAACCAAAUGAAGCAACAAAUACUACUACUCGAUCCGUGGAUGUUUUCAGUCUUUUAGUGGGUGGGGGUAAUUAAUAAUUUUUAAAUAAUAUUAUCUUCAUAGUCAAUUGUAAAUAAUUUUCAUUAAUGAAACAAAGGAAAAAUUAAAAUAGAUAGUUGACAGUGCUAUUGGAAACUCCUAAUAUUGGAAAAGUCACCUAAUAUAAUGACAAAAGUACCUUCCCUUAAGAUCCUCAGAAAAAUGAGAACUAUUUUGUUGUUUCACAUGGAUAAAUGAGGAGGAAAGGGAAUUAAACAAAUAAGGAAAAAAGAAAUUAAAGCAUUCUCUACUGUGUUCAGCAAGAGGACAAAACACAUUUUUUCUGUGUUCUGGUGAUGUUUGUGGUCUUGUAUUUUUUAAAAGGGAGAACGGGCAUCAUUGAUAUACUGGGAGGCAAAAAUUACGUUAUAUAUGAAUCAUGGAUGUAUAGGUCAUUAGUGGCAAUAAUUGGCAUGGCAACAGCAUGUUGAAUAUCAAUGUAUUGAUCAUCUUGGUUCAGUUGUUCAAAUGAUAAACAAAUGUCAAAAAAUUUGCAUGUUCCCAUAUGUUCUCCAUUGUCGACAGGACCAUCUUUAAUCUCUACGAAAUGCUAGACUGUUGUAGUAAUAAUGCUAUUUAAAAUCAAGCAAAAGUGACAAGGUUUCUAUUAUAUUACCUUUAAGCUGAAGAGGUUAAGUGCGUCCUCUUCUUUUAGAAUUUCAAGGUUGUGUACUAUUCCAUAUUUCCCGGAACAAUGCUUUGCAAUGCUUUCCUCCCUUGUAGUCACAAUUAUUUGGGUUGUUUUUUCCAUCCAAGAAAACCCUUGUAUUAUAUGGUCCCAUUCUUCAAUGGAUAACAGAUCGUCCAGAACAAUCAAGCAGCUCUUCUUUUCUAAAAGCCUUUUCAACUCUUUAGUCAAGCCUUGUAAUGAUUUGGUCUUGCUGGGUCUAUUGUUCAACAGUUCUUCCUUCUUAGAAGACUCUUCUUGUAAUCGCCUAACUAAACUUCUAAGUAGAUCUGCAGGAUUGAAAGGACGCAUGAUUGUGGCAAAUGCGUGCUUCUCAAACAUAUCACUUAACUUUGGGCUUUGAUAAAUUCCGUUGGCUAGAGUGGUUUUUCCAAGACCACCCAUUCCCCAAACAGAGAUCACUUGACUCUGUUGGCUAGCCUUGUUUGAGAUUAAUCCUAUAAUUUUGGAUAUUUCUUUCUCUCGCCCAAUAAGUUGAGAUUCCUCCAAAGAACCAACACCUGUUUUGAUGCGAGUGAGGCUCUUUUUGUCCACCUUCGUUUCAUCAACAUCCUUACACUGAUCCUCUGUUAUCUCACUAGGGGCCACUGUUUGGGUAGUUGUACUGGUAGUGGCCACAUCUGAGCUAGAUACUGGAUCCACGGAAACCAUUUCAUUUUGAGAACCCUGAACAAACAGAAAGUACAAUUAUUGGAAGCAACCUUUAAACUUCUUCUUCUUGUUGUUAUUUUUUUAAGGUUAUGUGUACCUAUAACCAAAGUACUAUAUAAACUUUUAUGUAAUCGCCUUUUAUGUAAUCAUGCAGUCAGUGACUAUUGGUCAUAAAUCAAUUUAACAAGGUAUGAAAAUUCCAGAUAACAGAAAUCUGGCCUCGCUGCAGUGCUUAAGUUUUUAAUAUCUAUAAGCCGAAGUCCUAACAUAAAUGACUAAUGUCAUAGUUGAAGACACCAGGGGUAAAGGGUUAUGGUUUCAAAUGAUCCACCUCCCUCUGAAAUCCUAAAACGCACCCAGUUAUUACUCAGUAAUCUGUAGUUUAAACGAUGCUCCCUAUUGAUAGAAAUAUCUUGGUGUCCUCCUAUCUAAAUAUUUAAGAGUUUAGUGGCUGUGUUUAUAUUAGCUGUUGAAGAAGCCAUAAAUUAUAAUUUCUUCAUCUAAAACUCAACGAUGAAUCCCAUGUUAUGUUUAUGCUCCCCUCAAGAGAUGCUACGAUCAACAUAGACUACAGCAAUGCACGGAUUCAAUAUCUUUCCCCUUCAUAUAGAUUUUCAGUUAGCAAAUGCAGUGAUUUCACAAUUUUUCUAGUAUAUCUAUUCAUUAAAUCUGCGGGAAUAUCCUGUAGGAUUUAACAAGGUACUCCCUCCGUCCCCAAAAGAAUGCAAUUCUGGAACAGUGUCAUGAUUUACUGUGUCAAGUUUGACCUAUUAUAGAUGAAAAAGUAUAAAUAUAUAUAAUAUCAAAUAAACAUCAUUAGAUUAAUUACGAAAUGUAUUUUCAUAAUAAAUUAAUUUGGAGCCAUAAAUGUGAAUACUAUUUACUAUAAACAUGGUCAAACGUGAAGCACUUUAACUAGCACGCAUACCAUAGUUGCAUCCUUUUCAGGAUAGAGGGAGUAUUAUUUUUCACAUUGACAGUGGGUGGUUGCUUUUCAAGCACAGAUGGGACAAUUGCUUUAGAGAUUUAUAUAAUUAAAAUAAAGCUUCAAAAUUUACAAUUAAACAAGGAAGCUUAUGCUCCCUCUGUUUCAAAUUGUAGAUCAUUUUGGCUUUUUUAGACACAUGAUUUUUGCUAUGCACCUAAAUGGUUAUGUCUAGAUACAUAGCAAAACCUAUGUAUUUAUAAAAGCCAAAAUGACAUAUAAUUUGAAAUAGAGGAAGUACUUCGUUACAUGUAAAUUUGCAUAUUAAUGUGUUAGCCAAUCUUGUACCUUUUAUCCAUUCCCUUUUCAGGCAAUUGCUUAAAUGAUAUUGGAAAAUAAUAUAAUCCUUGAUACGCCGAUAACUGAACCAGAAUAAUGAUUGCAUAGAAUGCUACUAAAAAUGAAAAUAUAAGUAGUACCUUGUCAUAGAAUGCAUAAAGCGUGUGAUCAGCAGAUAAUUGCUUUAGCUCUGAGGCUUGGCUCUCUUGCCCUGCACAUAAGCUUGCAACUUCAACUUGUGUUGUUGACACUAUGAUUCGGCUUCCUUUGUUGUUGUUUGGCAGGCAUUUUUCGAUCUGGUCCCACUCUUCAAUGGUGCAGAGGUCAGUAAGCACAAUGAGAAACCUCUUCUCCUUCACAUAUCCAUCGAACUCCUGAACUAAAUCGUGCGCGGUCUUCUCUGCGUCCAAUAUAUCUUUAAAUCCUUCCACUGCAAGAAAUUGGUUCACUAAGCUCCGGACAAAGCCUUUUGAACUGAAUGGAUGAGUCACCCUCACCCAUGCUCGGCUGGGAAAUUUGCUUUGGGUGUCUGGAUUCUUGUAAGCCGCCCUGAUGAUGGACGUUUGGCCGAUAUCACCACCUGUUCCCCACACCGCAAUGACUCUAAGGUCAUCACCCUCCUUGUUGACCAGUUGGAGGAGAUCCACUCUCUGAUUCUCCUCCUUUGCGGCACGCCUUGCAUCAUCAACACCGAAUAUGGCUGCACCAAUGAUGCUUGAUUGCUCAGUGGCAGCUGUGGCCUUGGAUCCAGAGCCCUUGAUGAGGCGGUAGCGCACAUUCCUCUGGCUCACGUCCUCGACCUUGGCCCUGAGCUCCUUCAUCUUCAUGGCCACACGGCGCCGCUCGAGCAGCGUGCGAGGGAAUCGCCACCAAGAUGGCCUCUCAAGACGAACAGCGAAAUCCUGGAGGCUGUCCUCGACAUCGUAGGCCGUGUCACGGACCUGCUUCACCCAGGUCUUCACCACCUUGUUGUCAUCUCGCUCCUCGUGUGCCUCCAUAAGGAAAGACUGCAUCAUCUCAAGCUCAUCCGAGACGAACGCAUGGUCUCGCUGGAUGCCAAGCUGCAAGGCCACCGCCUCCGCGAAGGCAGAUUUCGCGUAGCCAAGCGCUCCAUCGAGCACCGACUUGCCCACACUUAGCGCCGUCGCCUCCAUCGUUCUGCUGUGUUUCUUCGUGGAUCUAUACAAGGCUCAAAUUUAGAAGCUAAAACUCCGAGGCAGAAAAGGAUAGAUGGACAAGCGUUGACCCAACAAGAUGGCAAGUACCUGAAUUUUUGUGAACGCACAACCAAGGCAGGGUCAGAUCUAGAUAACGCACACCGGCUGAUCAACAGGACUCACAAGGUAAAUAUGCUGCAAAAUACAUUCUUGCUGUAAUUACAAAUAAUACUCAACUGAACAGUACAAUCUGUGAGAAACUGAAGAUCUUUGAAAGUAUACCUUCUGUGGCCUAUGAGAUCUUGUGGCGUGGAAGUAAAUACAGCACUCUACUGCUUUGAUCCGGCGAGGCUCAAGCUCACGGAACGGCCCACACUCACACGCCCUGACGUGACCCGGCAAGCCAGCAAGGUUGAGGCCAAAUGGUGUGGAUGCGUGAUUCCAAGGCAGUAGGCACCGAGAUGGCGGCGCCGCCCUCGCCGACGAGCUACGCGGCCACUACUCUUGCACCCGGUCGGCCUGUCGCCGCUGACACUCUGUGGUGGCUUGGUAGUCACCAGUCACUCCUCAGAAGUACCUCAUGCUGGCUGGGAGCAGUGGACUCUAGAUACCUCUAAUGGACUUCGCAGGGUGCUUACAUGGUCGGUAGGGAUUUUGCACACGAGCACUUGUUGGGGUCGGUUAGCAGCCGCCUGCCAAUUUCCUCUCCACUCCUUACAUGGAUAAUAAAGGGUGGCCAAAGGAAUCUCACCAUUUCUCUUUUUUUUUAAAAAAAGGUUUUUGAAACAAACCGCUUUACUAUUGCCCUAGGGACAGAUGCAUCACAGCAUAAGAUGCAUGAGCAAAUAAUUAAGUACUCCCUCCGUUCCAAAUUACUAGUCGUUUUAGCUAACGAAUAGUAAUUCGGGAUGGAGGGAGUAGGUUUUUUCAAUCCAAAGCGCACUACGGGAAACAAGAAAUUCGCCGAGUGCCAGGGGCACUCGGCGAAGGGCGAAAUACACUCGGCGAGCCGUUUGCCGAGUGUAACACUCGGCAAACGGCACACGGCAAACUUUGUGACGGCAAACAAGGAUUUGCCGAGUGUUUUCUGUCGCGCACUCGGCAAAGACUUUGCCGAGUGGCCAGAAAACACUCGGCAUACAAUUGUUGAAAAAAAUAAAAAAAAACCUGUUCCGGCCGCCGCCAGCCACCACCGCCAGCACCGCCACCGGCCGCCGCCGCCAGCCACCACCGCCAGCACCGCCACCGGCCACCGCCGCCACCAUCCACACCUAGCCACCGGCCGCUAGCAGCACCACCACCGCCACCGGGAGGGGAAGGGCCGGAGGAGAGGGAGGGGAGGGGCGCCGCCCGCCGGAGGAGAGGGAGGGGAGGGGCGCCGCCCGCGUCGGAGAGGGAGGGGAGGGGCGCCCCCACGCCGGAGAGGGAGGGGAGGGGCGCCGCCCGCGCCGGCGGAUCUGGAGGAGGGAGGCGGCGGCGCCGGAACCAGGGGAGGCGGCGGCCGCACCACCACCAUCCACACCGCCGCCGCCGCCACCCGCCGCCGCCGGCCACCAUCCACGCCUGCCGCCACCAUCCACGCCGCCGCCACCAUCCACGCCCGCCGGAUCCGGGGCCCCCGACGCGAGUCCCCGCCGGAUCCGGGGCUCCCGACGCGAGUCCCCGCCGGAUUCGGCGAGGAGGGGCGGAUUCCCCGCCGGAUCCGACCGGAUCUGGGGAGAGGGGCGCCCCACGCGAGGGAGGGAGGAGGGGAGAGGAGGGGGAGGGGCGCCGGUAGGAGAGGGAGAGGGAGAGGGAGGGAGGGUGGCGGCGGCGGCGGCGGCGGGAGAGGAAGGUGGGGGAGGGGGGCGUCGGUAGGAGAGGGAAGGGAGAGGGAGGGAGGGCGGCGGCGGCAGCGGCCGGGGGGGGGGGGGGCGCUGGAGGGAGAGGGGGCCGGGGGGGGGGGGCGCUGGAGGAGUUGGGGAGGCGGUCUGUCGCGGGGGGAGGCGGGGGGAUUGUUUUGAGGGUGGGGGCGGUCUGUGCCGAGUGUCCUACGUGGACACUCGGUAAAGAGUUUCUUUGCCGAGUGUCCAACGUAGGACACUCGGCAAACUUUUUUUGAAAAAAAUUUAAAAAAUAUCCAACAGUUUCAAAAAAAUACCAAAUUUUCACACGAACCAAUAUAGGUUCUCUACUGACUAUACAAAAAGUUUUGUAGUCAAACCAAACUCGACCAUCACUUCGACUCUAAAUUUUAUCGAAUCCUUCUCAAAGUUACUAUUCUUCUUCUGAGAUGCUUCGGUUUGUAAUCAUCGUACAUGAUGAAAUGUGCAAAACCUUCUCAAUUUUUUUCCACAGCCUCCACGUAUUAUAUCAUCACAUCAUGACAAAUCUUAAGAUUUUCAGACUUUGAUUAUUUUUUUUUACAAUUUAAAAAUACUACUGCCACACGUUCAUGGUCGUGUUUCCUGAACAAGAUGUUCGAAAUUUGUUUUCAUUUCAUGGGUCAGGUCUCAAAUUGGUCCAAAUAACAUGAAUAUCAUUUUUCUACUCAUUUUAUUCCAUAAUUUGAAUCACUUGCAGUUCAAAUUUGACUUAUACCAAAAAUUCCCUUGAAAUGCAAUUAAUUAAUUAAAUAUAGCAAAUAAAUUCAAAAAUAUACCAAAUUUUAACAUGGAGUACCACAUGUUGUAUGUGGGGAGUAGAAAAAAUUUCAUGGUGAAAAGAGAAAAAAAAUUAUUUUUUUGCCGAGUGUCAAAAAAAACACUAGGCAAACCCCCCUCUUUGCCGAGUGUUUUUUUUGACACUCGGCAAACCCCCCUAUUUGCUGAGUGUUUUUUUUGACACUCGGCAAAGAGGGGACUUUGCCGAGUGUUUUUUAUUUGACACUCGGCAAAGCCCCGAUUUGCCGAGUGUUUUUUUUUGCCGAGUGUUUUUGGCUUGACACUCGGCGAAGAGCUUGUUUGCCGAGUGCUCAAAAAAACACUCGGCAAAAAGAAAACACUCGGCAAAUUUAAGGUUUCCCGUAGUGGCGAUUGGGCAGCAGAUUUUAGUAUGUCACGUGGGGCAGUACUAACAUAAGCUGGUGAGGAGUCAAUGUGCUUUGCCAUAUUCUAUGUUCAACUUGAUCAGUAGGUGUAACAAUCAUAAUAUAUUUCAUUCAGUCCAUGAAUUAGCUCAUCUGUUCAUGUUCUGUUUCCUCAUUUUCUGAUGUGGACUGUCCUACUUCGAUCUGGUGCCCAGUGCUGAUGGACAACCACAAGGAGAAAGAGGCCAUCCACUACGGGACAUAGGCAAAUUGCCGAGUGCCAGGGGCACUCGGCUAAGGGCAGAAUACCCUCGGCGAACCGUUUGCCGAGUGUAACACUCGGCAAAUGGCACACGGCGAAUAUCGAGUGGGCAAACACUAGUUCGCCGAGUGUUUUGUGUCGGGCACUCGGCAAAGACUUUGCCGAGUGCCCAGAAAACACUCGGCGAACAAUUAUUGAAAAAAAAAACAUGUACCAAACCAUCCGCCGCCGCCACCUGCUCCUGCUCUGCCACCGCCGCCGCCACCACCAUCCACACCGCCGCCAGCCACCGCCACUGCUUCCCGCCGCCACGCCAUGAAGCAAAUCCGGUGGAGGGGCGUCGGGCGGCGGCGGAUCCGGGGUCGGGGGCGUCGGGCGGCGGCGGAUCCGGGGUCGGGGGCGUCGGGCGGCGGCGGAUCCGGGGGCGGCGGAUUCGGGGGCAUCGGGCGGUGGCGGAUCCGGGGGCGGCGGGGCUGGGGGCGCCGGGCGGCGGCGGAUCCGGGGCCGGGGGCGUCGGGCGGCGGCGGAUCCGGGGGCGGCGGGGCCGGGGGCGUCGGGCGGCGGCGGAUCCGGGGGCGGCGGGGCCGGGAGCGCCGGGCACCGGGCGGCGCUGGCGGUGGGGCCGGGGGAAGGUGUGGCGGCGGGGCCGGAGGAGAGGAGAGGGGAGGGGGCCGGGCUGGAGGCGUGCGGUGGCGGUGGCGGCGGCGGCGGCGGCGGCGGCCGGAGGCGUGCGGCGGCGGCGGCGGCAUGCAGGAGGCAGGAGGGGAAGAGGUAGCAGGGGAAGAGAGGAGAGUGGGGGGAGGGGGCCGGGCCGGCCGGGGGGGGGGGGGGUUUAAUUUCUUGUGGGCGUCUGUUUGCCGAGUGUCCUACGUGGACACUCGGUAAACGGUUGAUUUGCCGAGUGUCCACCAUAGGACACUCGGCAAAUGUUUUUUGAAAAAAAUUUAAAAAAUAUCCAACAGUUUCAAAAAAAUACCAAAUUUUCACACGAACCAAUAUAGGUUCUCUACUGACUAUACAAAAAGUUUUGUAGUCAAACCGAACUCGACCGUCACUUCGACUCUAAAUUUUAUCGAAUCCUUCUCAAAGUUACUAUUCUUCUGAGAUGCUUCGGUUUGUAAUCAUCGUACAUGAUGAAAUGUGCAAAACCUUCUCAAUUUUUUUCCACAGCCUCCACGUAUUAUAUCAUCACAUCAUGGCAAAUCUCAUAAUUUUCAGACUUUGAUUGUUUUUUUUACAAUAUAAAAAUACUACUGCCACACGUUCAUAGUCGUGUUUCCUGAACAAGAUGUUCGAAAUUUCUUUUCAUUUCAUGGGUCAGGUCUCAAAUUGGUCCAAAUAACAUGAAUAUCAUUUUUCUACUCAUUUUAUUCCAUAAUUUGAAUCACUUGCAGUUCAAAUUUGACUUAUACCAGAAAUUCCCUUGAAAUGCAAUUAAUUAAAUAAAUAUAGCAAAUAAAUUCAAAAAUAUACCAAAUUUUAACAUGGAGUACCACAUGUUGUAUGUGGGGAGUAGAAAAAACUUCAUGGUGAAAAGAGAAAAAAAAUUAUUUUUUUGCCGAGUGUAAAAAAACACACUAGGCAAACCCCCCAUUUUGCCGAGUGUUUUUUAUUUGACACUCGGCAAAGCCCCGAUUUGCCGAGUGUUUUUUUUUGCCGAGUGUUUUUGGCUUGGCACUCGGCAAAGAGCUUGUUUGCCGAGUGUUUGAAAAAAAACACUCGGCAAAAAGAAAAUACUCGGCAAAUUUAAGGUUUCCCGCAGUGAUCGCAGAGCUAACCAAGGCAAUCGCCUUCAAGGCGGACCUGAACCUGCUCCACUUGCGCGCGGCCUUCCACGAGCACAUCGGCGACAUCUCGAGCGCCCUCCGGGACUGCCGUGCAGCCCUAUCGGUGGACCCCAACCACCAGGAGAUGCUGGAGCUUCACCACCGGGUGAACAGCCAGGAACCCUGAGCCCCAUGGUGUACAUACAGGAGCUCUCAUAGCCAACCAGACAUACCAGUGUAUGUUUUGUACCAUACACAGCAGAUGAAUGUAAGGAUAGUAGAAGCCAUUUAGGUCCUCCCCUUCAAAACCAAACCCCAUUCCUUGUGUCCCUAAGUAGAUAUGUUGUUUGCCAUAGCCUCCUCUUAGUAAAUUAUUAUUGUCGAUUGUGAUUAAGCCUCCUAAUUGUACCGGCCAUGUACCCCAGCAGCCCAUGUUGCCAGAAUCAAAAAGUUUUGACUGUAUCAUUGUGUAAAUGGAAUGGGAAAAAGAAUGGAAGCUUUGUCGGCGCUACUAAACUGUCAAACCUGCUGGCCACUUGCUAUCCUGGCUGAUUGAUUGCACAUGUGCAGAUAUGCUUCCUGGCUGUUGAUUUUAUCUGGAGUGUUCUUUGUUUACUAGUCAUGAGUCAGGAUUAGCAUGCGGUCAUUGUUGCACUGAUUGGGGUGUAGACUGAAGGAAGGCAACAGCUUGCAGCUUCUGAAAAUGAAUGGUCAAUGAAUGAGGACUGAAGACAGGGCUUCACUUUCUCAGGUUGAAUGGUCCAUAAAUGGUGAAUCGGAAGGUCAAGUCUCGAAGUGGAUGGAGAAAUUGUAGGAUUCCUUUUUCCCCAUAAUGAGCAGCAUUUGUUGGUGUGCUUGUACGUGACGUUUAGCUGCACUGAAUUGACUGAAGCAUCAGGGAUGAUUAUAUCCUCCUAUUUUGAUGUCACUAAUGACAACAUAUUUGGUGAUUGAGCGAAAAGAGGACGAGGAUUAAGAUCCAAGUCCUCAGACAAAGCCCCCACUUCACUAUAAUUUAGCGAGAAGCGACUUUCAGUGAUAACCAUCCCUGUGCACGCCCACUCAUAAGAGUAGUACAUACGCCUAUCGCCCACUCAUAAGAGUAACCUUUUGCAUGCCUGGAGCCUCUCUUUGCUACCUUUUUGCCUUAUUUUUCUUCCAACCAUUCACGUCUUUUCGCUGGUUUGCCAAACAAAUCCUAACAAAUACGAUCCAUAUGUCCUACCACCAAGAUCUCCAACACAUACAAUUUCUAAAAGAGAAAAGGUGCGUCAAUUAGGUUGAUCGGUGUAACCAUCCAAGCACAAAUUGACAAAAGUUCGAGGCCUUUCAUCAGCCCCCUUUUUUGUGCCCAACUGCCGGUCGCCAAAUGCCGAACACGUCAAGAAGACUCACCAAAUUUUGUGGUGGAUUUUCAGCGGCAAAGCUUCCUGUGAGAGGUACAUGAGGGAAAGCGACGUGAAUUCGUUGAACACUUCACGGGUGCUGAUGCUGUCUAUCGGAUGAGCAUGUGGAAUGAGAACAAAGUAGUGUGGAUAAGAGCUGAGGUGGUGAUAAGCUCUUGGCAUCUGCUUCUCAAGCACAAAAGUUUAGAUGAAACUUAGCUAAACAGGACCUUGAAAUGGAUGAUACUUGGUACCAUACUAUUUUGAAAUUCAGGAAAACAAGACGGAACGCUUUGCUGGACAUCUUCCGUACAACGCUUGUGUGCUCUUUGAGCCCCUCCAACGAAUCCGAUCAUGAGCACUACAAACAACUAGCGCGUAUAAUUGUGCUCCUUGAAAAUAGCUAGUUUAAGACCCCGUUUGGAUCCACUUCAGGCUUCCAAAAACUCUAGCCGACCUAAUUAAGUUUUGAUCUAGCUUUUACAAUCUUACAAGCAAUCUUUCCUAAAUUUUUUCAGUACAUUUGUGCAUUAUGACUUUUAAAAGCUCUAGCUGAUCCAAAGAAGCCAGCUUGGUCUAGCUUCUAACAAUCCAUAAGUUGGGCCGUACCUAAGAUUUAGAGGUCCUGGUGCUAAACAUAAUUUAGGCCCUACACUUACAAGUAUAAGUAAAUGAAGUGUAUUUUUUAUUUGAUUAUAUAACAUAUCAUGAUUAAGUGCUUGUUAUCCUGAUUAGUAGAACAGUAACAGAUGAGAGCGCAGGGAGGAAAAAUUGAAAAGUGGAAGUAUAAUUGAAAGGAGGAUCAUUGGAGGAAAAACAAAUAAACAAGACUGUUUUGAGAAAAUGAAACGGCGACCGUUGGAGAGCCGAUCUAGGAAGAGCAGCAAAUUGGACUAGUUCCACCUUGUUUUGCUGGCUUAGUGAUAAAUACUAAUUAUCGAUAACAAAAUUUGACACCAUCAAUUCUUUAAACCUGACCUGGUAAGAUCAAGUAAUUUAUUUGGUUGAAUUUUGAGUUUAAUUUGGCUAGAUCAAAUUCAAGUUAGAUAACUAAAAAAAAGUCAAGUUAGAAAACAAUAGCAGAUUGCAAGGUAUUGGACUUCUUUCUUAGUUCAAAAUAGUGAUUUGAUCUACACAGUAGAGUGUGUGGGUGGGUGCCUGGGUGGCUAGAUGAAAUCACUAGGCCCCCGACAUGCUUGAGCCUCACUAGCAUCGAGCCUACCAUCCCAUUCAUCUCAUGAACUAGCUCACACUUCAUAAAUUUUAGCUAACGUCAUGUCGAAAAUUUAGUAGCCUAAUCUUUCCAUCAUGAACCCAAAAAAAAAUGCAAACCAUGAUAAUGUGCAAUUGUAUGCUAACAACAAAAGGAAAUGAACUUUGGCCACUCAUUUAUAAACAAGUGUUUGGAUGGGACCUACACAAAUAAUAUCAUGGAAUUCUCGUCAUGUACAAACAUCUUCGUAAUAACAGAAGAAAGUAAGUAGAAAUAGGUUGAACGGUUCAUUUUUAACCACCCACUAGGUACCCCUUGCGGCUGGCAGCUGCUGCAAGGCAGCCCCGCUGAUCUUCAGCCUGGUAGGUGUGCUCGAACCUGCCGCAACCGCAAAGUAUAUAAAGAGGUUACAGAUCAGAGUCGCUCGAAAUGGUAAAAGUGUAAAAGGUUUUUUUACGGUAUACAAUACUACCUUAUACUACUGUUCGAAAAGGACUCGUAUAUAAGGAUCCUACGGUUAAGAUUAAUUGUAUACUACUAAAACCUUAAGCUAGGUAGUAUGCAUGAGAGUAUGGGUAGUACAGGGUAGGUUAUCUUCUCUUCAUUUCCUUUUGCUCAUCGUCUCUUCAUUUCCAAUCGCUCGCAUGCGCACUGGGCUGGUGGCGGCGACUCCGCUCACUGGUCUAAAAACACUCGGCAAAGAGUUCGCCGAGUGUAACCCUCGGCGAACUGUACUCGGCAAAUUUCGCCUCGGCAAACAGUGGAGUUGCCGAGUGCCGAACGUCGGGCACUCGGCAAAUGGUUUGCCGAGUGUCAAAAAGCACUCGGCAAACAUUUUCAGAAAAAAUAAAAAAAAACAAAAACACCGGCCGCCGGCCACCACGCCACCCCGCCGCCUCGCCCGCUGCCGCCUGCCACCACGCCACCUCGCCCACUGCCGCCCGCCACCAAGCCGCCUCGCCUGCUGCCCCCACGCCGCCUUGCCCGCUGCCGCCUGCCACCCGUACGCCGCCUCGCCCGCUGCCGCCCGCCACCCGGACGCCGCCUCGCCCGCUGCCGCCCGCCACCUGCACGCCGCCUCGCCCGCUGCCGCCCGCCACCUGCACGCCGCCUCGCCUGCUGCCGCCCGCCACCCGGACGCCGUCUCGCCCGCUGCCGCCCGCCACCUGCACGCCACCUCGCCCGCUGCCGCCCGCCACCUGCAUGCUGCCUCGCCUGCUGCCGCCCGCCACCCGGACGCCGCCUCGCCCGCUGCCGCCCGCCACCCGGACGUCGCCUCACCCGUUGCCGUGCGCCACCCGGACGUCGCCUCACCCGUUGCCGUGCGCCACCUGCACGCCGCCUCGCCCGCUGCCGCCCGCCACCACCACGCCGCCUCGCCUCCUGCUGCCACCCGCCACGCCGCCACAUCCGGCCGGAAAGGGGAGGGGGCCUCGCUGGGGGAAGGAGGGGCGGCUGCGCCGCCGCCGAAUCCGGCCGGGAGGGGCCGCGCCGCCGCCGGAUCCGACCGGGAGGGGCCGCGCCGCCGCCAGAUCCGGCCGGGAGGGGCGGGCCGUGCCGUCGCCAGGGAAGGAGGAGGGGAGAGGAGGGUGAGGGGCGCCGACAGGAGAGGGAGAGGGAGGGAGGGAAGGGGCGGCGGCGGCAGCUAGCCGGUGGCGAUGAGAGGGAGGUGGGGGGCGGAGCUAGGAAGAGGAGAGGGGCGUCGGGGGGGCGCUGGAGGCUGGGGUGCUGGGGACGGGGGGCCGGGGGGACGGGUAAAAUACUUGGUGUUGAUGUUUGCCGAGUGUCCCCCACGGGGCACUCGGCAAAGAAAAAGAAAAAAGAUAUUUGCCGAGUGUGAAAAGAAAAAACACUCGACAAACAUUAUAUAAUUACCUUUAAUACAUUAUUAAAAAUAUCCAAUAGUUCCAAAAAAUUAGCAAAAUGACACCUGAAACAAUAUAUGUUCUCUAUUGCAUAUAAAAAAAGUUUUGUGGUCAAAUAAAAUCUCUACCGUCACUUUGACUCUAAAUCUAAUCGAAUUCUUCUCAACGCUACUAUUCUUCUUCGGAGAUGCUUCAGUUUGUAAACAUCGCACGUGACAAAAUGUGCAAAACCUUCUCAAUUUUUUACCACAACCUCCACGCAUGAUAUCAUCACACCAUGACAAAUCUCAUGAUUUUCCGACUUCGUUUGCCUUUUUUAGAAUUUAAAAAUCAUUCAAUCACAUGUUUGUGGUUAUGUUCUCUGAACAAGAUGUUUGAAAUUUCUUUUCAUUUCAUGGGUAAGGACUCAAACUGGGCUAAAUAACAUAAAUAUCAUUUUUCUACGCAUUUUAUUCUAUAAUUUGAAUCACUUGCAGUUCAAAUUUGACUUAUACCAAAAAUUCCCUUAAAAUGCAAUUAAUUAAUUAAAUAUAGCAAACAAAUCCAAAAAUAUACCAAAUUUUAAUAUGAAGUACCACAUGUUGUAUGUGGGGAGUAGAAAAUAUUUCAAGGUGAAAAGAGGGAAAAAUUAUUUUUUUACCGAGUGUCAAAAAAAACACUCGGCAAAGACACUCGGUUGCCGAUUGUUUUUUUGACACUCGGCAAAGAGACGGGUUUGCCGAGUGUUUUUUUCGUGACACUCGGCAAAGAUUCAAUUUGCCGAGUGUUUUUUCUUUGCCGAGUGUUUUUAGCUUGGCAUUCGGCGAAGAGCUUGUUUGCCGAGUGUUAAAAAAAAAAAAACACUCGGCAAAGAAAAAACACUCAGCAAUUUUUAGCUUUCCGGCAGUGGCUGCCUCCUAAAUCCUUUUGCUCAUCGUCUCUUCAUUUCCAAUCGCUCGCACGCGCACUGGGCUGGUGGCGGCGACUCCGCAGCUGGAGGCAGCGAGGAAGAAGGAGGUCAGGUACGAGAAGAUCCGGACCAUCGAGAAGGGCCACCGGCGGCACUUCCACGACGACAUCACCGUCGUCAUGCUGUUCCUCGACAGGUGCAGGUCUGGACCGGAGGACAUCGACGGCAGCGCCCGUCGACGUCUUCUCCUGCAGCCCCGCCGGCGACCACAAGGACCCGACCAGGCCCGUCCUGCGUUGAGGUUGAUCUCGGAUUCUCGGCUGGUCCUCCUCGUGCUAUCCAGAGAUUGAUGAACAUACUGUUCUUUCUUUCGGUGCUUGAUCCGAUUGCUCGCUCUCUAAACGAGAGGUACGCGUGAAUCGAGCCGUUUCCCGUUCAAGGAGAAUUUGCCUGCAAAGAAAUGCUAGUAUCGAAUCGAACAUACUGUGUGGUAAUUAAACGUACUGUAAACCUUCAUCAGUUCCUUCUUUCGUUUUAAGAGAAUGUGAAUGUUCUACUGCACUCCAACGAUCCUGCUUUCUAGUAUCUGUUCUUCCCGUUGUUCUUCAUAGCCGCCGGCGGCGAGCUCCUUCAGACGAGUGAGCAGCGAAUAAUAUAUGUCGUGCUAAUUACAAUUUUACCUAUAUUAAAAAAUAGCCUAUACUCUAUACUACUACCAGGUAGUAUUGUCAAACGUCAGAAUUGGUUCGUUUCUAUUCCGAGCAAGCUGUUCCUGGACUUUCUUCUUCAGUUCACCUUUCUUGCGCCUUUCUUCCUGUCUUCUUUCCUCUAUCGUUUCCCUGGUCUCACAAUCUGGAAUGUAAACACUGAGGUGGACCUCGUUGAUGCUUUGGAGAAAUUCUAGCCCAGAAAAUUCAAUCUCAUUAUUUACUUGCCCUCUGACCUGCAGCCGCUCAAGUUUGGGCAUUAUUCCUUCUUCAAACUUUACCGAUUUGAUGCCCCAUAAGUAUGCAAGCAUGAGCACCCUGAGGCUUCCGAAAGCUCUUCCAGUCUGCUGAGAUCGGAAACGAAGUUCUUCACCCUGAAACGAUUGCCAAGACAAGCUUAGAAUUUCCAGCUUUGACAGUUUCCCAAGGAAUUCCAUAGCAUCAUCGUGCUCCAAUAGCCUGGUGCAAACUAGUUUCAACUUCACGAGAUGCGGGAGCUGCUUGAUCCAUUGCGGCAACGUUUCCAUAUUGCCAUAGAGCUUGAGGCUCUGCAGGUUUUCUGGAGGGGAGGAUAUUGCAUCCAAGCAGCCACGCAAACCUGGGUAUCCUGCCGAACUCACAGACAGCGAUUCCAGCCUGCUGAGAUUGGAAAUGGCAGCGCGAAAAGCUGGGCCAUUCUUCCUGUUGAUGCCGGCAACUCCUAACUUGCGCAACCCCGUAAGCAUUUUAAUGUCCUGUAGAACGGCAUUUCCCCUUCCGACAUGCACUUCCCGCAAUGUGUGCAACUCUUUCAGUUUUCUUGUCCCCCUUGGCACCAUAGCGCCUCUUUCUGCAUAAACUCCUGUCAUGACAGCAGGGAAUUUCACGCAGCAAGCGAAAGUGUAUGCAUCACGCCUUGUAAGGGCCUUAUGGAGAGGGCCAUCAAUGUCCCAAAGAACAGGUGCGCAACAUGUUGCACAUAGACCCGCCCCCCAAAGACAUCUCCUGGUUAAACUGUACUUUUCCCCUAUCCCAUAAUCUAGUCCUUGACCAGCAUGGAUGUACUGUAGCUUCCGAAGCUUGAUGAUGGUUUUGGGCAGAGCCAUUAUGCAUGUACCUCUGACGUCUAGCACUUGGAGCUGUCUCAGGUUGCCCAAUAAAUCUGGCAGUAGAUCAAUACCACUACAUCCUCGUAGAGAGAGGUAUUUUAGGUGAACAAGCUUCCAAAUAUGAUCAAGCUGAUGGUAUUUUAGAUCAUCUAUAUCUUCUAAGUCGAGCACUCGUAGAAGCCUCAUCUUGUCAGAAAUGUAAAAUGGUCUGAAUUCUCCGAACACGGUUAGUGAUCGUAAUCGUGACAGAUCAACUAUUCUCUCUAACUCACUCUGAUCUCCUUUCCAGUUGCUGCUUAUUGCAAGAUGACGAAUUGCGCCAUGGGUACUCAAGCCACAUCCUUCCUCCAGUCUAAAAACAAGGUUUUCCUCCAUUGACUUUGAGAUGGCAAUGUCACGGAUGAGAUCAUGGACUUUGCAAGAGUCAAUUGAUUUUCUACUGCGAACUGAUUGUUGAAAUGGUAAAAUCAUGCUUCUGUAUUUGAGUUGUGUAAAGUAAUUUUCAGCCAUUUCAUUGGCAGACUUGCCACGCCUCUCGUGUGAGUACCCUUCUACUGUCCAUCGAUGCACCAAACGCCUCUGGCUAAUGAUGUGGUCCUCAGGAAAAAUGGAUAGAUAUAAGAAACAUGACUUGAGUUCAUAGGGUAAACCAUCAUAACUUGUCUGAAGGACGGUUCUUAUCAUCCCAAGCUCUGGAUUCAUCUCUAACUCAGCACUGAUAUUUUCAUUCAACUUUCUCCACUCAGCUCUAGUCUUUGGCCGGCUUGCCAAGUAGCCACCUAUUGUAACUAUUGCAAGGGGAAGUCCACCACACUUUUUUAGGAUUUUUUUUGUUUCUUCAAACAACUCGGGAUUCUUCUUAAUCAAAUCUGUUGCCUUCACAAGGGGAAGUCCACCAUACUUCUUCAAGUUUUGGUUUGCUUCUUCAACAAACUCUGGAUUCUGCUUAACAAAAUCUGCAGCCUUCCCAAAUACCUGAUUUUAAUGCAAUUUAAGUAUUUUAGUACUCCAAUCCAAAAAAUAAAUAAUUGUGCAUUACUUGUUGAUAUUUUGUUUGCUAGUGAUAGGCGCACAAUUGGUUGUGCACAGUGAUAAACACAUAUUGAAACAACAGUUUCCUGUGAAACUUGGUGAUAUAUAAAUUUUUUUUGUAAGUUUGGCUGAAACUUGUCCAUUAUUCUUUUAUAAAAUAUUGCUGAAAAUUCUCACAACUUCAUGAACUUUCUUGGGAGUUGCCUUUCAUAAAACUUGCCCAUUAUUCUUUUAAUUUUUUUCUGUAGUAGACCACCUUUGAUGAGAGCUGUUAGUUUCCUUUAAUCUAACAUAUAUGAAUAUGAUGAUCUGAGGUAUACGAGAUCAGUUUACAGUAGAGCUGAAGCUAUGUUUUAAGGAAAUUUCCGUAAUACUAGGGAACUACUAAGUUUCUCCUGAGUGUUUUAGAUGACUUCAACACCAGAAUUUGGUCCCGCAGUUUUAUUCCACAACUUAUGCUUUAGGGUUGAUAUGUAUAUUAGUUAAGAAAUUUAUAUGUUUUGAGGCCUCAAAAUGACAAUUGACUUUUGUUUAUACAAUAUAAUUAUAAUCAGUUUAAUGUUGAAUUAGGGCUAGUCUACCCAUAAGUUACAUUCAUGUUUUUUUAUAAUUUUCAAGUAAUAAGAGUGUAAUAAAAAUUCAACUAUUUUAUACCCGAGUAUAACACUUGAUCCUUUUGUUAGUAUGAAGCUAGAUCUAAGUUGAGUUAAUAUCUUGAAAUUGGAUAGCUGAAAAUCAGGUGGUGGAAACCCCUAAAAUGCUUGAGUGACAUAUAUGUAGUCCUAGUCCCUAAUAGUAAGGAUAAAAAAUAUACAGGGACAUUCACUCAAAGUGAAAUAUGACACACCACGUAGCAACAACUCAAAACAAAUGUAGGCUGCGUUACUUGAAAUACAUAUGACAUCAUGUUCUUUUCAUAGUAAUAUCUCAGAUUGUUAUUAUGCUAGAUUCAAAAUUUUUUAACCAUUGUAAAAAUCUCCAAGUUAUUAACAUGGCUACGAACACCCAUAGAUAUUUAAUACUUUUCUUUAGCAACGUAAUGAAGUAACGAAUACUACUACCCGAUCUGUGGACGUUCUCAGUGUUUUGGUGGGUGGGGGUAAUUAAUAGUUUUUAAAUAAUAUUAUCUUCAUAGUCAAUUGUAAAUAUAUUUUAUAAUGAAACAAAGAAAAAAUAAAAUAGAUAGUUGACAGUGCUAUUGGAAACUCCUAAUAUUGGAAAAGUCACCUAAUAUAAUAACAAAAGUACCUUCCCUUAAGAUCCUCAGAAAAAUGAGAACUAUUUUGUGGUUUCACAUGGAUAAAUGAGUAGGAAAGGGAAUUAAACAAAUAAGGACAAAAGAAAUUAAUGCAUUCUCUACUGUGUUCAACAAGAGGACAAAACAUAUUUUUUCUGUGUUCUGGUGGUGUUUGUGGUCUUGUGUUUUCUAAAAAUACUGGGAGAACGGGCAUCAUUGAUAUACUGGGAGGCAAAAAUAACGUUAUAUAUGAAUCAUGGAUGUAUAGGUCAUUAGAGGCAAUAAUUGGGAUGGCAACAGCCUGUUGAAUAUCAAUGUAUUGAUCAUCUUGGUUCAGUUGUUCAAAUGAUAAACAAAUGUCAAAAAAUUUGCAUGUUCCCAUAUGUUCUCCAUUGUCGACAGGACCAUCUUUAAUCUCUACGAAAUGCUAGACUGUUGUAGUAAUAAUGCUAUUUAAAAUCAAGCAAAAGUGACAAGGUUUCUAUUAUAUUACCUUUAAGCUGAAGAGGUUAAGUGCGUCCUCUUCUUUUAGAAUUUCAAGGUUGUGUACUAUUCCAUAUUUCCCGGAACAAUGCUUUGCAAUGCUUUCCUCCCUUGUAGUCACAAUUAUUUGGGUUGUUUUUUCCAUCCAAGAAAACCCUUGUAUUAUAUGGUCCCAUUCUUCAAUGGAUGACAGAUCGUCCAGAACAAUCAAGCAGCUCUUCUUUUCUAAAAGCCUUUUCAACUCUUUAGUCAAGCCUUGUAAUGAUUUGGUCUUGCUGGGUCUAUUGUUCAACAGUUCUUCCUUCUUAGAAGACUCUUCUUGUAAUCGCCUAACUAAACUUCUAAGUAGAUCUGCAGGAUUGAAAGGACGCAUGAUUGUGGCAAAUGCGUACUUCUCAAACAUAUCACUUAACUUUGGGCUUUGAUAAAUUCCGUUGGCUAGAGUGGUUUUUCCAAGACCACCCAUUCCCCAAACAGAGAUCACUUGACUCUGUUGGCUAGCCUUGUUUGAGAUUAAUCCUAUAAUUUUGGAUAUUUCUUUCUCUCGCCCAAUAAGUUGAGAUUCCUCCAAAGAACCAACACCUGUUUUGAUGCGAGUGAGGCUCUUUUUGUCCACCUUCGUUUCAUCAACAUCCUUACACUGAUCCUCUGUUAUCUCACUAGGGGCCACUGUUUGGGUAGUUGUAUUGGUAGUGGCCACAUCUGAGCUAGAUACUGGAUCCACGGAAACCAUUUCAUUUUGAGAACCCUGAACAAACAGAAAGUACAAUUAUUGGAAGCAACCUUUAAACUUCUUCUUGUUGUUAUUUUUUUAAGGUUAUGUGUACCUAUAACCAAAGUACUAUAUAACCUUUUAUGUAAUCAUGCAGUCAGUGACUAUUGGCCAUAAAUCAAUUUAACAAGGUAUGAAAAUUACAGAUAACAGAAAUCUGGCCUUGCUGCAGUGCUUAAGUUUUUAAUAUCUAUAAGCCGAAGUCCUAACAUAAAUGACUAAGGUCAUAGUUGAAGACACCAGGGGUAAAGGGUUAUGGUUUCAAAUGAUCCACCUCCCUCUGAAAUCCUAAAACCCACCCAGUUAUUACUCAGUAAUCUGUAGUUUACACGAUGCUCCCUAUUGAUAGAAAUAUCUUGGUGUCCUCCUAUCUAAAUAUUUAAGAGUUUAGUGGCUGUGUUUAUAUUAGCUAAUGAAGAAGCCGUAAAUUAUAACUUCUUCAUCUAAUAUUCAACGAUGAAUCCCAAGUUAUGUUUAUCCUCCCCUCAAGAGAUGCUGCGAUCAACAUAGACUACAGCAAUGAACAGAUUCAGUAUCUUUCCCCUUCAUAUAGAUUUUCAGUUAGCAAAUGUAGUGAUUUCACAAUUUUGCUAGUAUAUCCAUUCAUUAAAUCUGCUGGAAUAUCCUGUAGGAUUUAACAAGGUAUUAUUUUUCACAUUCACAGUGGGAUGUUUCUUUUCAAGCACAGAUGGGACAAUUGCUUUAGAGAUUUAUAUAAUUAAAAUAAAGCUUCAAAAUUUACAGUUAAGCAAGGAAGCUUAUAUUCCCUCCGUUUCAAAUUGUAAAUCGUUUUGGCUUUUUUAGAUACAUGAUUUUUGCUAUGCACCUAAAUGGUUAUGUCUAGAUACAUACCAAACUCUAUGUAUUUAUAAAAGUCAAAAUGACCUAUAACUUGAAACAGAGGAAUUGCUUAAAUGCUGUUGGAAAAUAAUAUAAUCCUUGAUACGCGGAUAACUGAACCAGAAUAACGAUGUCAUAGAAUGUUACUAAAAAUAAAAAUAUAAGUAUUACCUUGUCAUAGAAUGCAUAAAGCGUGUGAUCAGCAGACAAUUGCUUUAGCUCUGAGGCUUGGCUAUCUUGCCCUGCACAUAAGCUUGCAACUUCAACUUGUGUUGUUGACACUAUGAUUCGGCUUCCUUUGUUGUUGUUUGGCAGGCAUUUUUCGAUCUGGUCCCACUCUUCAAUGGUGCAGAGGUUAGUAAGCACAAUGAGAAACCUCUUCUCCUUCACAUAUCCAUCGAACUCCUGAACUAAAUCGUGCGCGGUCUUCUCUGUGUCUAAUAUAUCUUUAAAUCCUUCCACUGCAAGAAAUUGGUUCACUAAGCUCCGGACAAAGCCUUCUGAACUGAAUGGAUGAGUCACCCUCACCCAUGCUCGGCUGGGAAAUUUUCUUUGGGUGUCUGGAUUCUUGUAAGCCGCCCUGAUGAUGGAUGUUUGGCCGAUAUCACCACCUGUUCCCCACACCGCAAUGACUCUAAGGUCAUCAUCCUCCUUGUUGAUCAGUUGGACGAGAUCCACUCUCUGAUUCUCCUUUGCGGCACGCCUUGCAUCAUCAACACCGAAUAUGGCUGCAGCAAUGAUGCUUGAUUGCACAGUGGCAGCUGUGGCCUUGGAUCCAGAGCCCUUGAUGAGGCGGUACCGCACAUUCCUCUGGCUCACAUCCUCAACCUUGGCCCUGAGCUCCUUCAUCUUCUUGGCCACACGGCGCCGCUCGAGCAGCUUGCGAGGGAAUCGCCACCAAGAUGGCCUCUCCACACGGACAGCAAAAUCUUGGAGACUGUCCUCGACGUCAUAGGCCGUGUCACGGACCUGCUUCACCCAGGUCUUCACCACCUUGUUGUCGUCUCGCUCCUCGUGUGCCUCCAUCAUGAAAGACUGCAUCAUCUCAAGCUCAUCCGCGACGAACGCAUGAUCUCGCUGGAUACCGAGCUGCAAGGCUACCUCCUCUGCAAAGGCAGAUUUCGCGUAGCCGAGCGCUCCAUUCAGCACGGACUUGCCCACACUCAGUGCCGUCGCCUCCAUCGUUCUGCUGUGUUUCUCCGUGGAUCUAUACAAGGCUCAAAUUUAGAAGCUAAAACUCCGAGGCAGAAAAGGAUAGAUGGACAAGCGUUGAUGCCACCCAGCAAGAUGGCAAGUACCUGAAUUUUGGUGAACGCACAACCAAGGCAGGGGCAGAUCUAGAGGUAAAUAUGCUGCAAAAUACAUUCUUGCUGUAAAUACAAAUAAUACAAUCUGUGAGAAACUGAAGAUCUUUGAAAGUAUACCUUCUGUGGCCUAUGAGAUCUUGUGGCGUGGAAGUAAAUACAGCACUCUACUGCUUUGAUCCGGCGAGGCUCAAGCUCACGGGACGGCCCACACUCACACGCCCUGACGUGACCCGGCAAGCCAGCAAGGUUGAGGCCAAAUGGUGUGGAUGCGUGAUUCCAAGGCAGUAGGCACCGAGAUGGCGGCGCCGCCCUCGCCGACGAGCUACGCCGCCACUACUCUUGCUGUCUUGCACCCGGUCGGCCUGUCGCCGCUGACACUCUGUGGUGGCUUGGUAGUCACCAGUUACUCCUCAGAAGUACCGCAUGCUGGCUGGGAGCAGUGGACUCUAGAUACCUCUAAUGGACUUUGCAGGGUGCUUACAUGGUCAGUAGGGAUUUUGCACACGAGCACUUGUUGGGGUCGGUUAGCAGCCGCCUGCCAAUUUCCUCUACACAUUAGCAAAUAAUGUGUAGAUUUUUUCAAUCAGUUAGCAAUUCCCUCGGGAGUAGAUUUACACAUUAGCAAUUCCCUCGGGAGUAGAUUUUUUCAAUCAGUUAGAUCCAAAGCGAUUGGGUAGCAGAUGUCAGUAUGUCACAUGGGGCGGUACAUUGGCAACAAUAAGAUACUUAAAGAGCUAACUGGCCGACGAUGCUACCGAAGACUUAACUAAUUACUACUACCUUUUGGUGGACCAACCUAUACAGACACGUAACACAACUGUCCUAGAAAUAUAGUUGCGCACAAGAUAAAAUUGCAUAACCCAAGCACCUUCUACUAAGGUUGAAAUGUUCGUUAUACAAACCAUGGCCCAUGGCACACAAGCUGAGUAAACUCCAAAAGGGUUCUGCAUACAACCUAAAACAAUCUUACAACAAAGAAACAGACAAACCCAAUGGACAAUAUCCAUGUAUACUUCGUUUCAGAAAGGUGUUCCGUUUGCAUUAUGCUUUAGUGUAGCACCAGGCUAAAAUGCAGGACCGUCUUCUCGAGCUCAUCCCUGAUGAAUGCCUGGUCUCGCUGGACACCAAGCUGCAACCUGCAAGGCCACGUCCUCUGCCAAGGAAGAUUUCGCGUAGCCAAGUGCUCCAUUCAGCACAUACUUGCCCACACUCAGUGCUGUCGCGUCCGUAGCUCUGCAAGCUGUGUUUCUCCAUGUUUUUUUAGAUUAGGGAAAUAUCCGGUCUUACGCCAUCUGCCACAAGGCCUUACAUAAAGUUUCACCAAACAGAAGAUGACAGACACUAGGCCUCAAUCUUAUUCCUGGAACUCCACCCAAACUAGCUGAAGAUUUCCAUGACAGCAAUCUCCAAAUUGCGACAGCUUUCUUUCAAGGCGACCUUCUCUUCCUCGUUAGAUAGCAGCGACCAACAUAAUGUCCAGUAUAUCCCUCUAAGAUUACCUUGCAUAAGAGAGUUAGGCUUGGAUCUUUUGAGCACUACAUCAUUCCUACUUAACCAAAUAGUCCAAUAAAGACUCAAUGCACCAACUAAAAUCUGAUUUCUAAGCUUUACAGAAAAAGUUUCUAAUCCAAGAACCAUACAAAUUCGAUACAUUGGUAGGCGAUUGAAUAUCAAAUGUGAUGUAAACAGAAUUCCAAAUUGUUCUAGCCAAAUGACAGUAAAAAAAUAAAUGUUGAAUCAUCUCACUAGAGCUACAGAAGCAACACCUAAUACUGCCUUUCCAAUUUCUCUUUACCGAGUUGUGGCAGACCUGAUGCUCACCUCACACAUCUGGCCUGAUGACUCUACAAAGUGACUGAGCUGGCGCCACAGCUGCACUCUUGGCGUAUGGUCCUGGAACGAAUCCAGAUCAAGUGACUUUGCCCAUGUGAAGCACAGUCAACGUAUCGACAGGUCAAAGUGUAACAGAGAGAGGAGCUGGUUUGGACGGAUCGAUGUCCUAUAGCCUUGCGGUGGUUGGGAGCAAAGUUUCCCUUCCCCUGCAUGCAUGUACUUGAAUCCAUUAUUUUGCAAUUCACCAAGCCAAAGAUGCCCAAAGAGCUCAGUGAGGCGUUCGAUGUAGGCAAAGUACUCACACACUCUGGUGAUAAUCAUACUGCUUAUUUGAUUGAUGGUGGCCUGGGUGCUGAGUACAGUAGCAUUUAUUUUAUGUUGUGGAGUGUACUAGUUGUUGAGACAGGCUGUAAAGAUACACCAUGUUUGAUUACAUGCAAAAAAUUUUUUUUUGAGAAGGUUACACCCUGCUUUGGACAUGGUAACAAUGCAACCACUCCUCCAAGUUCCCUUUCUUCUUUUUUUAUUCUACUACACGGAGAUCGGCGCAACAUCAAGCAUGAGUAAAGAUGCACGAUCGCAGAAAGCUCCUCAUAGUCAAGUUCUAAUCAUUCAAGAAUCAAAGCAAGCAACAACAGCUUGAAACUGGCUCACCAUUUUGGACUACCAAACUCUGAACAAAUACUUCUGGACUGAAAGGAUGCAUCACCCUCACCCAUGUUCGGCCAGGAAAUUUGCUUUGGACGUCUAGGUUAUGGUAAGCCGCCCUGAUGAUGGAUGUUUGGCCGACAUCACCACAUGUCCGGGUUCAGCUACAAUUGUAGGCGACAUAAACCGGAAAAGGACAGACCGGAGGGAUUAGAGUUUUUUUUUUCCUCCUUUUUUGAGAUGGGGAUUUAAGCAUUCUUAGGACGGAGGAGAGGAGGAGAGCGUGGUGCGGCACGUGACCUCAAUUUCUGUCAUUAGCUUGAAUCGUCACUAUGAACAUGUACUAAAAAGUAAAAAUUAGCAUAAUACUCCGUAGUUGCCAAUGAGUACCCACUAGUAGAGAACUGACUUUCGAUCCACCCCCUUUUAUCCCGGUUUAAAAGUGGCCCGGGACAAAAGGGGGUGCGCCGGGGUGCGGGAAUUUGGAGGGGAGCAUUAGUCCCGGUUGGUAAUUGCAACCGGGACUAAAGGCCCCCCUUUAGUCCCGGUUGCAACGGCUAGCGGGGGGCCGUCGGUGGCGGGACCCUUUUAUCCCGGUUGGAGGAUCCAACCGGGAUAAAAGGGACACCCUUUUAUCCCGGUUGGAGGCACCAACCGGGAUAAAAGGGUUAGUCCCGGUUGGUGCCUCCAACCGGGAUAAAAGGGUGUCCCUUUUAUCCCGGUUGCAUCCUCCAACCGGGACUAACUUUCCAACCGAGACAAAAGGUUUGUCUCGGUUGGAGUUUUUAACCGGGAUUAAAACUCAUCCCCCACUAUACCCCGAGACAGAGACUUUCUUCUUCCUCCAGCCCGAGCAGUCCAGCACAUUGAUAGAGAGCUGAGCUUCACCUACUCUCCGGUGGUGCCCAAGCAAGGGAGGUGCUGCCCGAAGUUUUUUCCCUCAUUUUCGUGGGAAUUUGACUCAGCCAACAAGUGCUGCGAAGGUUUGCUACUUCAUCCUCGUGUUAUGCUUUGAUUUAUGCUUUGGAGAUGGAAAGAUUAUUUGCUACAAUGUGAUGAUGAAGUAGAAAAAUGGAGAGGUAUUUUGAGCUAGAAUGUGAGGGAGAUUGAUGUGUCAUAUAUAGUAUGCAUUAUUUCAGUGGUUUAAAAAUGAUGCUACCUUGUCUAGACGGUUUAUCUUAUCAAAUUCAAUAUGGUUUUUUAAAUCCAUAUACUUGUUGAACUUGCAUACCGUGUUCAUUUCGGCGAGAAUGUUCUCCGCCGAGCAGCAACGUAUGUCAAGAAGGAGGUUCGAUUCUACGAGAAAGAGUGAAUACGGACAUCGUGACCGUGUCCCCUUUUCCGUAGCAUCUAACCUCUUUCAUGACGAAGUGCGGUGCCGCCUAGCUGAGGACAUCCUCGCGAAAUGAACACGGUCUUCAAGUUCAACAACUUCUGUAGUGGUAAGGAAAGAAUUUUUGUACAUAGAUGACUUCUGCUACUUGUUGAACUUGCAUACCGUGUUCAUCUCGCCGAGGAUGUUCUCCGCCGAGCAGCAACGUAUGUCAAGAAGGAGGUUCGAUUCUACGAGAAAGAGUGGAUACGGACAUCGUGACCGUGUCCCCUUUUCCGUAGCAUCUAACCUCUUUAAUGACGAAGUGCGGUGCCGCCCAGUUGAGGACAUCCUCGCGAGAUGAUCACGGUCUUCAAGUUGAACAACUUAUGCAGUGUUUGGGACUUUAAUUUAAAUAUGUGUAUUUGGAUCUUCAUGUUGUUGUAUUGUACCAUGUUGUUUGGAUCUUUAAUCGAUUUUCACGCGUAAUCCAUUGUCAAGUGUAAUCCAUUUUCGUGCGUAAUACGAUGCAGAUGGACCGGCAUUGGAUGUAUAAUGCAGACAGGCGGAGCAAGGUGUUUAUUGAUGGCUUGCAUUAUUUUCUCGAAGUGGCAAAAGCGAACAAGCCAGAGAAUGGGUUCGUAUGUUGUCCAUGCUUCCAAUGCAAUAACAGGAAGGAGUAUUCAAAGGAUUCCUGGGGGAUUAUUCACAGCCACUUGUUUAAAUACGGUUUCAUGCCUAACUAUUUGGUUUGGACCAAGCACGGUGAACUAGGGGUUGUAAUGGAAGAUGGCGAGGAGGAGGAGGAAGAUGACACCAUUCCGGACUGGGUUGCAGGCCAAGCUUUUGCAGGUACUACAAUGGGCGAGGCUGAUGAAGAUGAGUUUGCAGAAAAUGACCCUACUGAUGACCUUGGUCAGGUGAUACGAGAUGCAUACAGAGAUUGCGACACUGAGAAGGAAGCAGCAAAGUUGCAGCGCAUGAUAGAUGAUCACCAAAAAUUGUUGUACCCAGGUUGCCAGCAGGGCCAUAAAAAACUAGGUACGACACUAGAAUUUGUGCAAUGGAAGGCAAAAAAUGGUGUGUCCGAUAAGGCAUUUCAGGGGAUGUUGAGAAUUGUCAAGAAGAUUCUCCCCGAGAAUAAUGAAUUACCGUCCACAACAUAUGAAGCUAAACAGAUUAUUUGCCCUCUCGGAUUGGAUGUUCAGAAGAUACACGCAUGCCCUAAUGACUGUAUCCUCUAUCGUGGUGAUGAAUACGAGGAAUUGGAUGCUUGUCCCGUCUGCGAAGCCCUGCGGUAUAAGAUCAGGCGAGAUGAUCCUGGUGAUGUCGAGGGGCAGUCUCCCAAGAAGAGAGUUCCCGCGAAGGUGAUGUGGUAUUUCCCUAUAAUACCACGCUUGAAGCGCUUGUUCAGGAACAAGACGAAUGCUAAGUUGAUGCGAUGGCACAAAGAAGACCGUAAGGAAGAUGAGAUGCUGAGACACCCCGCAGAUGGGGCACAGUGGAGAUCAAUUGAUAGAACAUUCCCAGACUUUGAAAGUGAAGCAAGGAACAUAAGGUUUGGUUUAAGCACUGAUGGAUUCAAUCCAUUCGGUGAGUUGAGUAGUGGUCAUAGUACUUGGCCUGUGACCCUUUGUAUGUUCAACCUUCCUCCUUGGCUGUGCAUGAAGCGGAAGUUCAUUAUGAUGCCGGUGCUUAUCCAAGGCCCAAAACAACCCGGCAACGACAUUGACGUGUACCUAAGGCCGUUGGUUGAUGACCUUUUACAGCUCUGGAAGGAAGAAGGUGUAUGUGUGUGGGAUGAGGAUAGACAAGAGAUCUUUAAUCUACGAGCACUGUUGUUCGUAACCAUCAACGAUUGGCCUGCAUUGAGUAACCUUUCAGGACAGACAAAUAAGGGAUAUCGGGCAUGCACCCACUGUUUAGAUGACACAGAUAGCAUGUACUUGAAGCACUGUAAGAAGGUCGUCUAUAUGGGUCAUCGUCGAUUUCUCCCUGCUCACCACCAGCUGAGAAAGAGCGGGAUGCAUUUCAAAGGGACGCCAGACCAUCGUAAAAACCUGCACACCGUAAUGGAAAACGUGUGUUCGAGAUGAUGAAGGAUGUACAUGUAGUCUUUGGAAAGGGACUUGGUAGCCAACCUGUUCCGAACGAUGAUAACGGACAUGCACCCAUGUGGAAGAAAAAGUCAAUAUUUUGGGAGCUACCUUAUUGGGAAAUCCUAGAGGUUCGCAACGCAAUAGACGUGAUGCACCUGACGAAGAAUCUUUGCGUGAACGUGCUAGGCUUCAUGGGUGUUUAUGGAACCUCAAAAGAUACAUUGGAAGCAAGACAGGACCUGAAAGCCAUGGGGCAACGAGAUGACCUACAUCCGGAAAAGAGAGAUAAUGGACAGCACUACUUACGUCCUGCCAGUUACACUCUCAGCAAGGAGGAGAAGGAUAGCAUGUUUGAAUGCUUGAAUAGUAUGAAGGUCCCGUCUGGGUACUCCUCGAAUAUAAAGGGAAUAAUAAAUAUGAAACAAAAGAAGUUUACAAAUCUCAAGGCUCAUGACUGCCACAUGUUAAUGACCCAGUUGCUUCCGGUUGCACUGAGGGGUGUUCUACCCGAAAAUGUCCGGUUGCCGCUCGUAAAGCUAUGCGCAUUUCUCAAUGCGAUUUCGCAGAAGGCAAUCGAUCCAUCCAAGCUAUCAAAGCUACAGAACGAUGUGGUGCAGUGUCUUGUCAGUUUUGAGUUGUUAUUUCCACCAUCCUUCUUCAAUAUUAUGACGCACUUACUGGUUCACCUAGUAAAAGAGAUUGGUAUUCUCGGACCUGUAUACCUGCACAAUAUGUGGCCUUUCAAGAGGUUCAUGGCAGUCCUAAAAAACUAUGUUCGUAAUCGUGCUCGUCCAGAAGGAAGCAUCGCCAGGGGAUAUGGAACAGAGGAGGUGAUCGAGUUUUGUGUUGAUUUUAUUGAUUCAAUUGACUCGAUUGGGGUUCCAACUUCACGCCACGAGGGGAGGCUCCGAGGAAUGGGCACCCUUGGAAGGAAAUCAAGUUUGAGCAAUGAUACUAAUUUGUUCGACAAGGCACACUACACUGUUCUACAACAGUCAUCCUUUGUGUCUCCGUAUAUCGAGCAGCACAGGCAGAUGGUAGCUUCCAAAAACCCGACCAAAUCCGAUGCUUGGCUUACCCGUCAUCACAUGGAAACUUUUCCCUCCUGGUUGCGCCAACAACUUAUGGGUAACUCUGAGAUUCACCCACAGCUUGCUUGGUUAGCCAGGGGACCUGCUACCACAAUCGUCAAAUUCCAAGGCUAUGAGAUAAAUGGUUACACAUUUUACACGAGAGCCCAGGACCAGAAAAGCACGAACCAGAAUAGUGGUGUCCGCAUAGAUGCCAUGGACAGAAAUAAUAGCAAGGAGUCGUAUUAUGGUUUCAUACAGGAGAUAUGGGAACUCGAAUACGGACCGCUGUACAUCCCUCUAUUUCUUUGCAAUUGGGUGAAGCUAACUGCCGUCACCAAAGAUCAGUACGGAAUGACAAUAGUAGAUCUGAGCAAGACUGGAUACAGUGAUGACCCAUUCGUACUUGCCAAUGAUGUGCAUCAGGUGUUCUAUGUGAAGGACAUGUGCAGCAAACCCAAGAGGAAUGCAGAAGAGACAUGGGAGCCAAAGUGCCACAUAGUUCUUCCAGGUAAAAGAAAAAUCGUGGGAGUCGAGGAUAAAACAGACCAAUCAGAUGAUUAUGAUCAGUUUGAUGGCAUGCCUCCAUUCGACGUUGAAGUUGAUCCAAGCAUCCUGCUGUCCAAAGAGGAGGCUCCGUACUUACGCCGCGAUCAUGAUCAAGGAACUUUCAUGAAGAAGAAAUUUUACAACGUUGUAUUGUAAUGCGUUAAAUGUGCAUGACCUUUGUGUAUUAAUUGAUACAAUUUGUAAUUUACCCUAUGUAUGAUUUCAUGUGUUAUUAAAUUUGUUAGGUGAAGAUUUUUUAGAUAUACAUGAACAUUGUUAACCACAUACUAACAUGGAUUUUUCUGCGCAUUCAAAUAAUUUAAUUGAAUAAUUUAUUGAUCACAGCAAUGCAGUAAAAUAAAUAUUUUACAGGCUACAUGAGUUGGUAUAGAAAUAAUGAUUACUUCAUACUUAUUGUCAAUUUACUCGUUAAUUAAAUAUAUUUUUGCAUGUACAAAAUCUGAGAAGGUUUUGUUUUUCAUCCUGGAAUGCAGUGAAAAGGUUAAAUAAAAUCCAUUUCCAAAAAACAGGCGGGAGAAGAAAAAUAGGAAAAAGGACCUUUUGUCCCGGGUGCUAACAGCAACCGGGACAAAAGGCCCCCCUUUUAUCCCGGUUGCAAACGGCAACCGGGAUAAAAGGGUACGUUUCGUCUCCCGCCCGAACGUACCCUUUUAUCCCGGUUGCCAUUUGCAACCGGGACAAAAGGCCCCCCUUUUAUCCCGGUUGGUGACGGGACCCGGGAUAAAAGGGUGCGCUCCCAGCCCCACCUGGCGGGGGCACCCUUUUGUCCCGGGUCCCGUUACCAACCGGGAUAAAAGGGGGGGGGGCCUUUUGUCCCGGUUGGUAACGGGACCCGAGAUAAAAGGGUGCCCCCGCCAGGUGGGGCUGGGAGCGCACCCUUUUAUCCCGGGUCCCGUCACCAACCGGGAUAAAAGGGGGGGGCCUUUUGUCCCGGUUGGUGACGGGACCCGGGACAAAAGGCUCUUUUGUCCCGGGUGCCAUUACGAACCGGGAUAAAACGGGGGGGGGGGGGGGGGGUUUAAAAGCACUGUACUCCCUUCUACCCCCCGCCAGUUCCACACUUAGCGAAAUUUUCGCAAGUCCCGCGCUCUCCGCCCGUCGCCGCCUGUCCGCCUCCCUCGCCGGCCGCCGCCGUCGUCGUCCCCCAUUGCGCCGUCGAAGUCCCGCAUUGCACCGUCGUCGUCGCCCGUCCGCCUCCCUCGCCCGUCGCCGCCCGUCCGCCUCCCUCUCCGCCCGUCGCCGCCCGUCCGCCUCCCUCGCCGGCUGCAUCGCCCCUCGUCGCCGGCUCCAUCCUCGUCGCCCCUCGUCGCCCCUCGCCGGCCGCCGUCGUCGUCUUCGCCUCGGCCGCCGUCGUCCCGCCGUCGUCGUCUUCGUCCUCGUCGCCGCCCCGGCCGCCGCUGUCCCGCACGCCGCCCGGCCGCCGCCGUCCCGCCGUCACGCCGCCCCGGCCGCCGCCGUCAGGCCGCCCCGGCCGCCGCCGUCCCGCCGCCCCGGCCGCCGCCCCGCGCGCGAGAGGUCUGCCGCGCCGGCCGGUGCGCCGGGAGAGCUGGCCGUUUUCUUUUAAUUUUUAAUUUUGUUUUUUUUAGAUGGAAUUGUAAUUUUGUUAAGUUAGAUUUUUAGAUUUCUAAUUUUGUUAAGUUAGAUUUUUAGAUUUCUAGUUAGUUUGUUAAGUUAGAUUUGUAGUUAGGUUGUUAACUACCGUCCCGCCGUCGUGAUCGCCGCCGUCCCGCCGAGUAGCUACCGUGAGAGUCGCCUUGUAGCCGUCGUGAUCGCCGCCGUCCUGCCGCCCAUCAGAACGUAGUAGCUUAGGCACCGCCCGUGGUUCCGGUGAACCGCCUCCGCCGCCCUGACCGCCGCCGUCCCGCCUUCGCCGCCCUUAUCGCCGUCGUAGAAAUUCGUAGAAAUUCGUCAAAAUUCGUAGAAAUUCGUCAAAAUUCGUAGAAAUUCGUCAAAAUUCGUAGAAAUUCGUCAAAAUUCGUAGAAAUUCGUCAAAAUUCGUAGAAAUUCGUCAAAAUUCGUAGAAAUUCGUCAAAAUUCGUAGAAAUUCGUAGAAAUUUGUAGAAAUUCAUAGAAAAUCGUAAAAAUUUGUAGAAAUUCAUAGAAAUUCGUAGAAAUUUGUAUAAAUUCAUAGAAAUUCAUAGAAAUUCGUAGAAAUUUGUAUAAAUUCAUAGAAAUUCAUAGAAAUUCAUAGAAAUUCAUAGAAAUUCAUAGAAAUUUGUAUAAAUUCAUAGAAAUUUGUAUAAAUUCAUAGAAAUUUGUAUAAAGAUUCCGGACUUUGUACGAUUCAUGUUAUUUUAUGAUUUCAUUAUAUACAUGUAUGAUUCUGAACUGUGAUUAUAUACAAAUUUGUAUUAAGACGAUUUCUAUGACUGUCAUGUAUGAUUCCAUGUAUGUUUGCAGCAAUAGUUGAAAUGGCAGACGAUGAGACCGCAAGGUAUAUCAUGGAGCAGAUAAUCGCUGGUGAUGGUAGUGGCGACAACGUUCCACUAUCAUACACGGAUGAAGAGGGCACCCAGGCGGACAUGUUCCUCAACAUGUCUGCCGAUGUGAAUGAAGAGCAACAGCCGCAGCAACAACUUGCCGUGGCGGAAGGUUCCGGCGAGGUAUAUACAACCAUUCUUGUAUUGUUUCACGCCACCGCUACUAGUACGUACUAAUUAACGAAUCUUAAACUGUUAGCCCUCCGGAUCGACACAAGGGCAGAAGACCCGAGGUCGUACAAAGGUGAUGGAAGGGAGGCUUGUCAUCACCGAAGUUACAGAUGAGGGCAGGCCGGUUGCUCCCGAGAAAGUCGCAAAGAAGUACGUUGGUCAAAUCGGGGCAAUCGUCCGGGACAACGUGCCUAUCAGCAUCAGAGAAUGGAAGGGCAGAAGCGAUAAUCCGUACGCCCUUCCAGAGACAGAAAAGAAUAUGCUGUGGGAAGACGUGAAGAGGCAUUUCACAUUCCCCGAAGAUUAUAGCGAGAAGGAUGUCAAAGCGUGGACACUUAAGAAGAUGGCUACUCAAUUCCAGACAUUCAAGAAGAUGCUGGACACCCACUACAUCAUGAAGGGCAAAACUCCAGACUUCAACGCGUGGCCCAAGUUGAGGGACCACUGGGAUGCAUUUGUUGAAUACAAGAGGAGUGAAGAAGGUGUGAAAAAGAUCACGACCAACGUUGCAAAUGCUAGUCAGAAGGGCUACCACCAUCAUUUGGGGCGAGGUGGGUAUGGCUCAGCAAUUCCCAAGUGGAGAAAGAUGGAACAAGAUCUGAUCGAACGGGGAAUCAUACCUGCAACUAUUGAAUGGCCCGAACGAUCAAAGAACUGGUACUACGCUCAUGGAGGCUCCCUAAGCUAAGAGGAUGGGACGCUGAUUUUCAAUGACAGAAUACGUGAGAAGGCCGAACAUCUCAUGAAGAACAUUGAAGAUUCCAAGGCUGGGAGGUUGAGGGUGGACCGAGAAAAUGAUGAGCUCACAUUGGCCCUCGGUAAUCCAGAGCACCCAGGACGUUGCCGGGGGUUCGGGGUGGUUCCGUGGAAGUUCGCUUUCUGAGGCGACAGCGCCUCUUACAGAAGCCGGAAGCGAAGAAAGGAACAGAUGGAGGAGAGCUGGCGGCAGAUGCUAGAACAACGAAUGAUGGAUGAAAUCAAUCGGCGGGUGGCCGACGCAGUUGCGGAGUUGGCGCAAUCUGGAGCACUGCCGAAUCCUCACACCGCCAGCCCUUCUCAAUGCCUCGGGAGCAGUUGUGCUUCUACAGGGGUCCCCAAUGCGCAGACGCCCAGGUUACCCGUGGAGGAGCAACGGUUCCCCGUGGAUGCCAUCACGCAACGGACCUCAUGUGAGCUGCAUGCACCGGUCGGCAACCUCACUAUUAAGGUAUACUUAUACAUAAUAUUUAUGCAAUCUUGUCAAUUGAUCCAGGCCUCGAGAUCGGAGUUCAACUUGUUUACUUCUGCUAUAUGUAUAGGUAGCGUACGGGAGUGCGUUACCAACGCUGGCAGGGCAGAGCAGUCAUGGCAUGGACAUUCCAACAGGCUACGCCAGCGUCUGCGUCGAGCAAAUAGUAGAUGCCCAGUAUGAAGGUCUAGAGCUCGACUUCCCGGGAGGCGACGGGGAAAAGACAUUGGCAGAUGCGCUUCAUGGGAUCAUUCUAUGGAAGAAACGCUACAUCAUUAUUUCCCGCACGGAGCCAUCUCCUCAGACCUCAAGACCGCUCCCCGUAGAUCCCGAGCAGCGAUCUUCUCCUCAUACCUCGAGACCGGCAUCUCCUGCUCCAGGACCGUCGCUUCCAUCUAUAUCAAGGUCUCCAUCUCCACCACAUCCUGGUGCUGGGAGCGACGACGACAAUAACAACACCCCUCCCCGAUCACCGUCGCCGGCACCAAGAGCGGCCCCCUCGAAGGAACCUGCAGCACCACUCAAGAAGUCACGAGCACCGCCUCCCAAGCAAAGAUAGCCUCGAAAGAAGAAAACAAAGGUCGACCCUGAAGUGGCUCGCAAGGAACACUUUGAGGCAAUGUCUCAUGCGGAACAGUGGGCAGAAAUCCAACGAGAGGCCAGUGAGUGGUUCAAGAAACAAGCCGAAUUAAAAAAGGCAAGGGAGAUGGAGCCACCGCCAGUAAGUCGGCGGGAUUUAAACUUUUUUAUCAGGAUGGAGGAAGGAGCCAAGAAAAGGAUACCACUCUUGUCAAACUAUGAACGGGCUCUAGUAAAGGCUGAUGAAAAGGAUAAAAGAAAAGGAAAAUCAUCCUCCAGCGGUUCAGUCCCCGACCUCAGCCAUUUAUCAAAGAAAGAUGCUCAACGGGUAAAAGCAAUGCCCUUGGAUCAACAAGAAAAUAUAUUGAAGUUCAUGGAAGAAACAGGUCUGGGACUUGAUGAAUGCAUAGGGCAAGUCGAGAUGCCAACUGCACCGCCCCCUGAGCCGAGAUGGCCUUAUGAGCUAGGCAAGCCUCUAGUGAAGCCGGCAAUGGUACGGAAGCUGUCAACAAAGAUGUACGAAUUCCAUCAAUGGUACAUGACGGCAUCCGCCAAAUCGAGGGAGAUGAUCGGCAUGAAGGUAAAACCGAUAGAUUUUCACGGUGAAGGGGAGAAAGUGCUGUGGCUAGACUUCAAGGAUAUAUACGAAGUGUACCAUCAUGAUGCCCUGGACGUCUCUCUGAUCAACGCUUGGAUUCUGUAAGUGUCCGUUUAUUAUCUCUACAUGUAAAUUUUGGCGUGCGUCACCGUACUAACUUCAUCUUCCAUUUCAUGUAGGAUGCUAAUUCAGACAUGCCGCCGAGAGGCGUACCUACAUGUAGGCUUCAUGGAUCCAUCUGUAGUUAACCAACAACAGAUACAAUUAGCGCCGGAAAAAACCUUUGCCGAAAUAUACAAUUUCCUACACAAACAAACAUUCAAGGACUUCAUACUACUUCCAUACAACUUCAAGUAAGUGUGUGUAUACCGUCUACUUUCGAUGUCUUUUUCCUUAUCUCUACAUGUUAGUUAGCUCUAAUAUGCAUGAACAUUUUACGCACGCAGCUUCCACUGGAUCCUUAUUAUAAUUGAGCCUGAAAGAAGCCACGUCACUGUCUUUGAUUCAUUACGGAAAGAUCCGGUGGACUACCAAGAAUUGCAAGACAUGCUAGGCUUGUAAUAAUUCUGGACCUUUAUCUCUAUGCAAAAAUUUAUUUCCUAAAUUUUAUCCCUGUUACACUAUGUCAUUCAUUAUUCUAAUCCGCAGCGUAUGGAAACAAUUCAUAAGGACACACAAAGGUCCAUUCAAAGAAGAUCUUACAUGGAACACAGACUUCCCGGUACGUAUGAAGUCUGCACAUUUAUUACAUUGUAUAACACGAAUAUUUCAUAACUUAUUUUUUUUCCGCACUGAAGUGCUUAAGACAGGAACCCGGGAAUAACCUAUGUGGCUACUACAUCUGUGAGCACAUGCACAGUUUUUUGGGACCCAAGGGACCGAAGAUGACGCCGCACAACUUUAAAGUACGUAAAAUAAAUAUAUUACUAGUUAAUUAUUUUCUAGCUCCUUAUAUGUAUUUGUUCAUGUAACAUUCACAAAUUUCCAAAUUAUAGAUGUUAAAUAUUCAACAAGGACUCUUGAAGGAAGAAAGAGUAGCGGCAAUAUGUGAAGGUCUCAUUGGAUUCAUAAUGGACGAGGUGGUAAAUCCAAGAGGAGAAUUUUAUUACGAUGGACGACAAUUAGACACUCCUCUCAGCAACACCACGACGGGAAGAUCGUAGGAAGAUACUUUGAUUUAUUUGUAUAUAUGAUCGAUUUGUACUAAUUAAGCUAGUUGAAUUGUGUAUAUGAAUUGUGUAUAAGGAUUGUGUAUAUAUAUAGUAGUUGUAUAAUUACAAAUCCCAUUCGUUUAAAUACUAGUUGAUUUAAUUCAUUCUAAAAAAAUCUCAACUACAAGGUUAACAAAUUAAAAGGGCCGCGGUACUACUAUACGUAUACGUGAUGCAUGCAUGAAAAAUUCAGGCGUCACCAGUGCCAUGCAAGCGCAAUUUAGUCCCGGUUGGAAUUGAGCCGGGACUAAAGGGGACCCCUUUAGUCCCGGUUGGUAAAUCCAACCGGGACUAAAGGGCCUGUCCCGCGCCUGGCGUGGCAGGCCCUUUAGUCCCGGUUGGUGACACCAACCGGGACUAAAGGGGGUCCUUUACUCCCGGUUAAAAUACCCGGGACUAAAGACCCCCCCCUUUUGUCCCGGUUGGUUUAUCCCGGAUGGAUAUCCGAGAGAUAUGACCCUUACCAACCGGGACUAAUGCUCAGUUUUCUACCAGUGACCGGACUCAACUACACAAACUGCUUUCAUACGACACAAAUCAACUAGAAGGCUCUUGCUCCGGCAUACCAGCCAUCCUGAUAGAGCUUCUGGUCACCUACGGAUGUCGGAGACGAUACUUUUAAAAAGUAUUGUUGUGUAUUGGUGAAUCUUUCUUGCCGUUGGCAAAUUACAUGCCUUUGCAGAUCACGUAAGUAUGGUCAUUUGGUCCAACAUGCAACAACCACAGCAACAGCUAGCUGCUUACUCAAUCUAGUCAUUAGUCAAGAUCACAGUAAAAACGCACUCUGAUCCAUCCGUAGCUACAAUGGCAUCAGCAGGAACAGGAAGCAGCUAAGGUAUAUUCCAAAUCCUUUGGAAGGUGACGAAGGUAUUAGCAUGACCACCCCCCUCCGCCGGUGACCAUCCCGGUCCCGGCGUCCACCCCGCCCCGCCGGUGGUCACCCCGACCCCGGCGUACACCUAGUCCCGCCGGUGACCACCCCGGUCCCGGCGUCCACCCCGCUACGCCGGUCACCAUCAUAGUCCCGGCGUUCACUCUGCUCCGUCGGCUCCCUCUCCGGCUCAGGAGACGCUGAUCAUCACCCCAGUUCCGGCGUCAACACCUCUACGUCGGUAUCAUUGCUUGAUCCGGUGCCCACACCCUGUGUAUGGAUCACUGGCGCAGACCUUUGUUCGUGAGUGCAUCCUUUGAAGCUUCCAUCCGGACAACAGCACAGGAGGAAGGUAUCUUCGCAGCUUGACUUGGAAGAGGUUACCCUCUUAACAUCCUACUACAUCUCUUUGCUCUCCGCGUUUGAUCUUAGAUAUGGAUCAUACAAAAUUCAACUUUAGCCUGGGAGAAGACUUUAGUCGGCUGGUUAUGAAUAAGAUUGGUACUCAGGUUACUCUGGAUGAAACAAAAGCAGGAAAUGGUUUUCACCUGCUGGUGGUGUUUAGCAGAAACAGAUUUCGAUUAUCUGCAGAAACAGUAAACACUUGUCUUAACUCUAUUUUGGGAGGAAAAAAGGAAUCAUUCAUGGCAGAAGAAUUAGAAGAACAAAUCUUCAAAUUCAAGGUUUCAUCAAGAGAGGUUGGAUUUCUGAUAGUUAAUCAAGGUCUAGUUCUCUGUGAUCUAUUCAAGCUCUCAUUCUUCCUGCUGAAUGAUGAUGGAUUUGCCAAGGCAUUGAAAUUUGCAAAACAGGAUUCUGGACCUUUGUAUUAUUGGCAAUCUGCUAAAAAAAAAGAAAUCCACGUUGUUGUCCCAGGUACAACAUCCUUACUCUCAUCUUUUAUCUGGAGCCAAUUUAACUCCCCUGGGUUUUAGAGGUCAUGAAUCCAGAAAUAUUGCCACUAGGCUUAAACGCCCUGUUUCUUAUGCUGACAUGGUUAGAAACCACCCCAAAACCUUUCCUGGGGAAAAAGUUUCUCUUCAUAAUAGAGAGAUUUCCUCUGGUAGCCCCUCUUCCCAUAUAGUGCAAAGGGAAAAAUUCUAUCCUGCACCUAGGAAAUCUGUCUUUCAAAGAAUGCAAAACUUGCCUAGACAGUCAGUUUUCGAAAGAUUACAAAUCCCAAGAAAGGCUGCACCCAGAUUUGAACCUUGGCAUUGGAAUAGGAGCAAGAGACAGAAAAUCUCUGAUCCAAGAUAUCCCAGAUACCCCAGGGCUAACAUCUCGGAAUAUGUUCAUGCUUGGACUGAAAAAGACCAGCUCCCAUCUGCCAACCGCUCAAGGAGGUUCUCACCUCAUUGGCUGACUUGUUGGCACUGUAAUCAAGUAGGACACAACUUCCAAACCUGCUCUAGGAGGUUAAGCCUUCAAAAAUUUACGGCAGCUUUUGCCUCGAGGCCUGGCAGUAGCUUUUCCUCGGUAAUUGACGAAAACGGUUGGCCAAGGGAUAUUGGGCUGCGUUGGUUUAAAGCAGGCCAAAAAAUGUCUACUGGGAUAGCCCAAGAAAGCCCACCGGGCACUAUUCCCCUAAAAAAUUUGGGGAAAAUUGAGUGGAGAAUACGAGGAGACACUCCUUCUCCUUCCUCCUCGUUGCCACACAGUACUCCACAGCAACAGCCUGACCCAAAUCAAGAACUCCUCCAUCCUUCCCUUGCCGAGGAUAGAGAGCAAGAACACUCCGCCACCAGCAUGGCCUUCCUAAAUGUGGAUCCAGAACCACUUAUGUUCCCUGGCUUCAAUCGAGUCUUGGUUCAAGGACGACCCAAGUUCACCAGGGUGGUCACUCCAAGAAGCUCUCCGGCGAAUGAAGAUCUUGCGAUCGUCACUGUUUCAAACUUCCCCCCUGGUGAGAUUCCAUUCAAUGCUGUUCAACAAGCUAUAGUUGGGUUGAUUGAGGAUGAUUAUGAGCUUCGUAUCAAAGAAAUCCAAAGAAGCCCUUUUCACAGAACACAAGCUUUUGUCAGACUUAAUAGAGUCACUAAUAGAGAUGCUCUAGUGCAGCAUAGUCCACUUCAAAGCAAUGGUCUUUCAUUUGUUUUUGUCAGGCAUAAUAGAGGCCCCAAUGCCAGGAGAGUGCUAUUCAAUAGAGAAUGUUGGCUACUCUUGAUUGGUUUUCCAAUAGAUUCUAGAGAUAUUGAGGACAUCCGAGAUGCUAUAAAAUCUUUUGAGAGAUUGAUUUGUUGGCAGAAAGACAAUGUCAUGGCUAGGGUGGUUGUUAAAGUCAGAGUCACAGAACUGGAAGAUAUACCACACUACCUGGUUUUUUCAGAGGGGGACGACUUUGAAGGAAUUUCAACCACUGUUCAAGUAGAAAUCAUGCAGCAAAACAUGCUUGGAGGGCAGCUACCAGAUGAAGACAUUCCCCCUCCAGGCUAUGAUGAUGAUUUUGUGUUUCCAGGGCUACAGGCACAUAAUGCAAAUGACAACCAUCAGAUGCCCCAGCAACAAAUCCAAGUUCAGCAAAAUCCACCUAUGGAUGCACAGAUGCAUAAUCAUCAGCAACAGGUAGCUCUCCCAGACUUGAAUGAUGAUCCAGAAGAAGAGGAUCAUAUACAAGAACAAAUGCAGCAACUCAUGGAGGACUUGGAAAAUCAAGCACCAGAACAGAUGGAACUGCAACAGGAUCAGCAGCAAGAAGUUAUGGAUCUCCAGCUUAGUUUGUCCUUAUCUUUACCACCCAACUCGAGCAACAGCAUAGAGGGAGGAAGAAAAGGCUCAGAGAAAAGUGUCGAAGGAACAUCACACCAGCAAGGACAUUUGAAUGAACAACCUGAGAUAGUGUUGGGACUUCCCGCCAUAAUCAAUAUGAAUAUUCAAGGGGAACAGCAUAUGGGCCCACAACAUGGAGAAGAGAAUGUUGGAGCAAAUUUCUUCCUACCAGACUUUCUUAACCCCAUCCAACUUAACUAGGAAGAGGGGGAAGAACAAGGGGCUCAGAUCAACAUGAACAUUGAUGUCAACAUGCUCAUCACCCAAACAGACUACAAUAAUAGGAUGGACCCAGGAUGGGCUGCAAGGGUUGGCAAAGCAAAGGUAGACAAGGCAGAAAACCCAGACUGGCAACACAUCUGGGCACAUCUCUUCCCCACCAACGACACUCCUAAACAGGUGACAACAAUACCUGCUGAUUGGGCACCCUUUUUCAUUAAUAAGCUCUCUACACCUUCUAGAUUUGAUUGGGCCAGAGCCUUUCUUACAUCAAAUGCUAUUGCUCUCUUGUCUUCAAGUGCUACAAAUCUCAAUAUGAUAUCCUUCCAAUUACCAAUGGCUUGCUCUCAACAUGAUCUACCUAAAUGUUCCCUGUCAGAACUCAAAGAUAAUGAAUCUAAUGAGGAUUCUCCUGCUGAUAACCCCUGUCAACAGAAAAAAAUGAGAAGAGAAGAGCCUCAAGUGGAGAUACAAGCUCGGCGCAGUCCAAGAAUUCGACUACGCAAUGCCGGCUUCAAACACUCCAACUGUACCUCCAAGAAAUGUCUUGCAUGUGCUACAGUCCCACCCACCCUAUCAAGUAAAGCUAUGAUGACGGUUGGAACAGAUCAUUGCAAGAUCAGUAAAGAAAAGCUGACUGAGGAGGCGCUCAAAACAAAGAAACAGAAGCAGGCACCAAUUGGGGCAGGAAGAUCUGCUGAAUCAAGGAACAAGGACUCCAUAGAGGAGGGGGAAGGAUCCACAGUCUGAAGAAGAAGCUAUCAAGCUUUUUGGACCAUCUGACAGCUUUUGUCUUUGUCAAAUGCUAGCAAUUUGUAACAGAACUCGAAGGGUCAGGAGUGGAGACUUUUGUAUCUUCCUAAACUUUAUGUCGUUAUUUUGUGAUCAUAGUGAUCGGCAGACCAGGAAAACAAGGGUGGUAACAGUUUUUGUGAUGGAAAAGACAAUCCUUAACAUGGCAACAUUCUAUGAUAACCUUGCUUGUUGGUUUUUUCAAUCUUUUUGUACCUUGCUAGAUGGGAUUCUUUUGUCAGCCUCUACAAUAGGUUUCCUAGAGGUUUUAUUUACGAAAUUCUGGCCUCUGCCUCAAUGACCGAACAUCUUUAACUCUUAUCAUGAAUCUAAUGAAUCGCUCACAAGGGAAAAAGGAGUGGAAGAUCUUGUCUUGGAAUAUUAGAGGAAUAAAUUCAGAUGCAAAAUGGAAUGCAAUCAGGAGCAAAAUCAUAGAAGCAAGGUGUGAUGUGGUAUGUCUACAGGAAACAAAAAGGGAUUCUUUUGACCAGGCUUACAUCAAAAAAUUUUGUCCCCCCCAGCUGAAUGAGUUCUUCUAUAACCCAUCUGUUGGGUCCUCAGGGGGAUCUAUCAUCAUCUGGAAUAACUUGAAAUUUGAUGGUGUUCUGGAAUUUCAAAACUCUUAUGCACAGUCUAUUCUCCUCACUUGUAAAGGGACAGGGGAAUCCUGGUACUUGUCAAAUAUCUAUGCACCUUGCACUACUGAAGGAAAACGAGAAUUCAUACAAUGGUUCAAAGCAGUGGAGAUGGGAGAAGAAGACAAAUGGCUAGUAGUAGGCGAUUUCAAUCUCAUAAGAAGACCAGAAGACAGGAAUAAGCCUGGAGCCAACUGUCAGGAGAUGUUAGCCUUUAAUAACGCAAUAAGCAAGCUAAGAUUGGUAGAACUACCUCUAAAGGGGUGCAGAUUCACGUGGACAAAUAAGCAACAUAACCCCUUGCUGGAAAGAUUGGAUUGGUUUUUCACCUCAAAAGCUUGGACGACCUGCUUGCCCAAUUCCUUUGCAAUAGGACUUUCUAGAGAUAUCUCAGAUCACACGCCAUGUGUGAUAACAGCCCAAACAAGCAUGCCACAAUCAUCCUCCUUCAGGUUUGAGAAUUAUUGGUUACAACAUGAAAGUUUUCUGCCUAUUUUACAGCAUGCAUGGAGCCUACAAUCCCCACAAGAGGACCAGGCUAUGAAGAUUAUUGGAAAACUUAAAAAGCUAAGAAGGAUCCUCAAAAUGUGGAAAUCGCACUUACCAAGUCUAGAGAAAACUAUACAGAACAACAAAUCAACUCUACAAUUCAUGGACCUAAUAGAGGAGUCAAGAGAUCUCAGUAUAGAAGAAUGGAACUUUAGACAUUUGGUGGAACAGAAUUUGGAACAGCUACUUCUUCAGCAGAGAACUUACUGGAAGCAAAGGGGGAAGGUUAGAUGGAUAAAAAUGGGGGAUGAAUGCACAAGAUUUUUCCAUGCACAUGCAUCUAUCAAGAAAAGAAGAAAUACAAUAACCCAUCUAAGAGAUGAAGGGGGUACUCAAACAACUCAACAUGAAGCUAAAGCUGACAUACUAUGGAAAUCCUUUAAAGAAAGGUUAGGGGUAUCAGAAUACACACACAUGUAUUUCCAGCUACAAGACUUAUUCCAACAGGAGGAUAACCUGGACAUUCUGGAUGAACCAUUUUCAAAGGAAGAAAUAGAUAAGGUAAUCACAGAACUUCCAAACGAUAAGUCGCCUGGGCCGGACGGAUUCAAUGGAGAAUUUAUCAAAAAAAGCUGGCAGGUUAUAGCAGAAGAUUUUUACAAACUUUUCCAAGACUUCUAUGACAAUAACAUUUGCCUACGAAGUAUCAACUCCUCAUAUAUUACCCUCAUCCCUAAGAAAGAAAGCCCGAUGGAUGUGGGAGACUACAGACCCAUUUCGUUGCUUAACUCGUCUCUUAAAAUAAUUACCAAGCUUCUGGCGAUAAGAUUACAACAAGUGAUCAAGAAUAUGAUACAUCAGAACCAAUAUGGCUUCAUUAAAUCCAGGAGCAUUCAAGACUGUUUAGCAUGGGCCUAUGAGUACUUACACAUCUGUAAUAAAUCAAAAAGGGAACUGAUCAUCCUCAAAUUAGACUUUGAAAAAGCGUUUGAUAAAAUUGAACACAAGGCCAUUAUAGAAGUUUUGAAGCACAAAGGGUUUGGGCCCAGAUGGUUAAAUUGGAUCCAAGAUAUCUUAGCAACAGGAACAUCUUCGGUUCUACUAAAUGGAGUCCCAGGGAAAGUAAUCCACUGCAAAAGAGGAGUUCGGCAAGGAGACCCACUGUCUCCACUUUUAUUUGUCCUGGCAGCUGAUCUUCUUCAAACCAUAGUAAACCAUGAAAAAGACUUAGGCAGUCUCAACCUUCCCAUUCCUCAGGGAGCAGGGACAGACUUCCCCAUAGUCCAAUAUGCUGAUGAUACACUGCUAUUCAUGGAAGCCUGCCCCAGACAGCUUUUGAAGUUGAAAGAAAUCCUGCACAUAUUUGCUCUGUCGACUGGGCUCAAGGUUAAUCACGGAAAAUCGACAAUGAUGUCGCUGAACAUCACAAAUGACAGAUUAGCCAGCCUAGCACAGAUCUUUGAAUGUCAACACAGUUCAUUGCCUUUCACAUAUUUAGGCUUGCCUCUGGGAACGACCAAGCCAAACAUGGAGCAUUUCAUGCCUCUCCUACAACGAAUUGAAAGGAGGCUAAAUUCCAUGUCCAUGUUCUUAAGUCAAGGGGGAAAACUAGAAAUGGUCAACUCAGUUUUGUCCUCAUCAGCUGUGUUUUAUAUCUCUACCAUCAGACUUCACAAAGGGGUGAUAAAACAGAUUGAUAAGUUUAGAAAGCACUGUUUAUGGAAUGGAGCAGAUCCAAGCUCCAAAAAACCUUCAAAAGCAGCAUGGCCAAUAGUAUGUACACCCAAGGAUUGUGGGGGCCUGGGAGUUAUCAAUAUUUAUGCACACAAUGAAGCCCUCCUUAUGAAGUUUCUACACAAAUUCUAUACAGAAGCAGAUACACCAUGGGUCAACUUGAUCUGGAACAGCUAUUAUCACAAUGACACACUACCUGGAACACAGUCCAAAGGAUCCUUCUGGUGGAGGGAUGUCCUUAAGUCGCUCGACAAAUACAAGGGCAUAGCCUCGGCUACGAUAGCAGAUGGCUCAACAGUCUUCUUCUGGCAUGAUCUCUGGAAUGGAAUAAUACCAAGUCAGACUUACCCAGAGUUGUUCUCCUUUGUCAAAGAAACUAACAACACGUACAAGACAGUAUAUGGAAGGACCAACUUCAUACAAAACUUCAGCCUUCCCCUCUCUGCCGAGGCACAUAGGCAAUACUUGGAUUUGCAACAAUUUAUUGAGAGAAUCAUACCAAUAGCAAACAGAGAUGUCUGGUCAUACACAUGGGGAACAACGAAAUACUCAUCACAGAAAGCAUAUAAAACAAUCAUUGGCCACCGUAUUGUUCAUCCAAGCUUCAAAUGGUUAUGGAGGUCAAAAUGUCAAAAAAAAACACAAAUUAUUCUUCUGGCUACUUCUCAGAGACCGACUAAACACAAGAGACCUUUUAGACCGAAGACACAUGCAGCUCGAGUCACAAACUUGUGAGAUGUGCAUUUGGCAGAAAAGAGAAACAGUUAAACACCUUUUCUUCUGCUGCAGAUUUGCCAAAGCUUGUUGGAACAGUAUAGGGAUAACAUAUACCUCCACAAGGACGAUUCAGAAUAUUAUCUUACAAAUUAAAAACAAGCUACAGGUUCCCUUCUAUAUGGAAAUCAUCAUUUUGAUAGCUUGGAGCAUAUGGACAACAAGGAAUGGAUGGUUUUUCAACAAUUUGGCUCCAUCUCCUGGGGUUUGCUUGCAAAAAUUCACGUCGGAAUUCAAAGACAUUUUACUAAGAGUAAAGCCAAGAUAUUUGCAACAAAUGGAAAUUUGGCUCCAUCUGUUCGCCGUUCAUUAGCAAGGGCUCUUUGUUUUGUUUUCGUUACCGGUACUCUUGCCUACCUUCCUUUGCUUUCUAGGUCUCUCUUUCUUUAUUUUGUUUAUUCCUUUUUUUUUACCUGUUCUAUUUCUAUUUCUCUUUGUUGACUCUUUUGAACUUGUAAUGCUUCAUUUCUAAUUUAAUAUAACCAGUAAGGGGCCCGCACCCUUCCUGUUUUCUCAAAAAAAAAUCAACUAGAAGCCGGCCGGAAUCCCAAUGGAGAUGAAAUGAUGCUAAGCCUUCCUUCUUCGUCUGGUGGAGUUCAGGACGCGUCGGCUACUCGGCUGUAUUUGCGUGAAGCAAAAUACCAUUUUGGGCAAGGGCCGAAAAUGUCCGCAACAUGGCAUCUGAAGCCCGUGGGCCCACCACGAGCUUGUAGUUCUCAAGCAUCAAGCCACCAUUUCUUUGUGGCAACUACUCAUCGCACUUCAUGGGGAUCAAGCGACAAAUCUAUUGGCAAAACCUCAGUAGGUGAACGAGCUGGAUAUAUAUACCCACGCUUGGGAUUCAUGCCUUAUAGUGGUAAUAGAAUCUCCUGAUCAACGCAGAAAAAUGCAAAAGGAACAAAAUUUGGCCAUUUGAUUGGUUUGAAUAGCUAUUGGGAUUUGCAGCCAUACACAAAUAGCACCACUUGAUUCAUCGUGGGGAAGAAACAUCUUCAUAAAAAAUUCAUAAAAAUCCAUUAUGAUAUAUAUGUACUAGGGCAUAAUAAGUUUAAGCGAGCAAGCCAUCAAGCUUAAUUACGUGCUACAGUACUGUAUCAAGCACGUACGAAAGAUCUCAUACGAAUCAACGAAUAAGAUAGAUAGAUAGAUGUCAGAGGCAUAGUACUAAUAAUAGGAUUAUCUAUGAUAUUAAGUACCCUUGUCUUCCUCGCCAAAAAAAAAAGGAAACUUAUCAUAGAAUGCAUAAACACCAGUGGAAAACUCGGUAUUCGUCCCGAGACUUAGUACUGGGUGGUUUUUGAACCGGUACUAAUACUCAGCAUUAGUAUCGAGUCUAACGGCUAGUUCCUAGGAGCCCCCCUGACCCCCUUUAGUACGGUUGGGGGCUUCAACCGUACUAAAGGUCACCCAUUAGUACCGGGUGGAGUCUCCACCCGGUACUAAUGGGUGACCUUUAGUACCGGUUGGAGUCCCCAACCGGUACUAACUUCGCUCCUAUAAAUCAAGCGUCUUCUUUCUCCUGCUCGAGCCAUUUCCUCCAGUUCAAGCUUCAUCCAUUCAUGGCGAAAUAGGGGAGGUGCUGCCAGAUUUUUGACCAUUUCAUGGGGAUUUCACUCAUUCAAGUGUUCUAAAGGUUAGAAACUUCAUCCUCCCUUCAUACAUGGUUAGUAUACUAAGUUUUAUGCUUUAGAGCUAGAGUAAUCUGUGACUUUUAGAAUAAGGUAUAAUGGAGAAAUUUUUUAUUUAUAUGCAUGUGUUAUUUAGAGCUCAUAUUUGUGAUUUUUAGAAUAAGCUAUAAUUUUUUAGAUGCUAUGUUGUGUAUUAGUCAAAAAAUUAAUAUGAGGUUAGAGGAAUAAUUUCAUAGUUUAGUAUUUUACAAAUAUGAGCUAAAUAAAUUAUGGGAAAAAAUAUAAUUUGUUUGUAUUUUAGUUAUUUGCAAAUAUGAGCGAGAUAAAUUGUGGUACAUAGAGAUAAUAGGAUAAAAUAGAGGUAUGUAAUUAGUUAUUUUUAGAAUAAGCUACAAUUGAGAAAGUUUUUAUUUAUAUGUUAUGUUUGAGCUAAAUAAUUUGUGGGGAAAAAAUAAUUUGUUCAUAGUUUAGUCAUUUGCAGAUGAGCUAAAUAAAUUGUUGUACUUAGAGAUGGCUACUGCUACUGGUGGUAGUGCCGAUGGUGGGGAUGAUCAUUGUUCCUCUCGCGGCAAGGGGAAAAUCAUAGUUGGCCCUCAUGAUAAGCCUAAGAAAAUGAGCACGUGGGAGAGAGCAAUGCUUUGUUAUUUGGAAAGAUGUCAUGAAGAUGCUAUUGCGGUGGGUGAGGAACCUCCUUUUGGUGGUCGUUAUGCUCCACCGCCAGUCCCGGGUGUUUCAAGUCCACUGAGUACUACGGUCGUAGGAGGCACAAAUAAACCACACAAUGAGGCUGGGUCACUGAAACCUUCGUCUUCGCCGCCUAGGGAUGCUUAAAGUCCUCCCAGAUAGUACUCAGUUGAUGGUUUGUUAUAGUGUAUUAUGUUGUUUGGGUUUGAAAUUUAAAUGUGUGUAUUUCUGUCUAAAAUUUCAGCAACAUUUGAAUUUAAUGGUAUUUGUAUCAUAUUUGUAUCAUAUUUGUUAUGCUUCAUGUAUAAUUCUAUGGAUGAUCAGAAUAUCUUUGGUUCGGUAAUACUUUGUAGGUAGAUCGGCAAUGGAUGUACAACACGGAUAAAUGCUCCAUGGAGUAUAUUAAUGGUUUGCGUGGUUUUCUCGAUCUGGCAGAGUUCAACAAGUUGUCAUAUGGUUUCAUUUAUUUUCCAUGCUGAAUUUGCAAAAAUGAGAAGGAUUACUCAUCCAGACUAUUUACACCCACAUAUAUAGUUUGGGGUUGAUGCCUAACUAUUUUGUUUGGACCAAGCACGGGAAAGAGGAGUUAUGAUGAAGAUGAUGAUGAUGAAGAAGAUGAUAACUACAUUCCUAACUGGACUCAAGGAGGUACCUUUGCAGAUGCUGCAAUGGGCGAGGCUGAAGAAGAGAUGAUUGCAGAAGAAUAUCCUACCGAUGAUUUAGGUCAGGUGUUGUGACAUGCAAAGGAAGACUGCGAGAAUGUGAAGGAGUCAAAGAAGUUCGAGCGUAUGUUAGAUGAUCAUGAGAAAUUGUUGUACCCAGAUUGCAAACAUGGGCAUAACAAGUUGGGUACCACACUAGAAAUGGUGCAAUGGAAGAUAAAAAAUGGAGUUUCUGACAAGGGUUUUGAUGAGUUAAUAAAAAUUAUAAAGAACAUGCUUCCCAAGGGGAACGAAUUGCCAUUCUCAACGUACAAAAUGAAAAAGUAGCUUCUCCUAAUUCUGUGAAGUGAUUCUCCAUCCUAAUUUUUAAAGUUUCGACAAAAACCAAUCUAAUAUUUUGCAUCUUUUCUUUUCUUCUUUUGCCUUAACUUUUCCAAUCCCAAUCUGCUAUUCUUCCUUCAUCUCGACGACGUUUGAAGGUGUUCUAGGUGGCCUGCCGGCCCUAUAACAACCCUACAUGCGCCUGCCCUGACAGGAUCCCUCUCGGGCGAGUGUUCAUCGAUCUACCGUCGGUCUUCCCGACAACCGGUCAGACCGGUCGUUGUAACCGGUCAGAUUGGCCUGCACCGAGGUGCUGCAGUGAGCCCCUCCGCGAGCUACACGAUCAUGUGCGUUCAUGUGUUGGCCUAAAAAAGCGUCAACACAAACUAUGAUAAUCUGCAAUUGUAUGCUAACAACAAAAGGAAAUCAACUUUGGCCACUCAUUUAUAAACAAGUGUUUGGAUGGGCCAUAAAAAUAAUUAAUAUCAAUGGAUUCUUGUCACGUAAAAACAUCUUCAUAUAACACCAGAAAGUAAAGUAGAAACAGGUUGGAGGGUUCAUUCGUAACCAUCCGCAGGCACCCCUUGCGGGAGUAGUAGGAGCACCCGGGAAGGGCGGCAUGGACACUGGUACGCACGUACCAAAUUGAGAACCCACCUGGCCACCUGGGCCGCUGAUCUUCAGCCUUGCACGAAUGAUCGAUCCUGCCACAAAGGAUGUCCUUGUGUUCUUGUGUAUCUAUAUUCUAUAUAAAGAGGUUACAGAUCAGAGUUGCUCAAAAUGGCAGAAAUACAGACCUGCACGAGACUCAGUCCACCACCCUCACAAUGGGUUGGUUUGGAUUCCGAGCAAGCUGUUCCUGGAUUUUCUUCUUCAGUUCACCUUUCUUGCGCCUAGCUUCCUCGUUGAUGGUUAUUAUUUCUCCACGCCAGUACAUAUAAACAUCGAGCUGGACUUCGUUGAUGCUUUGGAGAAUAUCUAGCCCAGAAAAGCAAAUCUCAUUAUUUGCAACCCCUGUGACCUGCAGCCACUCAAGUUUGGGCAUUGCUCCUUGCUCAAACUUUACCGAUUUGACCUUGCUUAUUACUCCAAAACUGAGCACCCUGAGGCUUCCAAAAGCUAUUCCAGCCUGCGAUGAUUUGAAAUCAAGUUCUUCACCCUGAAGCAAUGACCAGUGCCAAGACAGAACUAGAAUUUCCAGCUUCGCUAGGUUCCCAAGGAAUUCCAUAGCAGCAUCGUGCUCCAAUAGCCUGGUCCUCGCUAGUUUCAACUUCACGAGAUGCGGGAGCUCCUUGAUCCAUUCCGGCAACGUUUCCAGAUUGCCGUAGAGCUUGAGGCUCUGCAGGUUUUCCGGAGGGGAGGAUAUUCCAUCCAAGCAGCCACGCAAACCUCGCUUCCCUGCUGAACGCACCGACAGCGAUUCCAGCCUGCUGAGAUUGGAAACAGCGGCACGAAAAGCCGGGCCAUUCUUCCUGUUGAUGCCGGUGACUCCUAACUUGCGCAAUCCAGUGAGCCUUUUGAUGUCCUGUAGAACGGCAUUUCCCCUUCCAACAUUCACUUCCCUCAAUGUGUGCAACUCUUUCAGUUUUCUGGUCCCCCAUGGCACCGUAACGCUUCUUUCUUCAUCAACCCCCAUCAUGACAGCAGGGAAUUUCACGCAGCAAGCGAAAGUGCAUGCAUCACGCCUUGUGAGGGCCUUAUGGAGAGGGCCAUGAAUGUCCCCAAGAAGUGGUACGCAACAUGUUGCACAUUGACCCGCCCCCCAAAGACACCUUCUCGUUAAACUGUCCUUUGCCUCUGUUACAUAAUCUGUUCUCCGACCAGCGUGGAUGUACUGUAGCUUCCAAAGCUUGAUGAUGGUUUUGGGCAGAGCCCUUACCCGUGUACCUCUGACGUCUAGCACUUGGAGCUGUCUCAGGUUGCCCAAUGAAUCUGGCAGUAGAUCAAUACGAAAACAUCCUCGUAGAGAAAGGUAUUUGAGUUGAAUAAGCUUCCAAAUAUGAUCAAGCUGAUGGUAUUUUAGAUCAUCUAUAUCUUCUAAGUCGAGCACUCGUAGAAGCCUCAUCUUGUCAGAAAUGUAAAAUGGUCUGAAUUCUCCGAACACGGUUAGUGAUCGUAAUCGUGACAGAUCAACUAUUCUCUCUAACUCACUCUGAUCUCCUUUCCAGUUGCUGCUUAUUGCAAGAUGACGAAUUGCGCCUAGGGUACUCAAGCCACAUCCUUCCUCCAGUCUAAAAACAAGGUUUUCCUCCAUUGACUUUGAGAUGGCAAUGUCACGGAUGAGAUCAUGGACUUUGCAAGAGUCAAUUGAUUUUCUACUGCGAACUGAUUGUUGAAAUGGUAAAAUCAUGCUUCUGUAUUUGAGUUGUGUAAAGUAAUUUUCAGCCAUUUCAUUGGCAGACUUGCCACGCCUCUCGUGUGAGUACCCUUCUGCUGUCCAUCGAUGCACCAAACGCCUCUGGCUAAUGAUGUGGUCCUCAGGAAAAAUGGACAGAUAUAAGAAACAUGACUUGAGUUCAUAGGGUAAACCAUCAUAACUUGUCUGAAGGACGGUUCUUAUCAUCCCAAGCUCUGGAUUCAUCUCUAACUCAGCACUGAUAUUUUCAUUCAACUUUCUCCACUCAGCUCUAGUCUUUGGCCGGCUUGCCAAGUAGCCACCUAUUGUAACUAUUGCAAGGGGAAGUCCACCACACUUCUUUAGGAUUUUUUUUGUUUCUUCAAACAACUCAGGAUUCUUCUUAAUCAAAUCUGUUGCCUUCACAAGGGGAAGUCCACCAUACUUCUUCAAGUUUUGGUUUGCUUCUUCAACGAACUCUGGAUUCUGCUUAACAAAAUCUGCAGCCUUCCCAAAUACCUAAUUUUAAUGCAAUUUAAGUAUUUUAGUACUCUAAUCCAGAAAAUAAAUAAUUGUGCAUUACUUGUUGAUAUUUUGUUUGCUAGUGAUAGGCGCACGAUUGGUUGUGCACAGUGAUAAACACAUAUUGAAACAACAGUUUUCGUGUGAAACUUGGUGAUAUAUAAAUUUUUUUUGUAAGUUUGGCUGAAACUUGUCCAUUAUUCUUUUAUAAAAUAUUGCUGAAAAUUCCCACAACUUCACGAACUUUCUUGGGAGUUGCCUUUCAUAAAACGUGCCCAUUAUUCUUUUAAUUUUUUUCUGUAGUAGACCAUCUGUGAUGAGAGCUGUUAGUUUCCUUUAAUCUAACAUAUAUGAAUAUGAUGAUCUGAGGUAUACGAGAUCGGUUUACAGUAGAGUUGAAGCUAUGUUUUAAGGAAAUUUCCUAAAUACUAGGGAACUACUAAGUUUCACCUUAGUGUUUUAGAUGGCUUCAACACCAGAAUUUGGUCCCAGAGUUUUAUACCAACACUUAUGCUUUAGGGGUUAUAUGGAUAUAAGUUAAGAAAUUUAUAUGUUUUGAGGCCUCAAGAUGACAACUGACUUUUGUUUAUACCAUAUAAUUAUAAUCAGUUUAAUUUUGAAUUAGGGCUACUCUACCCAUAAGUUACAUUCGCGUUUUUUUAUAAUUUUCAAGUAAUAAGAGUGUAAUAAAAAUUCAACUAUUAGAUACCUGAAUAUAACACUUGAUCCUUUUGUUAGUAUGAAGUUAGAUCUAAGUUGAGUUAAUAUCUUGAAAUUGGAUAGCUGAAAAUAUAGUCCUAGUCCUAAUAGUAAGGAUAAAAAAUGCUUGAGUGACAUAUAUAUAGUCCUAGUCGUAAUAUUAAGGAUAAAAAAUAUACAAGGACAUUCACUCAAAGUGAAAUAUGACACACCACGUAGCAACAACUCAAAACAAAUGUAGGCUGCGCUACUUGAAAAUAAUUUAAUAUACAUAUGACAUCAUGUUCUUCUCAAAUUGUUAUUAUGCUAGAUUCAAAAAAUUUUAACCAUUGUAAAAAUCCCCAAGUUAUUAACAUUGCUGCAAAGACCCAUAGAAAUUUAAUACUUUAGCAACCAAAUGAAGCAAUGAAUACUACUACACGAUCCGUGGAUGUUUUCAGUGUUUUAGUUGGUGGGGGUAAUUAAUAGUUUUUAAAUAAUAUUAUCUUCAUAGUCAAUUGUAAAUACUUUUCAUUAAUGAAACAAACAAAAAAUAAAAAAGAUAGUUGACAGUGCUAUUGGAAACUCCUAAUAUUGGAAAAGUCACUUAAUAUAAUGACAAAAGUACCUUCCCUUAAGAUCCUAACAUAAAUGAGAACUAUUUUGUUGUUUCACAUGGAUAAAUGACUAUGAAAGGGAAUUAAACAAAUAAGGACAAAAGAAAUUAAAGCAUUCUCUACCGUGUUCAACAAGAGGACAAAACACAUUUUUGCUGUGUUCUGGUGGUGUUUGUGGUCUUGUUUUCUAAAAGGGAGAAUGUGCAUCAUUGAUAUACUGGGAGGUCAAAAUUACGUUAUAUCUGAAUCAUGGAUGUAUAGGUGAUUAGCGGCAAUAAUUGGGAUGGCAACAGCCUGUUGAAUAUCAAUGUAUUGAUCAUCUUGGUUCAGUUGUUCAAAUGAUAAACAAAUGUCAAACAAUUUGCAUGUUCCCAUAUGUUCCCUGUUGUUGACAGGACCAUCUUUAAUCUCUACGAAAUGCUAGACUGUUGUAGUAAUAAUGCUAUUUAAAAUCAAGCAAAAGUGACAAGGUUUCUAUUAUAUUACCUUUAAGCUGAAGAGGUUAAGUGCGUCCUCUUCUUUUAGAACUUCAAGGUUGUGUAUUAUUCCAUAUUUCCUGGAACAAUGUUUUGCAAUGCUUUCCUCCCUUGUAGUCACAAUUAUUCGGGAUGUUUUUUCCAUCCAAGAAAACCCUUGUAUUAUAUGGUCCCAUUCUUCAAUGGAUGAUAGAUCGUCCAGAACAAUCAAGCAGCUCUUCUUUUCUAAAAGCCUUUUCAACUCUUUAGUCAAGGCUUCAACCUCCAUCAUUGCUAAUGAUUCGGUCCUUUUGGGUCUAUUGUUCAACAGUUCUUCCUUCUUAGAAGACUCUUCUUGUAAUCGCCCGACUAAACUUCUAAGUAGAUCUGCAGGAUUGAAAGGACGCAUGAUUGUGACAAAAGCAUGCUUCUCAAACAUGUCACUUAACUUUGGGCUUUGAUAAAUGCCAUUGGCUAGAGUGGUUUUUCCAAGACCACCCAUUCCCCAAACAGAGAUCACCUGACUCUGUUGGCUAGCCUUGUUUGAGAUUAAUCCUAUAAUUUUGAAUAUUUCUUUCUCUCGACCAAUCAGUUGAGAUUCCUCCAAAGAACCAACACCCGUUCUGAUGCGAGUGAGGCUCUUUUUGUCCACCUUCGUUUCAUCAACAUCCUUACACUGAUUCUCUGUUAUCUCACUAGGGGCCACUGUUUGGGCAUUUGUACUGGUAGUGGCCACAUCUGAGUUAGAUACUAGAUCCAUAGAAACCAUUUCAUUUUGAGAACCCUGAACAAACAGAAAGUACAAUUAUUGGAAGCAACCUUUAAACUUCAUCUUCUUUUUAUUUUUUAAGGUUAUGUGUACCUAUAACAAAAGUACUAUAUAACCUUUUAUGUAAUCAUGCAGUGAGUGACUAUUGGUCAUAAAUCAAUUUAACAAGGUAUGAAAAUUACAGAUAACAAAAAUCUGGCCUCGCUGCGGUGCUUAAGUUUUUAAUAUCUAUAAGCCGAAGUCCUAACAUAAAUGACUAAGGUCAUAGUUGAAGACAUCAGGGGUAAAGGGUAAUGGUUUCAAAUGAUCCACCUCCAUCUGAAAUCAUAAAACCCAUCCAGUUAUUACUCAGUAAUAUGUAGUUUAAACGACGCUCCCUAUUGAUAGAAAUAUCUUGGUGUCCUCCUAUCUAAAUAUUUAAGAGUUUAGUGGCUGUGUUUAUAUUAGCUGUUGAAGAAGCCGUAAAUUAUAACUUCUUCAUCUAAUAUUCAACGAUGAAUCCCAAGUUAUGUUUAUCCUCCCCUCAAGAGAUGCUGCGAUCAACAUAGACUACAGCAAUGAACAGAUUCAGUAUCUUUCCCCUUCAUAUAGAUUUUCAGUUAGCAAAUGCAGUGAUUUCACAAUUUUUCUAGUAUAUCCAUUCAUUAAAUCUGCUGGAAUAUCCAUCUAAGAUUUAACAAGGUAUUAUUUUUCACAUUGACAGUGGGAUGUUGCUUUUCAAGCACAGAUGGGACAAUUGCUUUCGAGAUUUAUAUAAUUAAAAUAAAGCUUCAAAAUUUACAGUUAAGCAAGGAAGCUUAUAUUCCCUCCGUUUCAAAAUUUACAGUUAAGCAAGGAAGCUUAUAUUGCUUUAGAGAUUUUUGCUAUGCACCUAAAGGGUUAUGCCUAGAUACAUACCAAACUCUAUGUAUUUAUAAAAGCCAAAACGACCUAUAAUUUGAAACAGAGGAAGUACUUCAUUACACUGCAACUGCUUAAAUGCUGUUGGAAAAUAAUAUAAUCCUUGAUACGUGGAUAACUGAACCAGAAUAACGAUGUCACAGAAUGUUACUAAAAAUAAAAAUAUAAGUAUUACCUUGUCAUAGAAUGCAUAAAGCGUGUGAUCAGCAGACAAUUGCUUUAGCUCUGAGGCUUGGCUAUCUUGCCCUGCACAUAAGCUUGCAACUUCAACUUGUGUUGUUGACACUAUGAUUCGGCUUCCUUUGUUGUUGUUUGGCAGGCAUUUUUCGAUCUGGUCCCACUCUUCAAUGGUGCAGAGGUCAGUAAGUACAAUGAGAAACCUCUUCUCCUUCACAUAUCCAUCGAACUCCUGAACUAAAUUGCGCGCGGUUUUCUCUAUGUCCAAUAUAUCUUUAAAUCCUUCCAAUGCAAGAAAUUGGUUCACUAAGCUCUGGACAAAGCCUUUUGAACUGAAUGGAUGAGUCACCCUCACCCAUGCUCGGCUGGGAAAUUUGCUUUGGGUGUCUGGAUUCUUGUAAGCCGCCCUGAUGAUGGACGUUUGGCCGAUAUCUCCACCUGUUCCCCACACCGCAAUGACUCUAAGGUCAUCACCCUCCUUGUUGAUCAGUUGGACGAGAUCCACUCUCUGACUCUCCUCCUUUGCGGCACGCCUUGCAUCAUCAACACCGAAUAUGGCUGCAGCAAUGAUGCUUGAUUGCUCAGUGGCAGCUGUGGCCUUGGAUCCGGAGCCCUUGAUGAGGCGGUACCGAACAUUCCUCUGGCUCACAUCCUCAACCUUGGCCCUGAGCUCCUUCAUCUUCUUGGCCACACGGCGCCGCUCGAGCAGCGUGCGAGGGAAUCGCCACCAAGAUGGCCUCUCCACACGGACAGCAAAAUCUUGGAGACUGUCCUCGACGUCAUAGGCCGUGUCACGGACCUGCUUCACCCAGGUCUUCACCACCUUGUUGUCGCCUCGCUCCUCGUGUGCCUCCAUCAGGAAAGACUGCAUCAUCUCAAGCUCAUCCGAGACGAACGCAUGAUCUCGCUGGAUACCGAGCUGCAAGGCUACCUCCUCUGCGAAGGCAGAUUUCGCGUAGCCGACCGCUCCAUUCAGCACGGACUUGCCCACACUCAGCGCCGUCGCCUCCAUCGUUCUGCUGUGUUUCUCCGUGGAUCUAUACAAGGCUCAAAUUUAGAAGCUAAAACUCCGAGGCAGAAAAGGAUAGAUGGACAGGCGUUGAUGCCACCCAGUAAGAUGGCAAGUACCUGAAUUUUGGUGAACGCACAACCAAGGCAGGGGCAGAUCUAGAGGUAAAUAUGCUGCAAAAUACAUUCUUGCUGUAAUGACAAAUAAUACUCAACUGAACAGUACAAUCUGUGAGAAACUGAAGAUCUUUGAAAGUAUACCUUCUGUGGCCUAUGAGAUCUUGUGGCGUGGAAGUAAAUACAGCACUCUACUGCUUUGAUCCGGCGAGGCUCAAGGUCACGGGACGGCCCACACACGCACGCCCUGACGUGACCCGGCAAGCCAGCAAGGUUGAGGCCAAAUGGUGGAAGCGUGAUUCCAAGGCAGUAGGCACCGAGAUGGCGGUGCCGCCCUCGCCGACGAGCUAUGCGGCCACUACUCUUGCACCCGGUCGGCCUGUCGCCGCUCACACUCUGUGGUGUCUUGGUAGUCACCAGUCACUCCCUCGGGGUCAAAUUACUAUUUGUUUUAGCUAACGAAUAGUAAUUUGGGGUGGAGGGGGUAGAUUUUUUCAUUCAGUUACAUCCAAAGCGAUUGGGUAGCAACCAUAAUAUACUUAACCUACAUGGGGCGGUACAUUGGCAACAAUGAGAUACUUAACGAACCAACUACCCUAGUUCCUAACAUAAGCUGGUGAGGAGUCAAUGUGAUCCGCCAUAUUCUAUGUUCAACUUUAUCAGUAGGUGUAAGAACCAUAUUAUAUUUCAUUCAGUCCAUUCACGUCUUUUCGUUGGUUUGCCAAACAAAUCCCAAGAAAUACGAUCCAUAUGUCCUACCACCAAGAUCUCCAACACAUACAAUUUCUAAAAGAGAAAAGGUGCGUCGAUUAGGUUGAUCGGUGUAACCAUCCAGGCACAAAUUGACAAAAGUUCGAGGCCUUUCAUCAGCCCCCUUUUUUGUGCCCAACUGCCGGUCGCCAAAUGCCGAACACGUCAAGAAGACUCACCAAAUUUUGUGGUGGAUUUUCAGCGGCAAAGCUUCCUGUGAGAGGUACAUGAGGGAAAGCGACGUGAAUUCGUUGAACACUUCACGGGUGCUGAUGCUGUCUAUCGGAUGAGCAUGUGGAAUAAGAACAAAGUAGUGUGGAUAAGAGCUGAGGUGGUGAUAAGCUCUUGGCAUCUGCAUCUCAAGCACAAAAGUUUAGAUGAAACUUAGCUAAACAGGACCUUGAAAUGGAUGAUACUUGGUACCAUACUAUUUUGAAAUUCAGGAAAACAAGACGGAACGCUUUGCUGGACAUCUUCCGUACAACGCUUGUGUGCUCUUUGAGCCCCUCCAACGAAUCCGGUCAUGAGCACUACAAACAACUAGCGCGUAUAAUUGUGCUCCUUGAAAAUAGCUAGUUUAAGACCCCGUUUGGAUCAACUUCAGGCUUCCAAAAACUCUAGCCGACCUAAUUAAGUUUUGAUCUAGCUUUUACAACCUUACAAGCAAUCUUUCCUAAAAAUUUUCAGUACAUUUGUGCAUUAUGACUUUUAAAAGCUCUAGCUGAUCCAAAGAAGCCAGCUUGGUCUAGCUUUUAACAAUCCAUAAGUAGGCCGUACCUAAGAUUUAGAGGUCCUUGUGCUAAACAUAAAUUAGGCCCUUCAUUUACAAGUAUAAGUAAAUGAAGUGUAUUUUUUAUUUGAUUAUAUAACAUAUCAUGAUUAAGUGCUUGUUGUCCUGAUUAGUAGAACAGUAACAGAUGAGAGCGCAGGGAGGAAAAAUUGAAAAGUGGAAGUAUAAUUGACAGGAGGAUCUUGGAGGAAAAAAAAUAAACAAGGCUGUUUUGAGAAAAUGAAGCGGCGACCGUUGGAGAGCCGAUCUAGGAAAAAGCAGCAAAUUGUACUAGUUCCACCUUAUUUUGCUGGCUUAGUGAUAAAUACUAAUUAUCAAUAACCACUGGUAGAGAAUUGGCCUUUAGUCCCGGUUGGUAGGGUGCAUAUCUCCCGAAAAUCCAUCUGGGAUAAACCAACCGGGAUAAAAGGGGGGUCUUUAGUCCCGGGUCUUUUAACCGGGAGUAAAGGUCCACGCCAGGCGCGGGACAGGCCCUUUAGUCCCGGCUGGAUUCCAACCGGGACUAAAUGGCGCCCUGCAUGGCACUGCCUGGUGCCUGAAUUUUUCAUGCAUGCAUCACGUACGUAGUACCGCGGCCCUUUUGUUAACCUUUAGUAGUUGAGAUUUUUUUAGAACGAAAUCAACUAGUAUUUAAACGAAUAGGAUUUGUAAUUAUACAAUUACUAUAUAUAUACACAAUUCUUAUACACAAUUCAUAUACACAAUUCAACUAGCUUAGAACAAAUCGAUCAUAAUUAGCGCGUAUUAUAUAUACAAAUAAAUCAAAGUAUAUGUCUACAAUCUUCCCGUCGUGGUGUUGCUCAUCGGAGUGUCUAAUUGUCGUCCAUCAUAAUAAAAUUCUCCUUUUGGGAAUGUUCUAUCAAUUGAUCUCCACUGUGCCCCAUCUGCGGGGUGUCUCAGCAUCUCAUCUUCCUUACGGUCUUCUUUGUGCCAUCGCAUCAACUUAGCAUUCACCUUGUUCCUGAACAAACGCUUCAAGCGUGGUAUUAUAGGGAAAUACCACAUCACCUUCGCGGGAACUCUCUUCUUGGGAGACUACCCCUCGACAUCACCAGGAUCAUCUCGCCUGAUCUUAUACCAUAGGGCUUCGCAGACGGGACAAGCAUCCAAUUUCUCGUAUUCAUCACCACGAUAGAGGAUACAGUCAUUAGGGCAUGCGUGUAUCUUCUGAACAUCCAAUCCGAGAGGGCAAACAAUCUGUUUAGCUUCAUAUGUUGUGGACGGUAAUUCAUUAUUCUCGGGGAGAAUCUUCUUGACAAUGUUCAACAUCCCCUGAAAUGCCUUAUCGGACACACCAUUUUUUGCCUUCCAUUGCACAAAUUCUAGUGUCGUACCUAGUUUUUUAUGGCCCUGCUGACAACCUGGGUACAACAAUUUUUGGUGAUCAUCUAUCAUGCGCUGCAACUUUGCUGUUUCCUUCUCAGUUUCACAAUCUCUGUAUGCAUCUCGUAUCACCUGACCAAGGUCAUCAGUAGGGCCAUUUUCUGCAAACUUAUCUUCAUCAGCCUCGCCCAUUGUAGUACCUGCAAAAGCUUGGCCUGCAACCCAGUCUGGAAUGGUGUGUCAUCUUCCUCCUCCUCCUCGCCAUCUUCCAUUACGACCCCUAGUUCACCGUGCUUGGUCCAAAUCAAAUAGUUAGGCAUGAAACCGUAUUUAAACAAGUGGCUGUGAAUAGUCCCCCAGUAAUCCUUUGAAUACUCCUUCUUGUUAUUGCAUUGGAAGCAUGGACAACAUACGAACCUAUUCCCUGGCUUGUUCGCUUUGGCCACUUCGAGAAAAUAAUGCAAGCCAUCAAUAAACGCCUUGCUCCACCUAUCUGCAUUAUACAUCCAUUGCCGGUCCAUCUGCAUCGUAUUACGCAUAAAAAUGGAUUACACUUGACAAUGGAUUACGCGUGAAAAUCGAUUAAAGAUCCAAACAACAUGGUACAAUACAACAACAUGAAGAUCCAAAUACACAUAUUUAAAUUAAAGUUCCAAACAACAUGAUACAAUACAACAAGCCAUCCACUGGUUAUUAUCUAGGAGGACUUUAAGCAUCCUUGGACGGUGAAGACGAAGGCUCCGCUGACCCAACCUCAUCCUUAGGUUUAUUUGUGCCGCCUGAAACUGUAGUACUAAGUGGACGUGAAACACCCGGGACUGAGGGUGGAGCAUAACGACCACCAAAAGGAGGUUCCUGACCCGCGGCAACAGCUUCUUCAUGACGUUGCUGCAAAUAACAAAGCAUUGCUUUUUCCAGCGCGCUCUUUUUCUUCGGCUUAUGCUGAGGGUCAACUAUGAUUUUCCCCUUGCCGAAAUAGGAACCACGAUCGCCCCCACCAUCGCCACUUCCUCCAGUAGCAGAAGCCAUCUAUGUACAAAAAUUAUUACCUUAACACUGCAUAAGUUAUUGAACUUGAAGACCGUGAUCAUCUCGCGAGCAUGUCCUCAACUGGGCGGCACCGCACUUCGUCAUGAAAGAGGUUAGAUGCUACGGAAAAGGGGACACGGUCACGAUGUCCGUAUCCACUCUUUCUCGUAGAAUCGAACCUCCUUCUUGACAUACGUUGCUGCUUGGCGGAGAACAUCCUAUGCGAGAUGACCACGGUAUGCAAGUUCAACAAGUAUGGAUUUGAAAAACCUUAUUGAAUUUGAUAAGUUCAACAAGUAGCAGAAGUCAUCUAUGUACAAAAAUUGUUUCCUUACCACUGCAGAAGUUGUUGAACUUGAAGACCGUGAUCAUCUCGCGAGCAUGUUCUCAACUGGGCGGCACCGCACUUCGUCAUGAAAGAGGUUAGAUACUACGGAAAAGGGGACACGGUCAUGAUGUCCGUAUCCACUCUUUCUCGUAGAAUCGAACCUCCUUCUUCACAUAUGUUGCUGCUCGGCAGAGAACAUCAUCGCAGAGAUGAACACGGUAUGCAAGUUCAACAAGUAUGGAUUUGAAAAACCAUAUUGAAUUUGAUAACAUAAACCGUCUAGACAAGGUAGCAUCAUUCUUAAACCACUGCAAUAAUGCAUACUAUAUAUAUGACACAUCAAUCUCCCUCACAUUCUAGCUCAAAAUACCUCUCCAUUUUCUACUUCAUCAUCACAUUCUAGCAAAUAAUCUUUCCAUCUCCAAAGCAUAAAUCAAAGCAUAACACGAGGAUGAAGUAGCAAACCUUCACAACACUUGUAUUGGCCGAGUGAAAUUCCCACGAAAAUGAGGGAAAAAACUUCGGGCAGCACCUCCCUUGCUUCGGCACCACCGGAGAGUAGGUGAAGCUCAGCUCUCUCUGUCAAUGUGCUGGACUGGCUCGGGCUGGAGGAGGAAGAAAGUCCUCUGUCUUGGCCGUAUAUAAUGGGGAUGAGUUUUUAUCCCAGUUAAAAACUCCAACCGAGACAAAAAGGAACACCUUUUGUCCCGGUUGAAACUUUUUGUCCCGGUUGGAGGCUCCAACCGGGAUAAAAGGGAUAAAAUGGUGCCGCCACCGACGCCCCCCAGCUAGCCGUUGCAACCGGGACUAAAGGGGGGCCUUUCGUCCCGGUUGCAAUUACCAACCGGGACUAACUCUCCCCUCCAUUUUUGCCUACCGUGGCACACCCCCUUUUGUCCCGGGCCAACUUUAAACCGGGAUAAAAGGGGGCGCAUCGAAAGCCAAUUCUCUACUAGUGAACAAAAUUUGAUACCAUCAAUUCUUAAACCUGACCCGGUAAGAUCAAGUAAUUUAUUUGGUUGAAUUUUGAGUUUAAUUUGGCUAGAUCAAAUUCAAGUUAGAUAACUAAAAAAAAGUCAAGUUAGAAAAUAAUAGCGAUUGCAAGAUAUUGGACUUCUUUCUUAGUUCAAAAUUGGACCUAGUGAUUUCAUCUACACAGUAGAGUGUGUGGGUGGAUGCCUGGGUGGCUAGAUGAAAUCACUAGGCCCACAAACGAUAUGCUUGAGCCUCACUAGCGUCGAGCCUACCAUUCCAUUCAUCUUAUAAACUAGCUCACACUUCAUAAACUUUAGCUAACGUCAUGUCGAAAAUUUAGUAGCCUAAUCUUUCCAUCAUGAACCAAAAAAAUGCAAACCAUGAUAAUGUGCAAUUGUAUGCUAACAUCAAAAGGAAAUGAACUUUGGCCACUCAUUUAUAAACAAGUGUUUGGAUGGGACCUACAAAUAAUAUCAUGGAAUUCUCGUCAUGUACAAACAUCUUCGUAAUAACAUAAGAAAGUAAGUAGAAAUAGGUUGAACGGUUCAUUUUUAACCACCCACUAGGUACCCCUUGCGGCUGGCAGCUGCUGCAAGGCAGCCCCGCUGAUCUUCAGCCUGGUAGGUGUGCUCGAACCUGCUGCAACCGCAAAGUAUAUAAAGAGGUUACAGAUCAGAGUCGUCCGAAAUGGCAAAAGUGCAAAAGAUAUGUCUUUUACGGUAUACAAUACUAACUUAUACUACUGUUCGAAAAGAACUCGUAUAUAAGGAUCCGAUGGUUGAGAUUAAUUGUAUACUACUAAAACCUUAAGCUAGGUAGUAUGCAUGAGUGUAUGGGUAGUACAGGGUAGGUUAUCUUCUUUCCUUUUGCUCAUCGUCUCUUCAUUUCCAAUCGUUCGCACGCGCACUGGGCUGGUGGCGGCGAGUCCACAGCUGGAGGCAGCGAGGAAGAAGGAGGUCAGGUACGAGAAGAUCCGGACCAUCGAGAAGGGCCACCGGCGGCACUUCCACGACGACAUCACCGUCGUCAUGCUGUUCCUCGACAGGUGCAGGUCCGGACCGGAGGACAUCGACGGCAGCGCACGUCGACGUCUUCUCCUACAGCCCCGCCGGCGACCACGAGGACCCGACCAGACCCGUCCUGCGUUGAGGUUGAUCUCGGAUUCUCGGCUGGUGGUCCUCGUGCUAUCCAGAGAUUGAUGAACAUACUGUUCUUUCUUUCGGUGCUUGAUCCGAUCGCUCGCUCUCUAAACGAGAGGUACGCGUGAAUCGAGCCGUUUCCCGUUCAAGGAGAAUUUGCCUGCAAAGAAAUGCUAGUAUCGAAUCGAACAUACUGUGUGGUAAACGUACUGUAAACCUUCAUCAGUUCCUUCUUUCGUUUUAAGAGAAUGUGAAUGUUCUACUGCACUCCAACGAUCCUGCUUUCUAGUAUCUGUUCUUCCCGGUGUUCUUCAUAGCCGCCGGCGGCGAGCUCCUUCAGACGAGUGAGCAGCGAAUAUUAUAUGUCGUGCUACCCAUACCAAAAAACAGCCUGCACUCUACAUUACAACCAGGUGGUAGUAUUGUCAAACGUCAGAAUUGGUUCGUUUCUAUUCCGAGCAAGCUGUUCCUGGAUUUUCUUCUUCAGUUCACCUUUCUUGCGCCUUUCUUCCUGUCUUACUUCCUCUAUCUUUUCCCUGGUCUCAGGAUCUUUAGCAGCUCCUAUCCUUCUAUAAUCCCAGUAAAUGUGAACACUGAGCUGGACCUCGUUGAUGCUUUGGAGAAUAUCUAGCCCAGAAAAUCCAAUCUCAUUAUUUACUACCCCUGUGACCUGCAGCCGCUCAAGUUUGGGCAUUAUUCCUUCUUCAAACUUUACCGAUUUGAUGUACUGUAUGUUUGCAAGCAUGAGCACCCUGAGGCUUCCGAAAGCUCUUCCAGUCUGCUGAGAUCGGAAACGAAGUUCUUCACCCUGAAACGAUUGACGAGACAAGCUUAGAAUUUCCAGCUUUGACAGUUUCCCAAGGAAUUCCAUAGCAUCAUCGUGCUCCAAUAGCCUGGUGCUCACUAGUUUCAACUUCACAAGAUGCGGGAGCUGCUUGAUCCAUUGCGGCAACGUUUCCAUAUUGCCAUAGAGCUUGAGGCUCUGCAGGUUUUCUGGAGGCGGGGAUAUAGCAUCCAAGCAGCCAUGCAAACCUGGCUUCCCUGACGAACUCACAGAUAGUGAUUCCAGCCUGCUGAGCUUGGAAAUGGCAGCGCGAAAAGCUGGGCCAUUCUUCCUGUUGAUGCCGGUGACUCCUAACUUGCGCAAUCCCGUGAGCAUUUUGAUGUCCUGUAGAACAGCAUUUCCCCUUCCGACAUUCACUUCCCGCAAUGUGUGCAACUCUUUCAGUUUUCUUGUCCCCCUUGGCACUAUAGCGCCUCUUUCUUCAUCAACUCCUGUCAUGACAGCAGGGAAUUUCACGCAGCAAGCGAAAGUGCAUGCAUCACGCCUUGUAAGGGCCUUAUGGAAAGGGCCAUCAAUGUCCCGAAGAAGAGGUACGCAACAUGUUGCACAUUGACCCGCCCCCCAAAGACACCUUCUCGUUAAACUGUCCUUUGCCUCUGUUACAUACUCUGUUCUCCGACCAGCGUGGAUGUACUGUAGCUUCCGAAGCUUGAUGAUGGUUUUGGGCAGAGCCAUUACCCAUGUACCUCUGACGUCUAGCACUUGGAGCUGUCUCAGGUUGCCCAAUAAAUCUGGUAGUAGAUCAAUACCACUACAUCCUCGUAGAGAAAGGUAUUUUAGGUGAACAAGCUUCCAAAUAUGAUGAAGCUUAUGGUAUUUUAGAUCAUCUAUAUCUUCUAAGUCGAGCACUCGUAGAAGCCUCAUCUCGUCAGAAAUGUAAAAUGGUCUGAAUUCUCCGAACACGGUUAAUGAUCGUAAUCGUGACAGAUUAACUAUUCUCUCUAACUCACUCUGAUCUCCUUUCCAAUUGCUGCUUAUUGCAAGAUGACGAAUUGCGCCAUGGGUACUCAAGCCACAUCCUUCCUCCAGUCUAAAAACAAGGUUUUCCUCCAUUGACUUUGAGAUGGCAAUGUUACGGAUGAGAUCAUGGACUUUGCAAGGGUCAAUUGAUUUUCUACUGUGAACUGAUUGUUGAAAUGGUAAAAUCAUGCUUCUGUAUUUGAGUUGUGUAAAGUAAUUUUCAGCCAUUUCAUUGGCAGACUUACCACGCCUCUCGUGUGAGUACCCUUCUACUGUCCAUCGAUGCACCAAACGUCUCUGGCUAAUGAUGUGGUCCUUAGGAAAAAUGGAUAGAUAUAAGAAACAUGACUUGAGUUCAUAGGGUAAACCAUCAUAACUUGUCUGAAGGACGGUUCUUAUCAUCCCAAGCUCUGGAUUCAUCUCUAACUCAGCACUAAUAUUUUCAUUCAACUUUCUCCACUCAGCUCUAGUCUUUGGCCGGCUUGCCAAGUAGCCACCUAUUGUAACUAUUGCAAGGGUAAGUCCACCACACUUUUUUAUGAUUUUUUUUGUUUCUUCAAACAACUCCGGAUUCUUCUUAAUCAAAUCUGUUGCCUUCACAUGGGGAAGUCCACCAUACUUCUUCGAGUUUUGGUUUGCUUCUUCAACAAACUCUGGAUUUUGCUUAACAAAAUCUGCAGCCUUCCCAAAUACCUGAUUUUAAUGCAAUUUAAGUAUUUUAGUACUCCAAUCCAAAAAAUUACAUAAUUGUGCAUUACUUGUUGAUAUUUUGUUUGCUAGUGAUAGGCGCACAAUUGGUUGUGCACAGUGAUAAACACAUAUUGAAACAAUAGUUUUCCUGUGAAACUUGGUGAUAUAUAAUUUUUUUUGUAAGUUUGGCUGAAACUUGUCCAUUAUUCUUUUAUAAAAUAUUGCUGAAACAAAUAAGGACAAAAUAAAUUAAAGCAUUCUCUACUGUGUUCAACAAGAGGACAAAACACAUUUUUGCUAUUGGAAACUCCUAAUUUUGGAAAAGUCACCUAAUAAAAUGACAAAAGUACCUUCCCUUAAGAUCCUCAGAAAAAUGAGAACUAUUUUGUUGUUUCACAUGGCUAAAUGAGUAUGAAAGGGAAUUAAACAAAUAAGGACAAAAGAAAUUAAAGCAUUCUCUACUGUGUUCAACAAGAGGACAAAACACAUUUUUGCUAUGUUCUUUUGGUGUUUGUGGUCUUGUGUUUUCUAAAACGGAGAACGGGCAUCAUUGAUAUACUGGGAGGCAAAAAUUACGUUAUAUCUGAAUCAUGGAUGUAUAGGUCAAUAGCGGCAAUAAUUGGGAUGGCAACAGCCUGUUGAAUAUCAAUCUAUGUAUGGAUCAUCUUGGUUCAGUUGUUCAAAUGAUAAACAAAUGUCAAACAAUUUGCAUGUUCCCAUCUGUUCCCUGUUGUCGACAGGACCAUCUUUAAUCUCUACAAAAUGCUAGACUGUUGUAGUAAUAAUGCUAUUAAAAAUCAAGCAAGUGACAAGGUUUCUAUUAUAUUACCUUUAAGCUGAAGAGGUUAAGUGCAUCCUCUUCUUUUAGAACUUCAAGGUUGUGUACUAUUCCAUAUUUCCUGGAACAAUGCUUUGCAAUGCUUUCCUCCCUUGUAGUCACAAUUAUUCGGGUUGUUUUUUCCAUCUAAGAAAACCCUUGUAUUAUAUGGUCCCAUUCUUCAAUGGAUGACAGAUCGUCCAGAACAAUCAAGCAGCUCUUCUUUUCUAAAAUCCUUUUCAACUCUUUAGUCAAGGCUUUAACCUCCAUCAUUGCUAAUGAUUCGGUCUCGCUGGGUCUAUUGUUCAACAGUUCUUCCUUCUUAGAAGACUCUUCCUGUAAUCGUCCGACUAAACUUCUAAGUCUAAGUAGAUCUGCAGGAUUGAAAGGACGCAUGAUUGUGACAAAAGCAUGCUUCUCAAACAUGUCACUUAACUUUGGGCUUUGAUAAAUGCCAUUGGCUAGAGUGGUUUUUCCAAGACCACCCAUUCCCCAAAUAGAGAUCACCUGACUCUGUUGGCUAGCCUUGUUUGAGAUUAAUCCUAUAAUUUUGGAUAUUUCUUUCUCUCGCCCAAUAAGUUCAGAUUCCUCCAAAGAACCAACACCUGUUCUGAUGCGAGUGAGGCUCUUUUUGUCCACCUUCGUUUCCUCAACAUCCUUACACUGAUCAUCUGUUAUCUCACUAGUGGCCACUAUUUGAGCAUUUGUACUGGUAGUGGCCACAUCUGAGCUAGAUACUGGAUUCACGGAAACCAUUUCCUUUUGAGAACCCUGAACAAACAGAAAGUACAAUUAUUGGAAGCAACCUUUGAACUUCUUCUUCUUCUUGUUAUUUUUUUAAGGUUAUGUACCUAUAACCAAAGUACUAUAUAACCUUUUAUGUAAUCGUGCAGUCAGUGACUUUUGGUCAUAAAUCAAUUUAACAAGGUAUGAAAAUUACAGAUAACAGAUAUCUGACCUCGCUGCAGUGCUUAAGUUUUUAAUAUUUAUAAGCCGAAGUCCUAACAUAAGGUCAUAGUUGAAGACAUCAGGGGUAAAGGGUUAUGGUUUCAAAUGAUCCACCUCCCUCUGAAAUCCUAAAACCCACCCAGUUAUUACUCAGUAAUCUGUAGUUUAAAUGAUGCUCCCUAUUGAUAGAAAUAUCUUGGUGUCCUCCUAUCUAAAUUUUUAAGAGUUUAGUAGCUGUGUUUAUAUUAGCUGUUGAAGAAGCUGUAAAUUAUAAUUUCUUAUCUAAAAUUCAACGACGAAUCCCAAGUUAUGUUUAUCCUCCCCUCAAGAGAUGCUGCGAUCAACAUAGACUACAGCAAUGCACGGAUUCAGUAUCUUUCCCCUUCAUAUAGGUUUUCAGUUAGCAAAUGCAGGGAUUUCACAAUUUUUCUAGUAUAUCCAUUCAUUAAAUCUGCUGGAAUAUCCUGUAGGAUUUAACAAGGUAUUAUUUUUCACAUUGACAUUGGGAGAUUGCUUUCCAAGAACAGAUGGGACAAUUGCUUUAGAGAUUUAUGUAACUAAAAUAAAGCUUCAAAAUUUAUAGUUAAGCAAGGAGGCUUAUACUCCCUCCGUUUCAAAUUGUAGGUCGUUUUGGCUUUUUUAGAUACAUGAUUUUUGCUAUGCACCUCUAGAUACAUAGCAAAAUCUAUGUAUUUAUAAAAGCCAAAACGACCUAUAAUUUGAAAUAGAGGAAGUAUUUCAUUACACUGUAAAUUUGCAUAUUAAUGUGUUAGCCAAUCUAGUACCUUUAGCAAUUCCCUUUUCAGGCAAUUUCUUAAAUGCUAUUGGAAAAUAAUAUAAUCCUUGAUACGCCGAUAACUGAACUAGAAUAAUGUUGUCAUAGAAUGCUACUAAAAAUAAAAAUAAAAGUAUUACCUUGUCAUAGAAUGCAUAAAGCGUGUGAUCAGCAGACAGCUGCUUUAGCUCCGAGGCUUGGCUAUCUUGCCCUGCACAUAAGCUUGCAACUUCAACUUGUGUUGUUGACACUAUGAUUCGGCUUCCUUUGUUGUUGUUUGGCAGGCAUUUUUCGAUCUGGUCCCACUCUUCAAUGGUGCAGAGGUCAGUAAGCACAAUGAGAAACCUCUUCUCCUUCACAUAUCCAUCGAACUCCUGAACUAAAUCGUGCGCGGUCUUCUCUGUGUCUAAUAUAUCUUUAAAUCCUUCCACUGCAAGAAAUUGGUUCACUAAGCUCCGGACAAAGCCUUCUGAACUGAAUGGAUGAGUCACCCUCACCCAUGCUCGGCUGGGAAAUUUUCUUUGGGUGUCUGGAUUCUUGUAAGCCGCCCUGAUGAUGGAUGUUUGGCCGAUAUCACCACCUGUUCCCCACACCGCAAUGACUCUAAGGUCAUCAUCCUCCUUGUUGAUCAGUUGGACGAGAUCCACUCUCUGAUUCUCCUUUGCGGCACGCCUUGCAUCAUCAACACCGAAUAUGGCUGCAGCAAUGAUGCUUGAUUGCACAGUGGCAGCUGUGGCCUUGGAUCCAGAGCCCUUGAUGAGGCGGUACCGCACAUUCCUCUGGCUCACAUCCUCAACCUUGGCCCUGAGCUCCUUCAUCUUCUUGGCCACACGGCGCCGCUCGAGCAGCGUGCGAGGGAAUCGCCACCAAGAUGGCCUCUCCACACGGACAGCAAAAUCUUGGAGACUGUCCUCAACGUCAUAGGCCGUGUCACGGACCUGCUUCACCCAGAUCUUCACCACUUUGUUGUCGUCUCGCUCCUCGUGUGCCUCCAUCAUGAAAGACUGCAUCAUCUCAAGCUCAUCCGAGACGAACGCAUGAUCACGCUGGAUACCGAGCUGCAAGGCUACCUCCUCUGCGAAGGCAGAUUUCGCGUAGCCGAGUGCUCCAUUCAGCACGGACUUGCCCACACUCAGCGCCGUCGCCUCCAUCGUUCUGCUGUGUUUCUCCGUAGAUCUAUACAAGGCUCAAAUUUAGAAGCUAAUGGUGUGUUUGGUUGGUUGUAUCAUUUGAUUCAUAUAUGAAAUGAUUUAAAAUAAUAAUGAUCAUUUUGUUUGGUUGGGUGAAUUGGACCAACUCAUCCAGGAUGAGGCUAUCCCACUUAAUACAUUAUUCUACUAAUUAGAGUGAACCAUAUGGUACAAGCAAAUUGGUUGAACCACCCCAUCCAGGAUUCAUCCAUGCAUGCAUCAUGUAAUGCAUGCAACCAAACACACCCUAAAACUCCGAGGCAGAAAAGGAUAGAUGGACAGGCGUUGACCCAGCAAGAUGGCAAGUACCUGAAUUUUGGUGAACGCACAACCAAGGCAGGGGCAGAUCUAGGGAACGCACACCGGGUGAUCAACAGCACUCACAAGGUAAAUAUGCUGCAAAAUACAUUCUUGCUGUAAAUACAAAUAAUACAAUCUGUGAGAAACUGAAGAUCUUUGAAAGUAUAUACCUUCUGUGGCCUAUGAGAUCUUGUGGCGUGGAAGUAAAUACAGCACUCUACUGCUUUGAUCCGGCGAGCUGGCUCAAGCUCACACGCCCUGACGUGACGCGGCAUGCCAGCAAGGUUGAGGCCAAAUGGUGUGGAUGCGUGAUUCCAAGGCAGUAGGCACCGAGAUGGCGGCGCCGCCCUCGCCGACGAGCUACGCGGCCACUACUCUUGCUGUCUUGCACCCGGUCGGCCUGUCGCCGCUCACACUCUGUGGUGGCUUGGUAGUCACCAGUUACUCCUCAGGAGUACCCCAUGCUGGCUGGGAGCAGUGGACUCUAGAUACCUCUAAUGGACUUUGCAGGGUGCUUAAAUGGUCAGUAGGGAUUUUGCACACAAGCACUUGUUGGGGUCGGUUAGCAGCCGCCUGCCGAUUUCCGCCUGCCAAAGGAAACUCACCAUCUCUCUUUUUUUUAAAAAAAAACGGUCUUUGAAACAAACCGCUUUAUUAUUGCCCUAGGGACAGAUGCAUCACAGCAUAAGAUGCAUGAGCAAAUAAUUAAGUACUCCCUCGGGAGUAGAUUUUUUCAAUCAGUUAGAUCCAAAGCGAUUGAUUAGCAGAUGUCACUAUGUCACAUGGGGCGGUACACUGGCAACAAUAAGAUACUUAAAGAGCUAACUGGCCGACGAUGCUACCGAAGACUUAACUAAUUAGUACUAGUUUUUGUUGGACCAACCUCUACAUACACGUAACACAACUGUCCUAGAAAUAUAGUUGCGCACAAGAUAAAAUUGCAUAACCCAAGCACCUUCUACAAAGGUUGAAAUGUUCGCUAUACAAACCAUGGUCCAUGGCAUACAAGCUGAGUAAACUCCAAAAGGGUUCUGCAUACAACCUAAAACAAUCUUACAACAAAGAAACAGACAAACCCAAUCACUACCGGAAACAGUUAUUUUGCCGAGUGCCCCAGGCACUCGGCGAAGGCCCAAUUACACUCGGCAAAUGGUUUGCUGAGUGUAACACUCGGCGAAGUCUAGUCGGCAAAGUUUUCCUCGGCAAACAGGCUGUUUGCCGAGUGUCGAUCGUCGGGCACUCGGCAAACCUUUUGCCGAGUGCCAAAAUACACUCGGCAAAAUUAAACACUCGGCACAAAGACGUUAACGGUCUGUCACGGCAACGGAGGAUUUGCCGAGUGCCUGAUGGCCGACACUCGGCGAAUCCGUAAAGUGUGCCGAGUGUAUUCUUAAGGACACUCGGCGAAGAUUUAUCAGUGUGCCGAGUGUACUCCGGAGAACACUCGGCGAAAAUGCAUGGAUCGCCGAGUGCCUGCCACGUGGCACUCGGCGAAGAAGCCCCACCCGCCGUUUUUAUUUGACCAUUUGCCGAGUGUCGGCGGGCAGGUACUCGGCAAAGGUCUAACGGCCGGCCCAACCCGGUAACGGACGACGCACGUGCGAUGCACGCGCUGUUGAUUUACCGAGUGUGGCUUAUUUGCCGAGUGUCCAGGAGUCGUUUGCCGAGUGCCUUUUUUUUUGCACUCAGCAAACCUCCUAUUUGCCGAGUGUAUUAUGUUCGCCGAGUGCCUCGUUGUAUACACUCAGCAAAGACGGUGUUUGCCGAGUGCCGAAAAAAUGCACUCGGCACACUUUUUACACUCGGCGAAUUUACUGUUUCCGGUAGUGAAUGGACAAUAUCCAUGUAUACUUCGUUUCAGAAAGGUGUUCCGUUUGCAUUAUGCUUUAGUGUAGCACCAGGCUAAAAUGCAGGACCGUCUUCUCGAGCUCAUCACUGAUGAAUGCCUGGUCUCGCUGGACACCAAGCUGCAACCUGCAAGGCCACCUCCUCUGCCAAGGAAGAUUUCGCGUAGCCAAGUGAUGCUCCAUUCAGCACAUACUUGCCCACACUCAGUGCCGUCGCCUCCAUAGCUCUGCAAGGUGUGGUUCUCCAUGUUUUUUUAGAUUAGGGAAAUAUCCGGUCUUGCGAAUGUCUACGACCACAUGAAACAAAAUGCAGUUCUUAGACCACCAUCUGCCACAAGGCCUUACACAAAGUUUCAUCCAAACAGAAGAUGACAGACACUAGGCCUCAAUCCUAUUCCUGGAACUCCACCCAAACUUGCUGAAGAUUUCCAUGAUAGCGAUCUCCAAAUUGCGACAGCUUUGUUUCAAGGUGACCUUCUCUUCCUCAUUAGAUAGCAGCGACCACCAUCUUAUUCAGUAUAUCCCCUGAAGAUUAUUUGCAUAAGAGAGUUAGGCUUGGAUCUUUUGAGCACUACAUCAUUCCUACUUAACCAAAUAGCCCAACAAAGACCCGAUGCACCCUGAUUUCUAAGCUUUACAGAAAUAGUUUCUAAGCCAAGAACCAAACAAAUUCAAUACAUUGGUAGGCGGUUGAAUAUCAAAUGUGAUAUAAACAACAGUCCAAAUUGAUCUGGCCAAAUGACAGUCAAAAAAUAAAUGUUGAAUCGUCUCACUAGAGCUACAGAAGCAACACCUAGUUCUGCCUUGCCAAUUUCUCUUUACCAAGUUGUGGCAGACCUGAUGCUCACCUCACACAUCUGGCCUGAUGACUCUACACAGUGACUGAGCUGCCGCCACAGCUGCACUCUUGGCGUAUGGUCCUAGAACGAAUCCAGAUCAAGUGACUGUGCCCAUGUGAAGCACACUCAACGUAUCGACAGCUCAAAGUGUAACAGAGAGAGGAGCUGGUUUGGACGGAUCGAUGUCCUAUAGCCUUGCGGUGGUUGGGAGCAAAGUUUCCCUUCCCCCGCAUGCAUGCACUUGAAUCCAUUAUUUUGCAAUUCACCAAGCCAAAGAUGCCCAAAGAGCUCAGUGAGGCGUUCGAUGUAGGCAAAGUACUCACACACUCUGGUGAUAAUCAUACUGCUUAUUUGAUUGAUGGUGGCCUGAGUGCUGAGUAGCCUUUGGUCAGGCUGUAAAGGUACAGUAGCAUUUAUUUUAUGUUGUGGAGUGUACUAGUUGUUGAGACGGGCUGUAAAGAUACACCAUGUUUGAUUACAUGCAAAAAAAAAUUUGAGAAGGUUACAGCCUGCUUUGGACAUGGUAACACUGCAACCACUCCUCCAAGUUCCCUUUCUUCUUUUUUUAUUCUACUACACGGAGAUCGGCGCAACACCAAGCAUGAGUAAAGAUGCACGAUCGCAGAAAGCUCCUCGUAGUCAAGUUCUAAUCCUUCAAGAAUGAAAGCAAGCAACAACAGCUUGAAACUGGCUCAGCAUUUUGGACUACCAAACUCUGAACAAUUAGGUUGAUCGGUUUAACCAUCCAGGCACAAAUUGAUAAAAGUUCGAGACCUUUCAUCAGCCCCCCUUUUUUUGCCCAACAGCCGAUCGCCAAAUGCCGAAAAUGUCAAGAAGACUCACCAAAUUUUGUGGUGGAUUUUCAGCGGCAAAGCUUCCUUGAGAGGUACAUGAGGGAAAGCGACGUGAAUUCGUUGAACACUUCACCGGUAUGAUGAUGUCUAUCGGAUGAGCAGGUGGAAUGAGAACAAAGUAGUGUGGAUAAGAGCUGAGGUGGUGAUAAGCUCUUGGCAUCUGCUUCUCAAGCACAAAAGUUUAGAUGAAACUUAGCUAAACAGGACCUUGAAAUGGAUGAUACUUGGUACCAUACUAUUUUGAAAUUCAGGAAAACAAGACGGAACGCUUUGCUGGACAUCUUCCGUACAACGCUUGUGUGCUCUUUGAGCCCCUCCAACGAAUCCGAUCAUGAGCACUACAAACAACUAGCGCGUAUAAUUGUGCUCCUUGAAAAUAGCUAGUUUAAGACCCCGUUUGGAUCAACUUCAGGCUUCCAAAAACUCUAGCCGACCUAAUUAAGUUUUGAUCUAGCUUUUACAAUCUUACAAGCAAUCUUUCCUAAAACUUUUCAGUACAUUUGUGCAUUAUGACUUUUAAAAGCUUUAGCUGAUCCAAAGAAGCCAGCUUGGUCUAGUUUUUAACAAUCCAUAAGUAGGGCCGUACCUAAGAUUUAGAGGUCCUGGUGCUAAACAUAAAUUAGGCCCUACAUUUACAAAGUAUAAAUAAAUGAAGUGUAUUUUUUAUUUGAUUAUAUAACAUAUCAUGAUUAAGUGCUUGUUAUCCUGAUUAGUAGAACAGUAACAGAUGAGAGCGCAGGGAGGAAAAAUUGAAAAGUCGAAGCAUAAUUGCAAGGAGGAUCAUUGGAGGAAAAACAAAUAAACAAGACUGUUUUGAGAAAAUGAAGCGGCGACCGUUGGAGAGCCGAUCUAGGAAAGAGCAGCAAAUUGGACUAGUUCCACCUUGUUUUGCUGGCUUAGUGAUAAAUACUAAUUAUCGAUAACACAAUUUGACACCAUCAAUUCUUUAAACCUGACCUGGUAAGAUCAAGUAAUUUAUUUGGUUGAAUUUUGAGUUUAAUUUGGCUAGAUCAAAUUCAAGUUAGAUAACUAAAAAAAGUCAAGUUAGAAAACAAUAGCAGAUUGCAAGGUAUUGGACUUCUUUCUUAGUUCAAAAUUGGACCUAGUGAUUUCAUCUACACAGCAGAGUGUGUGGGUGGGUGCCUGGGUGGCUAGAUGAAAUCACUAGGCCCACAAACGACAUGCUUAAGCCUCACUAGCGUCGAGCCUACCAUUCCAUUCAUCUCAUGAACUACCUCACACUUUUUAAACUUUAGCUAACGUCAUGUCAAAAAUUUAGUAGCCUAAUCUUUCCAUCAUGAACCCCAAAAAAAUGCAAACCAUGAUAAUGUGCAAUUGUAUGCUAACAACAUAAGGAAAUGAACUUUGGCCACUCAUUUAUAAACAAGUGUUUGGAUGGGACCUACAAAUAAUAUCAUGGAAUUCUCGUCAUGUACAAACAUCUUCGUAAUAACAGAAGAAAGUAAGUAGAAAUAGGUUGAACGGUUCAUUUUUAACCACCCACUAGGUACCCCUUGCGGCUGGCAGCUGCUGCAAGGCAGCCCCGCUGAUCUUCAGCCUGGUAGGUGUGCUCGAACCUGCCGCAACCGCAAAGUAUAUAAAGAGGUUACAGAUCAGAGUCGCCCGAAAUGGCAAAAGUGAAAAAGAUCUUUGCGGUAUACAAUACUACCUUAUACUACUGUUCGAAAAGGACUCGUAUAUAAGGAUCCGAUGGUUGAGAUUAAUUGUAUACUACUAAAACCUUAAGCUAGGUAGUAUGCAUGAGAGUAUGGGUAGUACAGGGGUAGGUUAUCUUCUUUCCUUUUGCUCAUUGUCUCUUCAUUUCCAAUCGCUCGCACGCGCACUGGGCUGGUGGCGGCGACUCCGCAGCUGGAGGCAGCGAGGAAGAAGGAGGUCAGGUACGAGAAGAUCCGGACUAUCGAGAAGGGCCACCAGCGGCACUUCCACGACGACAUCACCGUCGUCAUGCUGUUCCUCGACAGGUGCAGGUCCGGACCGGAGGACAUCGAUGGCAGCGCCCGUCGACGUCUUCUCCUGCAGCCCCGCCGGCGACCACGAGGACCCGACCAGGCCCGUCCUGCGUUGAGGUUGAUCUCGGAUUCUCGGCUGGUGCUCCUCGUGCUAUCCAGAGAUUGAUGAACAUACUGUUCUUUCUUUCGGUGCUUGAUCCGAUCGCUCGCUCUCUAAACGAGAGGUACGCGUGAAUCGAGCCGUUUCCCGUUCAAGGAGAAUUUGCCUGCAAAGAAAUGCUAGUAUCGAAUCGAACAUACUGUGUGGUAAACGUACUGUAAACCUUCAUCAGUUCCUUCUUUCGUUUUAAGAGAAUGUGAAUGUUCUACUGCACUCCAACGAUCCUGCUUUCUAGUAUCUGUUCUUCCCGUUGUUCUUCAUAGCCGCCGGCGGCGAGCUCCUUCAGACGAGGGAGCAGCGAAUAAUAUAUGUCGUGCUAAUUACAAUUUUACCUAUAUUAAAAAAUAGCCUAUAAUUUAUACUACCACCACGUAGUAUUGUCGUCAAACGUCAGAAUUGGUUCGUUUCUAUUCCGAGCAAGCUGUUCCUGGACUUUCUUCUUCAGUUCACCUUUCUUGCGCCUUUGUUCCUGUCUUUCUUCCUCCUCUAUCUUUUCCCUGGUCUUAGUAUCUUUAGCAGCUAUUAUCCUUCCAUAAUCCCAGCUAAUGUAAACACUGAGCUGGACCUCGUUGAUGCUUUGGAGAAAUUCUAGCCCAGAAAAUCCAAUCUCAUUAUUUGCUGCCCCUGUGACCUGCAGCCGCUCAAGUUUGGGCAUUAUUCCUUGUUCAAACUUUACCGAUUUGAUGUCCAGCAUGUUUGCAAGCAUGAGCACCCUGAGGCUUCCGAAAGCUCUUCCAGUCUGCUGAGAUCGGAAACGAAGUUCUUCACCCUGAAACGAUUGACGAGACAAGCUUAGAAUUUCCAGCUUUGACAGUUUCCCAAGGAAUUCCAUAGCAUCAUCGUGCUCCAAUAGCCUGGUGCUCACUAGUUUCAACUUCACGAGAUGCGGGAGCUGCUUGAUCCAUUGCGGCAACGUUUCCAUAUUGCCAUAGAGCUUGAGGCUCUGCAGGUUUUCUGGAGGCGGGGAUAUAGCAUCCAAGCAGCCAUGCAAACCUGGCUUCCCUGACGAACUCACAGAUAGUGAUUCCAGCCUGCUGAGCUUGGAAAUGGCAGCGCGAAAAGCUGGGCCAUUCUUCCUGUUGAUGCCGGUGACUCCUAACUUGCGCAAUCCAGUGAGCAUUUUGAUGUCCUGUAGAACGGCAUUUCCCCUUCCGACAUUCACUUCCCGCAAUGUGUGCAACUCUUUCAGUUUUCUUGUCCCCCUUGGCACCAUAGCGCCUAUUUCUUCAUAAAACCCCAUCAUGACAGCAGGGAAUCGCACGCAGCAAGCGAAAGUGCAUGCAUCAAUGUCCCAAUGAACAGGUACGCAACAUGUUGCACAUUGACCCGCCCCCCAAAGACACCUCCUGGUUAAACUGUUCUUUUCCUCUAUUACAUAAUCUCUUUUCGGACCAGCAUAGAUGUACUGUAGCUUCCGAAGCUUGAUGAUGGUUUUGGGCAGAGCCAAUACCCAUGUACCUCUGACGUCUAGCACUUGGAGCUGUCUCAGGUUGCCCAAUAAAUCUGGCAGUAGAUCAAUACCACUACAUCCUCGUAGAGAAAGGUAUUUUAGGUGAACAAGCUUCCAAAUAUGAUCAAGCUGAUGGUAUUUUAGAUCAUCUAUAUCUUCUAAGUCGAGCACUCGUAGAAGCCUCAUCUUGUCAGAAAUGUAAAAUGGUCUGAAUUCGCCGAACACGGUUAGUGAUCGUAAUCGUGACAGAUCAACUAUUCUCUCUAACUCACUCUGAUCUCCUUUCCAGUUGCUGCUUAUUGCAAGAUGACGAAUUGCGCCAUGGGUACUCGAGCCACAACCUUCCUCCAGUCUAAAAACAAGGUUUUCCUCCACUGACUUUGAGAUGGCAAUGUCACGGAUGAGAUCAUGGACUUUGCAAGAGUCAAUUGAUUUUCUACUGCGAACUGAUUGUUGAAAUGGUAAAAUCAUGCUUCUGUAUUUGAGUUGUGUAAAGUAAUUUUCAGCCAUUUCAUUGGCAGACUUGCCACGCCUCUCGUGUGAGUACCCUUCUACUGUCCAUCGAUGCACCAAACGUCUCUGGCUAAUGAUGUGGUCCUCAGGAAAAAUGGAGAGAUAUAAGAAACAUGACUUGAGUUCAUAGGGUAAACCAUCAUAACUUGUCUGAAGGACAGUUCUUAUCAUCCCAAGCUCUGGAUUCAUCUCUAACUCAGCACUGAUAUUUUCAUUCAACUUUCUCCACUCAGCUCUAGUCUUUGGAUGGCUUGCCAAGUAGCCACCUAUUGCAACUAUUGCAAGGGGAAGUCCACCACACUUUUUUAGGAUUUUUUUUGUUUCUUCAAACAACUCGGGAUUCUUCUUAAUCAAAUCUGUUGCCUUCACAAGGGGAAGUCCACCAUACUUCUUCAAGUUUUGGUUUGCUUCUUCAACAAACUCUGGAUUCUGCUUAACAAAAUCUGCAGCCUUCCCAAAUACCUGAUUUUAAUGCAAUUUAAGUAUUUUAGUACUCCAAUCCAAAAAAUAAAUAAUUGUGCAUUACUUGUUGAUAUUUUGUUUGCUAGUGAUAGGCGCACAAUUGGUUGUGCACAGUGAUAAACACAUAUUGAAACAACAGUUUUCCUGUGAAACUUGGUGAUAUAUAAAUUUUUUUUGUAAGUUUGGCUGAAACUUGUCCAUUAUUCUUUUAUAAAAUAUUGCCGAAAAUUCUCACAACUUCAUGAACUUUCUUGGGAGUUGCCUUUCAUAAAACUUGCCCAUUAUUCUUUUAAUUUUUUUCUGUAGUAGACCCCCUUUGAUGAGAGCUGUUAGUUUCCUUUAAUCUAACAUAUAUGAAUAUGAUGAUCUGAGGUAUACGAGAUCGGUUUACAGUAGAGCUGAAGCUAUGUUUUAAGGAAAUUUCCGUAAUACUAUAGAACUACUAAGUUUCUCCUCAGUGUUUUAGAUGGCUUCAACACCAGAAUUCGGUCCCGCAGUUUUAUUCCACAACUUAUGCUUUAGGGUUGAUAUGUAUAUAAGUUAAGAAAUUUAUAUGUUUUGAGACCUCAAAAUGACAAUUGACUUUUGUUUAUACAAUAUAAUUAUAAUCAGUUUAAUUUUGAAUUAGGGCUAGUCUACCCAUAAGUUACAUUCAUGUUUUUUUUAUAAUUUUCAAGUAAUAAGAGUGUAAUAAAAAUUCAACUAUUUGAUACCCGAGUAUAACACUUGAUCCUUUUGUUAGUAUGAAGCUAGAUCUAAGUUGAGUUAAUAUCUUGAAAUUGGAUAGCUGAAAAUCAGGUGGUGGAAACCCCUAAAAUGCUUGAGUGACAUAUAUGUAGUCCUAGUCCCUAAUAGUAAGGAUAAAAAAUAUACAGGGACAUUCACUCAAAGUGAAAUAUGACACACCACGUAGCAACAACUCAAAACAAAUGUAGGCUGCGUUACUUGAAAUACAUAUGACAUCAUGUUCUUUUCAUAGUAAUAUCUCAGAUUGUUAUUAUGCUAGAUUCAAAAUUUUUUAACCAUUGUAAAAAUCUCCAAGUUAUUAACAUGGCUACGAAGACCCAUAGACAUUUAAUACUUUUCUUUAGCAACGUAAUGAAGUAACGAAUACUACUACCCGAUCUGUGGACGUUUUCAGUGUUUUGGUGGGUGGGGGUAAUUAAUAGUUUUUAAAUAAUAUUAUCUUCAUAGUCAAUUGUAAAUAUAUUUUAUAAUGAAACAAAGAAAAAAUAAAAUAGAUAGUUGACAGUGCUAUUGGAAACUACUAAUAUUGGAAAAGUCACCUAAUAUAAUAACAAAAGUACCUUCCCUUAAGAUCCUCAGAAAAAUGAGAACUAUUUUGUGGUUUCAAAUGGAUAAAUGAGUAGGAAAGGGAAUUAAACAAAUAAGGACAAAAGAAAUUAAUGCAUUCUCUACUGUGUUCAACAAGAGGACAAAACAUAUUUUUGCUGUGUUCUGGUGGUGUUUGUGGUCUUGUGUUUUCUAAAAGGGAGAACGGGCGUCAUUGAUAUACUGGGAGGCAAAAAUAACGUUAUAUAUGAAUCAUGGAUGUAUAGGUCAUUAGAGGCAAUAAUUGGGAUGGCAACAGCCUGUUGAAUAUCAAUGUAUCGAUCAUCUUGGUUCAGUUGUUCAAAUGAUACACAAAUGUCAAAAAAUUUGCAUGUUCCCAUAUGUUCUCUGUUGUCGACAGGACCAUCUUUAAUCUCUACGAAAUGCUAGACUGUUGUAGUAAUAAUGCUAUUUAAAAUCAAGCAAAAGUGACAAGGUUUCUAUUAUAUUACCUUUAAGCUGAAGAGGUUAAGUGCAUCCUCUUCUUUUAGAACUUCAAGGUUGUGUACUAUUCCAUAUUUCCCGGAACAAUGCUUUGCAAUGCUUUCCUCCCUUGUAGUCACAAUUAUUCGGGUUGUUUUUUCCAUCCAAGAAAACCCUUGUAUGAUAUGGUCCCAUUCUUCAAUGGAUGACAGAUCGUCCAGAACAAUCAAGCAGCUCUUCUUUUCUAAAAGUCUUUUCAACUCUUUAGUCAAGGCUUCAACCCCCAUCAUUGCUAAUGAUUCGGUCUUGCUGGGUCUAUUGUUCAACAGUUCUUCCUUCUUAGAAGACUCUUCCUGUAAUCGUCCGACUAAACUUCUAAGUAGAUCUGCAAGAUUGAAAGGACGCAUGAUUGUGACAAAAGCAUGCUUCUCAAACAUGUCAAUUAACUUUGGGCUUUGAUAAAUGCCAUUGGCUAGAGUGGUUUUUCCAAGACCACCCAUUCCCCAAACAGAGAUCACCUGACUCUGUUGGCUAGUCUUGUUUGAGAUUAAUCCUAUAAUUUUGGAUAUUUGUUUCUCUCGCCCAAUCAGUUGAGAUUCCUCCAAAGAACCAACACCCGUUCUGAUGCGAGUGAGGCUCUUUUUGUCCACCUUCAUUUCAUCAACAUCCUUACACUGAUUCUCUGUUAUCUCACUAGGGGCUACUGUUUGGGCAUUUGUACUGGUAGUGGCCACAUCUAAGUUAGAUACUGGAUCCAUAGAAACCAUUUCAUUUUGAGAACCCUGAACAAACAGAAAGUACAAUUAUUGGAAGCAACCUUUAAACUUUAUCUUCUUCUUUUUCUUUUUUAAGGUUAUGUGUACCUAUAACCAAAGUACUAUAUAACCUUUUAUGUAAUCAUGCAGUCAGUGACUACUGGCCAUAAAUCAAUUUAACAAGGUAUGAAAAUUACAGAUAACAGAAAUCUAGCCUUGCUGCCGUGCUUAAGUUUUUAAUAUCUAUAAGCUGAAGUCCUAACAUAAAUGACUAAGGUCAUAGUUGAAGAUAUCAGGGGUAAAGGGUUAUGGUUUCAAAUGAUCCACCUCCCUCUGAAAUCCUAAAACCCACCCAGUUAUUACUCAGUAAUCUGUAGUUUAAACGAUGCUCUCUAUUGAUAGAAAUAUCUUGGUGUCCUCCUAUCUAAAUAUUUAAGAGUUUAGUGGCUGUGUUUAUAUUAGCUAAUGAAGAAGCCGUAAAUUAUAACUUCUUCAUCUAAUAUUCAACGAUGAAUCCCAAGUUAUGUUUAUCCUCCCCUCAAGAGAUGCUGCGAUCAACAUAGACUAUAGCAAUGAACAGAUUCAGUAUCUUUCCCCUUCGUAUAGAUUUUCAGUUAGCAAAUGCAGUGAUUUCACAAUUUUGCUAGUAUAUCCAUUCAUUAAAUCUGCUGGAAUAUCCUGUAGGAUUUAACAAGGUAUUAUUUUUCACAUUCACAGUGGGAUGUUGCUUUUCAAGCACAGAUGGGACAAUUGCUUUAGAGAUUUAUAUAAUUAAAAUAAAGCUUCAAAAUUUACAGUUAAGCAAGGAAGCUUAUAUUCCCUCCGUUUCAAAUUGUAAAUCGUUUUGGCUUUUUUAGAUACAUGAUUUUUGCUAUGCACCUAAAUGGUUAUGUCUAGAUACAUACCAAACUCUAUGUAUUUAUAAAAGCCAAAACGACCUAUAAUUUGAAUCGAGGAAGUACUUCAUUACACUGCAAUUGCUUAAAUGCUGUUGGAAAAUAAUAUAAUCCUUGAUACGCGGAUAACUGAACCAGAAUAACGAUGUCAUAGAAUGUUACUAAAAAUAAAAAUAUAAGUAUUACCUUGUCAUAGAAUGCAUAAAGCGUGUGAUCAGCAGACAAUUGCUUUAGCUCUGAGGCUUGGCUAUCUUGCCCUGCACAUAAGCUUGCAACUUCAACUUGUGUUGUUGACACUAUGAUUCGGCUUCCUUUGUUGUUGUUUGGCAGGCAUUUUUCGAUCUGGUCCCACUCUUCAAUGGUGCAGAGGUCAGUAAGCACAAUGAGAAACCUCUUCUCCUUCACAUAUCCAUCGAACUCCUGAACUAAAUCGUGCGCGGUCUUCUCUGUGUCUAAUAUAUCUUUAAAUCCUUCCACUGCAAGAAAUUGGUUCACUAAGCUCCGGACAAAGCCUUCUGAACUGAAUGGAUGAGUCACCCUCACCCAUGCUCGGCUGGGAAAUUUGCUUUGGGUGUCUGGAUUCUUGUAAGCCGCCCUGAUGAUGGACGUUUGGCCGAUAUCUCCACCUGUUCCCCACACCGCAAUGACUCUAAGGUCAUCACCCUCCUUGUUGAUCAGUUGGACGAGAUCCACUCUCUGAUUCUCCUCCUUUGCGGCACGCCUUGCCUCAUCAACACCGAAUAUGGCUGCAGCAAUGUUGCUUGAUUGCUCAGUGGCAGCUGUGGCCUUGGAUCCAGAGCCGUUGAUGAGGCGGUAGCGCACAUUCCUCUGGCUCACGUCCUCGACCUUGGCCCUGAGCUCCUUCAUCUUCAUGGCCACACGGCGCCGCUCGAGCAGCGUGCGAGGGAAUCGCCACCAAGAUGGCCUCGCCACACGGACAGCAAAAUCUUGGAGACUGUCCUCGACAUCAUAGGCCGUGUCACGGACCUGCUUCACCCAGGUCUUCACCACCUUGUUUUCGUCUCGCUCCUCGUGUGCCUCCAUCAUGAAAGACUGCAUCAUCUCAAGCUCAUCCGAGACGAACGCAUGGUCUCGCUGGAUACCGAGCUGCAAGGCUACCUCCUCUGCAAAGGCAGAUUUCGCGUAGCCGAGCGUUCCAUUCAGCACGGACUUGCCCACACUCAGCGCCGUCGCCUCCAUCGUUCUGCUGUGUUUCUCCGUGGAUCUAUACAAGGCUCAAAUUUAGAAGCCAAAACUCCGAGGCAGAAAGGAUAGAUGGACAGGCGUUGAUGCCACCCAGCAAGAUGGCAAGUACCUGAAUUUUGGUGAACGCACAACCAAGGCAGGGGCAGAUCUAGGGAACGCACACCGGGUGAUCAACAGCACUCACAAGGUAAAUAUGCUGCAAAAUACAUUAUUGCUGUAAUUACAAAUAAUACUCAACUGAACAGUACAAUCUGUGAGAAACUGAAGAUCUUUGAAAGUAAAUACAGCACUCUACUGCUUUGAUCCGGCGAGGCUCAAGCUCACGGGACGGCCCACACUCACACGGCCUGACGUGACCCGGCAAGCCAGCAAGGUUGAGGCCAAAUGGUGUGGAUGCGUGAUUCCAAGGCAGUAGGCACCGAGAUGGCGGCGCCGCCCUCGCCGACGAGCUACGCGGCCACUUCUCUUGCACCCGGUCGGCCUGUCGCCGCUCACACUCUGUGGUGGCUUGGUAGUCACCAGUCACUCCUCAGAAGUACCCCAUGCUGGCUGGGAGCAGUGGACUCUAGAUACCUCUAAUGGACUUUGCAGGGUGCUUAAAUGGUCAGUAGGGAUUUUGCACACGAGCACUUGUUGGGGUCGGUUAGCAGCCGCCUGCCAAUUUCCUCUCCAUUCCUUACAUGGAUAAUAAAGGGUGGCCAAAGGAAUCUAGCUCUGCAGCUAGCUGUAUUUCUCCUUGGAUUUGUGGCAGAGCCGAUGAUCCUGCAGCCGGCCUGAUUACUGGUCCAUAUAUAUCAGAGCAAAAGAGCAACACAAGGCCAAUUCAGCAGCUAGCCCGUGGAAGGGAAGCCCCGGAGGGGAUUUCACUGGCCAAUGGAUUCUCUGGGUGGCGCUUUCCCAGGCCUCCUCCACCACCCGUUGCCGUUUGGAGAUAAUCUAAAAUAUUCUGCGGCAAUGGAAUAAAACAAAACUGAAAUUGUGGCAAGGAGCUAAGUGAAGCUGACAUUACAAAUCAAAUAUAUGCCAAGGAUGAAAAGACUGCUGACCAGUUGUAUUAAAACCAUGUAAUUCGUCUCACACAAAUGCAGAUGAUUCAAUAAAUUAAGGAUAUUUUUGUUAGUAACUGACAGGAUCAUAACUAACGCAUACUGUAAUGAUAGAUGACAGGACAGUACCUAAUUAGACACUACGGGAGACAGUGAAAUUGCCGAGUGCCCCUGUCACUCGGCGAAGGGCAAAAAACCCUCGGCGAACCGUUUGCCGAGUGUAACACUCGGCAAACGGCACACGGCAAUUUUACAGUCGGCAAACACUUAUUUGCCGAGUGUUUUGCGUCGGGCACUCGGCAAAGUCUCUGCCGAGUGCCGAGAAAACACUCGGCAACAAAUUUUUGAAAAAAAAAAAAACAUCCUUUGCCGCCACCACCGCCAGCUGCGCCGCCGCCACCACCGCCAGCUGCGCCGCCGCCACCACCGCCAGCUGCGCCGCCGCCACCACAUCCUGCUCCGCCGCCGCCACCACCGCCAGCUGCGCCGCCGCCACCACAUCCUGCUCCACCGCCGCCACCACCGCCAGCUCCACCGCCGCCACCACAUCCUGCUCCGCCGCCGCCACCACCGCCAGCUCCGCCGCCGCCACCACCGCCAGCUCCGCCGCCGCCACCACCGCCACCGCUCCGCCACCACCACCACAUCCUGAACCGUUUGCGAGAGAGGGGAAGAGCGGAGGAGUGGAGGGAGUUACCUGGAGAGGGAGGCGAGGGAUCCGGAGCCACCACCACGAAGUCCGCGCUCACCGGAUCCGGGGAGGAGGGCCUGUGCGGUGGCCGGAUCCGGCCGGAUCCGGAGAAGAUGGGCGGGGCGGUGGCCGGAGAAAGGGAGAGGAGGGGCCGGGGCGGCGGCCGGAGAGGGAGGAGGGGCCGGGCGUCGGGGCGGGGCGCGGCGGGGCGGCGGGCGGCGGGCGGGGCGGCGGGGCGGCGGGCGGCGGGCGGGGCGGCGGGGCGGCGGGCGGCCGGGCGGCGGGCGGCGGGCGGCGGGGCGGGGGGCGGCGGGCGGCGCGGGGCCAGGGGCGGGGGGAGAGAGGAAGGUUCGGGAGGAGUACGCGCGUGCGGUUCGGGAGGAGUUCGAGUGCGGGGAUAAGGUGCGGCCGGUGCGGGGUUGGGAAUAAAAUAAGUUCGCCGAGUGUCCUGCGUGGACACUCGGUAAAGGGUUUCUUUGCCGAGUGUCCUACGUAGGACACUCGGCAAACUUAUUUUGAAAAAAAUUUAAAAAAUAUCCAACCAUUUCAAAAAAAUACCAAAUUUUCACACGAACCAAUAUAUAUUCUCUAUUGACUAUACAAAAAGUUUUGUAGUCAAAUUAAAACUCGACCGUCAUUUUGACUCCAAAUCUUAUGCAAUCCUUCUCAACGUUACUAAUCUUCUUCUGAGAUGCUUCGGUUUGUAAACAUCGUAUGUGACGAAAUGUGCAAAACAUUCUCAAUUUUUUUCCAUAGCCUCCACCUAUGAUAUCAUCACAUCUUGACAAAUCUCAUGAUUUUCAGACUUUGCUUGUUUUUUUUAUAAUUUAAAAAUACCACUACCACACGUUCGUGGUCGUGUUUCCUGAACAAGAUGUUCAAAAUUUCUUGUCAUUUCAUGGGUCAGGUCUCAAAUAGGGCCAAAUAAUAUGAAUAUCAUUUUUCUACUCAUUUUGUUCCAUAAUUUGAAUCAUUUGCAGUUCAAAUUUGACUUAUACCAAAAAUUUCCUUGAAAUUCAAUUAAUUAAAUAAAUAUAGCAAAUAAAUCCAAAAAUAUACCAAAUUUUAACAUGGAGUACCACAUGUUGUAUGUGGGGAGUAGAAAAAAUUUCAUGGCGAAAAACGGAAAAAAAAUUAUUUUUUUGCCGAGUGUCAAAAAAAACACUAGGCAAACCCCCCUGUUUGCCGAGUGUUUUUUUUGACACUCGGCAAAGAGGGGGCUUUGCCGAGUGUUUUUUAUUUGACACUCGGCAAAGCCUCGAUUUGCCGAGUGUUUUUUUUUUGCCAAGUGUUUUUGGCUUGGCACUCGGUAAAGAGCUUGUUUGCCGAGUGCUCGCAAAAAAACACUCGGCAAAAAAAAUACACUCGGCAAAUUUAAGGUUUCCCGUAGUGAGAGAAGUUAGUCAAUCCCUCAAGAAGCACCUCUCUGGUGUGAUCCAUAAGAUAUCUGCAAUUAUAUCAAUAAUAGAACCUCAUGACAAUUGUGCACAAUGUAAUAGUAGGCAAAAAAUGAAACACCAAUUCUGCAGACAACUUAUACCAGUACUCGUAACUGAUGCACAAGCCCCGAGUGCUACGAGCACUAGCUACCUUUCAUUGAAAUAGUAAGCCAUCGCUAAUGCAUUGGUAUAGAGUGAACUACACUUCAUUCUGAACUAUACUUGUAACUAAACUUCUCACUACAACAGAUUAUGGGGCGAUCAAGAAGCUAUAUGACUCUGUUGAGGUAUGAUCAGGCAGGGCAGCAUCAGCAGUGGGAAAUGCAACGUGUUGGUCCUAGUUUAACGGUGGCUAGCAUUUCUGCAGAAAGAUGCACUCAGAACUGCAGUACAGAGCUACUCAGGCUGCUUCGUGGUGGUGAGAAAACUAAAUCAGACACAUUUUCAUAUGCCUAUGGCGUAAUGUCACAUGUAUAAAUAUUGACAUUAUAAAAGGGUGGAUUUGAGGAUCAGAUGUUUCUUCACUAUAAUGAUGAUGCGCGACCAAACAAGUGUUCACUAUAUCAUAAUCACUUUACCAGCCUCUUGUUCCAUGUUCAGCACUACAUAUAAAACUAGUAAUUAACUGCUAACUAACAGGGGUGGUAUUAGCCAAUUUGCAUCCCAUUCGAAAGGAACCAAAGAACUGAUAAUGAAGCACGGAAAAAAUUUCUUAGGUAAAGCAUAAAUAUGCAUCCAGAGAUAUGACAUCUGGAGAAUCUCUAAUGUUUUUUCUUCUUUAUUUUUUUGCUAGUACAUAGCUGCAUAUCUAGCAAAUUUUGACCUUUCUCUUUGUUUAGUCGGGUAUGCAACAUAUCAAAACAUGAAAACAGAGCUGGGUGUUGGAAAUUCUACUUGCUAGCCUUCCUGACUGAACCAAUAUUUUCUCUUUUUUAUUGUUUAUUCAACUAUGCAAAUUUUCACGGAUUGCAGUUUUCUGUUUCCACAAGUUAUAUGCAUCACACAUGAACAUGGGAAUCAUCUAUGCUAUUAAGGCAGCUAGAGGUGUGCUAGAAGCGAGGGAUAUGGGUACCCAUGGGUCCCCACCGACUAGGAUACUGGCCGGACCUGACAAGUGGGCCUGUUCGAUCAGGGCAUGCGGGCCGAGGACAUGAAGUUACUUGGAGUAUACGUUAAGGCAAAUAGACAGUCCAAGUCUGCCCGGAUAUCGUGGCACGUUUUGUAGUCCGACUCAGAUUGCUUUCCAUGUAAAUACCGAGUAGAUUAGAUUCAAAUCGAUUUGUAAUCCUUGGUCGUCAGCCAAUAUAAGGCGGCCAAGGGCACCCCUGAGGGUACAUGACCUGAUCUCAUACCAGCAAUACGAUCCACGCAUACAGGACGUAGGGUAUUACUCUUCAGAGAUCCGAACCUGUCUAAAGCCCUUGCAUCCCCUUUGUGUUCUCGCGAUCACCUUCGAGUUCUUGGUUUCACAAUCGCCCUCACCUACAAAUCAACCACUUAGGUAACCCCCUGGUGGACUGCCGGGCUUAUAAAUCCGACAGGUACUACAUGCUCUAGUGCAUAAGCAUCUACCACAAAGUAGAUACCAAGGUGUCAAGAACUCAAGCACUUCUUUGUUCCUUACACAAGGACCCUUGCUAUGUGGGUUCAGUACCUUGUAGGACUGGAUCUUGGAUAGGUGAAUCGAGAUGUUAACUACAAGAACUCACAUCAUGAGAUGAGGGAGAACACACAUAUGCCAAGGAGGAAGAUGAGGUGGAGGCACUGUGGUUGAUGCAGAGAAGGCGGCCGAGGUGGAGGUGGAGGUGCCGUUGCAGGUAGUAAUGGGAGUCGGACAGGCGGCGCCUUGACGGGGAGAUGGAGCAGUGGCGCCUUGACGGGGAGGCGGAGCAGCGGCACCUAGACGGGGAUCAAAGAGGGAGCAGGGAGGUGGAGCGGCGGCGCCUAGACACUAGCGCUAGCCUCACGACAACGAGACGGAAAACGGCUUCCCAUUGUGACGAGAUGGUGGAGCACCGCCUAGGGAAAACACGAGGGUCGGGUCGCCACAGCCCCGUGGCCUAGGCUUCCAAACAGCAGGGGAUUUCAGCCCAUGAAAAAUUUCCGCGCGGGCUUCCAGCCCGAGGAAAAGGCCCGGAUCCCCGCUGGGUUUGGGGUUCCCAAAAUAGCCCUUAAAGUGGAGAAAGACAGGCAAGACCGGAUGAUAUUGCAUCUGGGGUCCAUAGCUAGCUCAAUAAUUCGCAUCAGGCAUCAAUCUCUAGGCUCUUCACCAUCGGGUCUUAAUUAGAUUUGACUGAGCUGAGAGAAUAACGAUGGCUCAGCUACCCUGUACUGCUCUACAUAUGGUCCUGGACAACAACUUAAAUGCAAUUUGCCUUGUGGAGUGUAAGGAAUCGGUGCUCGUAGCCUAAGAGGGGGAAGGGGUGAAUUAGGCAAACUUGAAAUCUUAAACUAUGGCUUCCACUAAAAUGCAUCCAAAUAUAAACUAGAUCAUACUAUCUAGAUGUAUAUUUAUAUUUGAUCUAGUGACACUUAUCACCCACAAAGAGUUUUACACUACUAGAGAAAACGCCUUUAGUACCGGUUGGGAACCCCUUUAGUACCGAUUGUGCAACCCGUAAUGGCAAUUCGGUACUAAAGGGUAUUAAAAAAUUUAAAAAAAUCCGCACUGGGCCCCGGCCCCUCCGCCACCCGCCACCGCCUCCCACCCGCCCUCCGCCCCGCCCUGCCACUGCCACCUCACCUCGCCCCGCCGCUGCUACUCACCGCCGGUGAGGGGCGAGUGGAGGGGGGAGGGGAGGCAGUAGAGAAGGAGGAGGAGGAGACAGUGUAGAGGAGAGAAGAGGAGGAAGGGAUAAGGAGCAGCGCGCGGGGGUGGGGGGGUGGGUGGGGUCCAGAUAGGAGAUUUAGUACUGGGCGGAGCCCCUACCCAGUACUAAUGUGGCUUAGGGCCUUUAGUACCGGGUGGAGGCUCCACCCGGUACUAAAGGUGGUUACGAGGGCCUCCUCGGCGACUAUCCCUUAGGCUCGGUACUAAUGCUCAUAUUAGCACUUGGCCAAAAUGCAACUAGCACUGAGUCUCGGGACGAAAGGUCAUUUUUCUAGUAGCGUUACAACCUAGAUCCCUUGCUAUGAAGAUACUACUCUAGUAAGUAAAGUCAUUAAAGUUACAACUAAGAAUUGUAAAAAUAUAAAGGAGUGGGUUAGGAAGGAUGCAAACUCGGUACGACGAUUUAUCCCGUGGUAUCGGUAGGCAAAUGCCAUCCCUAGUCCACGUUGGAGCUCCACCAAGGAUAUGGUACCAGUCACCAAGUCUGUUCCAGUCAAGGUCUUGGUCUCGCCACAAAGGCUCUCGCCAAGCCGGAUGAGAAGCUCGCCACAAAGAUAAGGCUCACCACUCCCUCUCUUCCAGUCGCCUUGAUGUCGUCUCCACUAUGGAGCUUCUCCACGGAGGAAGGGGUCUCCUCAUCCCCUAAACACGAUCGUCAUCGCCGCUCCACACCAAGGUGAAGGGUCGAAGACUUGCCGGCGAGCCACCAAGGCACCAAGGCGCUAGCGCACCAAGCUUACAAUGGUGGUUCACUCCUUGAACCAAUCACAAGGUAGCAACUCCUUGCACUCACUCUCUAGGCCUAUCCAAGCACUAAUUGUCGAGGAUAGAUCCCUAGCACCCGCAAGGAAGGAAGAAGGCAGAAUUCUACUAGAAUUCACCUGCAAUCCUACUAGGACUCAUACCAUGUAAUUCUACUAGGACUCCUACCUUGUAAUUGACUAGUAAUCCCGCCCCUGGAGUAUAUAAAGGAGGGCAAGGGUACCUAGAUCGGCAGAUAGAGAACCACCUCAGGAUCAACGUGAACUAAGAGGACCAAAUCCUCGACACCAAACGACAACCAAGUAUAGGGUGCAAUAUACAACACCCGAAACAGGAUGUAGGGUAUUAUGCUACUUUGGAAGCCCGAACCUGUACAAAUAUGUGUCUUGUGUCCUCACUUUUACCAUCAAGUUCCAGAUCCGACGAUCCCUCUCCAACCAAUCUACUACAUCGGGAUACCCCUCGGUAGGUUGCCGGGUAUAAAACACCAACAUAUGGUGCGCUAGGUAGGGGUGAUUGUCGAGAUCAUCGGGCGAGCUUGAAGGAUCUUAUCAUCAUCAAUCUCCAAGAUCAAUCUACUCGAUAGCGCAGAUGAGUCACUUUGAAUCUCGCCGGAUUUCAUGUUCUGCUGCUACUUGAAUUGGAGUCAAUUUUGCGUCGUUGUUGGAAGAAACUAACACUGGUAGAAAACUCAUCUUUUAUCCCAAUUGGUAGGGGCCAAAUCUACCGAAAAACCAUUCGGGAUAAAUUUUUUGAGACAAAGGGGGGAUCUUUAGUCCUGGGUCGUUCAACUGGGACUAAAGCCCCCCUUUAGUCCAACCGGGACUAAAGGGGCUGCCAUGGUAGGCACGGGAUGGGCCCCUUUAGUCCUCGUUGGUUUUACCAACCAGGACUAAAGGGCAUGCAUGGCGCCUAUAAUUUCAUGCAUCACGUACCCCUUUAAUUACCCUUUAGUAGUUAAUAAUUUUUUUAGUAAUGGAAUCAAACUAGUAUUUAUACAAAUAAAACUAGUAUUUAUAGAAUUACUAUAUAUACAAUUCUUAGUAUAUAUACAACUCUUAGUAUAUAUACAAUUCUUAGCAUAUAUUAUACAAAUCAAACUAUAAUAUUUAUGCAAUUAGUAUAUAUAUACACACACAAAAAUUUGUCCCGAUCAUUCCUAGGAUCUCCCGUCGAGGUGUUGCUCGGUGCGUCUAAUUUUCAUCCAUCUUAAUUAAAUUCUCCUUGUGGAUUUACCACCUCGUCCACCAGGAAUCCCAUGAGACCUUCACAUAUUGCCUGUAUUCUUUCCUUCUCCAAGAGUUUUUGUUGAAUAUUAUACAUCUGUAAAUUUGAAAAUAUGUGAAUGUUACACGAACAAUUUAAUAUAAGAAGCUAGAAAAUAAUUAAUUAUAAAUAGUUUUAUUUUACGUACUAUAUAGUCAUGCGUCAUCAUCCAGCACUUGUUGGGUCCCACAAAACUGUGCAUGUUCUCACAGACGUAGUAGCCACAUAGAUUAUUCUCGGGUUCCUAUCUUAAGCACUUUAGUGGGGAAGAAAAAUAAGUUAUGAAAUAUUCGUGCUAUAGAAUGUACAAAAUGUGCAAAUUUCAUACGUACCGGAAAUUAUGUGUUCCAUGUAAGUUCUUCUUUGAAUGGACCUUUGUGUUUCUUGAGGAAUUGUUUCCAUACGCUACGGAUUAAAAUAAUGAAAUAUACAGUGUUAGGUGAAAAAUUAGGAAAAAAACUUUUGCAUAGAGAUAAAGGUCCAGAAUUAUUACAAGUGUAGCAUGUAUUGAAUGUCUUGGUACUCCGUCGGUUUUUUCCUCAACGAAUCGUAAACAGUGAUGUGGCUUCUAUCAGACUCAAUUACUUGGAGGAUCCAGUGGAAUAUGUGUACCUAAAUGUUCAUAUUAGAGCUAAUUAACAUUAAUCAGGUAAGGAAAAAGAAAACAAAAAUAGACAGCAUGUCCAAACUUACUCAAAGUUAUAUGGCAGUAGUAUGUAACUCUUCUAAUAUUGUUUGUCGAGGAGAUUGUAUACUUCCGCCAACGUUUUCUCUGGAAAAUCUUGUAUCUGGUUUUGGUUAACUAGGGAAGGAUCCAUGAAGCCAAUAUGGAAGUAUGAUUCUCGUCAGCACGUUUGAAUUAGCAUCCUACAUAAAAUGGAAGACGAAGUUAGUAGGGUGACACAUGCACAAAAAAUAAUGAUAUGAGCCAAAAUUUACAUAUAGAUAAACGGAUACUUAUGAAGCCCAGGCACUAAUGAGAGAAACAUCAAGGGCAUCCUGAUGGUACACUUCAUAUAUAUCCUUGAAUUGCAGCCACAAAACUUUCUCGCCUUCGCCGAAAAAAUCUAUCGAUUUUACCUUAAGCCCGAACAUUUCCCUCUCGUCGGCAGACUACUUCAUGUACCAUUCAUGCAAUUCGUACAUCUUCGUUGAUAGCUUCCAUACCAACUCAGGCCUUACCAGAGACUUGCCUAGCUCAAAGGUCCAUUUCGGUACAACUAGCUAUGCAGCUGACAUCUCAACUUGCCCUAAACAUUUAAUAAGGGACAUUCCUAUUUCUUGCAUGAAUUUCACUACUUGUACUUAUUGAUCCAAGGGCAUUGCUGCUAUCCUUUUAACGCCUUUUUCUAGUAGAUGCCCGAGGUGGGGGACAGUACCACUAGAAGACAACUUUCCUUUCCUUUUUUGCCUCUCAUCAGCCUUGAGUAACGCCCGUUCGUUGAUCGAUAGCAGUGGCAUUGUCUUCUUCACUGCUUCUGGCAUCUUUUUAAAAAAAAUUAAUUCUCUUCGAUCUACUGGUGGUGGCUCCAUCUCCUUUGCUUUUUUUAGCCUUUUUCCUGAACCACUACUUGCAUUCUGCUUGGAUUUCGGCCCAGCGUUCCUUAGGAGUCACUUCAGACUCCUUUGUUUUCUUCUUUCGUUGUCUUCGCUUGGAAGGCAGUGGUGCUACAGGUUCCUUGCUUGAUGCGGCUCUUAGUCCGAACGAUAGUGAUCGGGAAGGGGUGUUGUUGUCAUCGUCGCUCGCACCACCAGGAUGUGCUAGAGAUGGAGACCGUGAUCGAGCAGGAAGCGACGAUCCCAGUGGUGACGACGAUCCUGGAAUAGGUUGUGCUGGAGAUGAUGAUCCUGGAGUAGGCUGUGGUGGAGAUGACGGUCCUGAGCUUUGCGGAGUUGGUCGCUGUUGGGGAUCCAUGGGGAGCGGUGAUACCUUCAUGCCGGGGAUGAUGAUGUAGCAUUUGUACCAUAGAAUGAUCCCGUGAAGUGCAUCUUCUAGUUUUCUUUCCCGAUCGCCUCCUGGGAGGUCGAGCUCUAGGCCUCCAUAUUGGCUAUCAACGAGCUGCUCUAGGCCGACGCUGGAAUCUCCAUGCCAUGGCUUGUUUGUCCUGCCAGGAUUGGUAAGGCACUUCCGUACGCCACCUGUACAUAUAGCAGAAAUAAAGAAGUUAUAAACUCCCGAUGUGUGGAUGGAUUGAGAAGAUUGCAUAAAUAUUAUGUAUAAGUAUACCUUAAUGGUCAUGUUGCCGAACGGUCUAUGCAGCUCACAUGAGGUGCGUUGCAAAAUAGCAUCCAUAGGGAACCGUUGCUCGUCCACAGGUAAUCUUGGCGUCUACGGAUCGGGAACCCCUGUGGAAGCACAGCUGCUCCUAAGGCGUUGAGAAGGGCUGAUGAUGUUAGGAUCCAGAAUUGCUCCAGAUUGGGCCAACUCGGCAACUGCCAGGGCCACUCGACAAUUGAUUUCCUCUUGCAUUCUUACUUCUUGUGAAUGCACUUUGUAUUUCAACAUGCGCCGCCAACUCUUUUGUUACUGUUCCUUUCUUCCCUUGCGGGUUCUGUACGAGUCAAUGUCACCUCAAAAAGCGAACUUCCACAGAACGACCCCGUACCCUCGGCAAUGUCCUGGGUGCUCGGGAUUCCCGAGGGCCAAUGUGAGCUCAUCAUUCUCUCGAUCCACUUUCAACCUCCCAGCCUUAGCAUCUUCAAUGUUCUUGAUAAGCCUUUCGUCAUUCUGAGUAUUGUCUCAUUGAAGACCAGUGUCCCAUCCUCUUGGCUCAAGGUGCCUCCAUGAGCGUAAUAUCAAUUUUUUGAUUGAUCGGGCCAAUCAAGAGUUGCUGGUAUGAUACUCUGAUCGAUCAGGCCUUGUUCCAUAUUGCGCCAUCUGGGAAUUGCAGUGCCGUAACCACCUCGCCCUAGACAAUGAUGGUAUUUCUUGCUAGCAUUUGCAAGGUUGGUGCGAACCCUAUUUGCACCGUCUUCACUCAUCUUGUGUUCGACAAAUGUCUUCCAGUGGUCCCUCAACUUUGGCCACUCAUUGAAAUCUGGAGUUCGGCCCUUCUUGAUGAAGGUGGCAUCCAACAUCUUCUUGAAUGUAUGAAAUUGGGUGGCCAUCUUCUUCAGCAUCCACACUUUCACAUCAUCUUCAUUACAUCCUUCGGAAUUGUGAAGUGUUUCUUCACAUCUUCCCACAGCAUAUUCUUUUGUGUAUCCGGGAGCGCAUAUGGAUCAUUUCUUUUGCCCUUUUGUUCCCUAAUGUUGAUGGGCAAGUUGUCCCUUACGAUUGCCCCGAUCUGACUCACGUACUUUUUUCCACCUUUUUGGGAGCAACUGGUUUGCCCUCUUCUGUGACUUCUGUGAUGAUAAGCCUUCCCUCCACCUUUGUACGACCUCGGGGCUUCUGACAAUUCAUCGAUCUAGAGGGCUAACAGCUCAAAAUUCGUUAAUUAGUACAUAGUAAUAAUAAAUAAGACAUUAUAGAUGGGGUAAAAUAAUGGAAAUGAUAUAUACCUCGUCAGAACCUUCCGUCACGGUAAGGUUUUGCUCAGGCUUGGGCUCUUCAUUGCCAUCGUUGGACAUGGUGAGGAACAUGUCCUCCUGACUACCCUCUUCAUCGGUGUACGUUACGGGAAGGUUGGAGCCACUACCACCAGCAAUAAUCUGCUCCAUUAUAUACCUUGCGGUCUCGUCGUCUGCCAUCUCAACUACUUUAAACACACAUGAAAUCAUACAUAUAUGUACGUUAAGGUAUAUACAUAAAAUCAUAGAACAACCAUGAAAAAAACAAACUGAUUGAAAUGUACACAUGAAACCAUACACGAAAUGAAACUUACAUGAAACCUUAUAAGAAAUUUAUAUGAAUGUCUUGAAUGAAACUUACAUUAAAUGUCUUGAAUGAAACUUACAUGAAAACUUACAAGAAAGUUACAUGAAAGUCUUGGAUGAAACUUACACAAAAUGUCUUGAAUGAAACCUAGAUGAAGUGUUUCUACAAAUUUCUACUAAAUUCCAAAAAAUUCUACAAAAUUUGAAGUGUUUCUACAAGUUUCUACUAAUUCCUACUUAAUUCUACCUAAUUUGAAGUGUUUCUAAAAAUUUCUACUAAUUUCUAAGAAUUUCUACCAAAUUUGAAGUGCUUCUACAAAUUUCUACUAAUUUCUAAGAAUUUCUACCAAAUUUGAAGUGUUUCUACAAAUUUCUACUAAUUUCUAAGACUUUAUACCAAAUUUCUACUAAUUCCAACUAAAUUUAAGAUUUUCUAUCUAAUUUGAAGUGUUUCUACAACUUUCUAAUCAUUUCUUAGAUUGUCUGCCAAAUUUCUACUAAUUUCUAAGCAUUUUUGCCAAAUUUCUACACAUUUCUACUAUUUCGAUGAAUUUCUACCAAAUUUCUACAAAUUUCUACUAAUUUCAACUAAUUUUCGAAGCAUUUGUACUAAAUCAUAGCAAUGUACUAAAAAUUAUACUAAAUGUAUACAAAAUUAUACUAAGAAUUUGUACUAAAUAAGUAAGCAUUUCUACAAAUUUCCACUAAUUUUCAAAACAUUUAUACUAAAACAUAGUAAUUUUUCAAAAGUAUACAAAAUGUAUACAAAAUUAUACUCAGCAUCUAAGCAUGUGAAGUAAAUUAUAGUAAUUUCUACUGAUUUUCUACUAAUCAUAGUAAUUUCCUACUGAUAUUGUAUUGAUUUUCUACUAAUCAUAGUAAUUUCCUCUAAUUUUCUACUAAUUUCUUCUAAUCAAAGUAAUUUCCUAAUAAUUUUUCUAACUAAAAAAUAAAAAGGGGCCCUUGCAUCAGCAAGCAGGGGGCUUGCGACAGCAAGGGCCCCGGCCGGAAGCGGGCGCGCCGCGCGCGGCGCCUGUACUGAGUCCGGUGGGUGGCGGGGCGGGUGACGGCGGGGCGGCGGAGUUCGACAGCGGCAAUGCGGGGUGGCGCUCGGUGGACGACGAACAGUCGGGGCGGAGGUUGACGGUGGAGGCGGCAGGCGUCGGAGACGGCGGGCGACGACGGCACCAGGGCGACAACGGCACCAGGGCAACAAAAGGUCAUUUUUCCAUUUUUCGUCUCCCACCUGUUUUUUUGCAAAUAGAUUUUAUAUAUAUUUUUAUUGGAUUUUAGGAAGGAAAAAAUAAGAACUUUACAUAUUUCGAACAUGUAAAAAUAUAUUAAAUUAGUAAGUAUAUUUACAAUAAGUUUGAAUGAGUCAUUAAUUCUAUACUAGUUUUUUUAGUUACUAAAAUAAUUAUUUUGCUGCAUCACUAUCAUCAAAAAAUUAUUCAAUUAAAUAAUUUCAACGCGCGAAAAAUUCAAUUGAUGUAUGUGGUUAACAUUGUUCAUAUUGAUAAAAAAAUCUUCACCUUAACUAAUUUAAACACACAAACACACAAAUUUAUAUAAGUUUUCAACUAGUUUUGUUAAAGAAAAAAUAAAAACUUUACAUAUUUCGAACAUGAAAAAUAUGUUAAAUUAGCAAGUAUAUUUAUAAUAAGUUUGAAUGAGUCAUUAAUUCUACAAAGAGGUUACAGAUCAGAGUCGCCCGAAAUGGCAAAAGUGCAAACUUGUACGAGACUCAGUACACCUUCACAAUUGGUUCGUUUCUAUUCCGAGCAAGCUGUUCCUGGAUUUUCUUCUUCAGUUCACCUUUCUUGCGCCUUUCUUCCUGUGUUUCUUCCUCCCGUAUCUUAUCCAUCGUCUUAGAAUCUAGAGCAGCUAUUUUCCUUUCUAAGGUCCUAUUUGGCAUGACUCUAACUCUGGGUGGAGCUGCUCCACUCCAGAACUCCAGGUGGAGCCAGCUCUGGGUGGAGUUGGAGCUGUCUGGUGAGGGUGUUUGGCUGGGAGGGUGUCCCUAGCUCCAAAAAGGAGGAGUUUGAGGGUAGAUUGUCUUUCUUGCCCCUGGUUCGACUUGAACUACUUAUCACAAAUAUAAAAUGAAAGUACAUGUCCAAAAUAAUAAUAAAUUACAUGUUCCAAAAAAUUAAAAUUUCGAAAUAAAUUCAUAGUUCCAAAUUAAGGUCGUUACAAUAAUCAUUGCACUAAUUCCACGUUAGGGCAAUUGAUGUAGCCAUACUAUCACGAAAGGUGUCCAUAGUCACAAAGCUUGAUUCCGAAGUUGAUCCAUCGGAGGCAUGUUGAGACACGGCAUACUUGUUGUAUCUUUCCGGAAUAGUAGGCAUGUAGGUAGGAUCUCUAUCAAAAUUAGCAAAGUCCACAUCAACGCUAGCAUGUUCACGUAUGAAAUUGUGUAGAACCAUAGCAGCAGCAACAAUCUUCUUUUGUGUGACCAUGGAAUAACCGGGCAUCUUGUAAAGGAUUUGCCAUUUGAUUUUUAAUACUCCAAAUGACCGCUCAAUAACAUUACGAACAGAUGAGUGUAUAUGGUUGAACUUCUCUUUUGGAGUAUUUGGUUCCAUACCUCGAUGCCACUCGGGUAAGUGGUACCUUUCACCCUUGUAUGGAGCCAGAUACCCCGGACGAUUAGGAUAGCCUGCAUCUACAACAUAGUACUUGCCUACACAUAUGUAAAAUAAGAUAAGUUUGUGCAUACAAAUAUAAAAAGGAACAUAAGAAAAAAUCUUUACCUUGAGGAGGAUGUGGGAAGACAUUUACAUCUGCUUCCAAUGCAUGGUACAAUACACUAAAUCCCAGUGAAUGUAAACACUGAGCUGGACCUCGUUGAUGCUUUGGAGAAAUUCUAGCCCAGAAAAUCCAAUCUCAUUAUUUACUCUCCCUGUGACCUGCAGCAGCUCAAGUUUGGGCAUUAUUCCUUCUUCAAACUUUACCGAUUUGAUGUACCGUAUGUUUGCAAGCAUGAGCACCCUGAGGCUUCCGAAAGCUCUUCCAGUCUCCUGAGAUCGGAAACGAAGUUCUUCACCCUGAAACGAUUGACGAGACAAGCUUAGAAUUUCCAGCUUUGACAGUUUCCCAAGGAAUUCCAUAGCAGCAUCGUGCACCAAUAGCCAGGUGCUCACUAGUUUCAACUUCACGAGAUGCGGGAGCUUCUUGAUCCAUUCCGGCAACGUUUCCAGAUUGCCGUAGAGCUUGAGGCUCUGCAGGAUUUCUGGAGGCGGGGAUAUAUCAUCCAAGCAGCCAUGCAAACCUGGCUUCCCUGCCGAACUCACAG
rnacentral:lncRNA from 1 species